GACUCGGAUAAAUUAAGCUCUUCUAACUCCUCCAUACCUUCUGAAAUCUCUGGAAACAUCUCAAAAUUGGAGCAGCCAAAAAGAUUAAAGGUUUUGAGAGAUCUCAUACGAAUUUUAUUGGGUAGAAUCUUAAGUUCCUUGCAAUAUGAUAGGUUCAAAUGACUCAACCCCGUGAGAUUAUUAAUUGACUCAGGCAGUUCUUUAAUUUUGGACUCGGAUAAAUUAAGCUCUUGUAACUCCUCCAUACCUUCUGAAAUCUCUGGAAACAUCUCAAGACUGGAGCAUCCAUAAAGAUUAAAGGUUUUCAGACAUUUCAUAUGAAUGCAGCUUGGAAGACUCUUAAGUUCCUUGCAAUCUCUUAGGUUUAAAUGAAUCAACCCCGUGAGAUUAUUAAUUGACUCGGACAGUUCUUUAAUUUUGGACUUGGAUAAAUUAAGCUCUUGUAACUCCUCCAUACCUUCUGAAAUCUCUGGAAACAUCUCAAGGCUCACGCAGCCAAAAAGAUCAAGAGUUUUGAGAGAUUGCAUACGAAUUUUGCAGGGUAGAAUCUUAAGUUUUUCGCACCCUUUCAGAUCCAAUAAAACAAGUUUUGUAAGAUUCGAAAUAGAUGGGUGAACCUUAACUAACCCUCCACAACCAUGAAGAAUUAGCCUCUCAAGAUUUGGCACAUUUGUGAAGUCAGGGGUUUCCUUAAGGUAUGAACAAUAACUUAAAUUGAUGAAUUUCAACUUUUCCUGCGUCUGUUAAAACAUUCAGGAAAACAUGCAUUACUUAAUAAGACAUCUCACUCAAAGCCCAAACAUUUAAAAGAAACAAAUACAUGUAAAUGAUUGCACAUACCUGGGUUCCUUCCCAAAGUCGGUCAAUGUGGCUAUAUUGCAUGUCAAGUCCAACAAGAUUUUCGAAUUGAAAGUUGGAUGGCAAAGACUUGAGCGGGAAACAAGACCAGGAAAGAAACCUCAACUCACUAGAAACAAACUUUAAGGACCCAGUCAGGUGUUGUAUGCUGAAAGUACCGAUCUUGAGAAGUCUUAGUUUAGUCAUCCUAUCAAAAGCUUUAACAAUUAAGCAUCCCUCAUAUGAGUGCCCCAAAUCUAGGAUUAUGCUUUUAACUGUUUCUGUACCCUGUGCAAAUCAAAGGGAAGGAAAAAGCAGAGAACCUUAGUUUAGAUUAUGAAGUUAAUGGUUGUUUCUUAAGGAGUUGUUUGAUAAUAAUUUUGUUUUCACUUUUCACUUUUGUUUUGAUUAUUUAUUUAGAAAUCUGAAAAUUGAAAACAUAUAACUUGUUUGUAAUUGUUUUCAAUUUUCAAUUAUUAAAAAAAUGAAAAUUAAAAAUUAAAAAUGGAAACAAAAGUGGUUAUCAAACGAGCUUAAGAAAUUGAUUUUGGUCAAAAGUUGAAGCUUUCUACUAAACAUUGCAUAAGAAGAGAAAUUAUCACCGUAUUUUUAGUUAUCACAUGAAGAACAUCUUCAUAACUCCACAACCUACUUCGUUUCCCAGGCUCUUCGAUAGAUUCUUGCUGGACGAUUUUCCGACCCAUUUCCUCUAGUAAAUCAUGCAUCUCCAGUUCCCCCUUCCAUGAGACAGUUACUAGAGCUCGAUCGAUUAAAACUUUUAUUCCAAUAUCAGGAUAGGAACCACAGCUGUGCAGAACUUCGGUUGCAUAGUCUUUUCUCAUUCCUUUAAAGAAACAUGCAAUAUCUAGAAAGAUAUCCUUCUCCGUGUCAUCUAGUCCAUCGAAGCUUGUUUUAAGCACAUCAUGAAUUCCCUUUUGCGGGAUUUUCUUUAUUUUUUCUAACUCAUUUUCCCACUGGCGUACAUUUUUGUUAUCAAGAAAAGCUCCCAAGACUUUGAGUGCUAAAGGCAGACCUUGAGCAUAUUUUACAGCACGCCUCGAGAGAUCAUCAUAAUCUCUGUUGGGUUGGUUUUUUCUAAAGGCGUACCGCCUAAAGAGUUCCAGAGCUCCAUUAUCACUUAAAAUCUUGGGAUUAUAUAUCUCAUCAGCUAUGCUUAGUAAUUGCGAAUCUCUGGUUGUUAUAAUAAUUCUGCUUCCACCACCAAAGGAAUGUGGUUCUUUAAGUAAAGCUUCAAUUUGUUCUAAUUCUUCCACAUCAUCAACAACAAUAAGAACUUUUCUCCGACCUAGGCUAUUUAACACCACCUGGAAACCUUUAUUCGAAACGUCGGAACUCCCCACCUUGUUGUUCGAGAUACUCGAUAGAAGUUCUGCCUGCAUAUAUAGUUUGCCAUGCUUUAUGAAACCUUCCUUGAAAUUUUCAAGAAAGCAACAAGCUUUAAAUCCACCAGAGAUUUCAUCAUAAACAGCUCUAGCGAUGGUUGUUUUGCCUAAACCACCCAUACCCCAUAUUCCAACAAUGCGAACAUCAUUAGUUUCAACUCCAGGAGGAUACAAUAAUGAAUGCAUGUUAUGCAUAUGAGAGUCCAUUUCAACCAAGCCAUUAUCUUUGCUUGAUGAUGAUGAGAUGUGGAUCAAUUUCUUAAAAACAUCUUCUACAAUUUUCUCAAUAAGCUCUGCAUCAUCCCUGUCAAAUUUAAAAAACAAUAUAAUAACACCACCAAAUAAUACUUAAUGGGUCUUUUUCAUCUGUUAGUUUAAAAAAAAUAGAAAUUAAAACUAAAACUAAAAUCUAAACGUUAUAAAAAUCCCAAAAAUUAAUAGGAAACUAAAACAAAUUAGAAUUUACUCAUAUUUCGCGAAUCCCAGCCGGAUAAACUGGUGGCAAUUGUAAGAGCGGAUCUCCAGCUCUGAACCUCUUCCAUUUCAGCGUUAGAAUCACGAUCGUGCUGAGCAAAAGCUUCCUCGAAUUUUCUCUUGAGUUUACGAACGUCAGACGGAUCAACUUCAUAGAAAAUGGGGAGUACAAUCUGGUUAUUGGUAUCCUUGCAUUUCAAGAUUUGCACGAGUUCUUUCAAGCACCAAGUGGAAGAAGCAUAGUCUUGAGAGAAAACUACAAUCGAAAGCCUUGACUCUCGAAUCGCUGUCAGGAGCUCAGAAAGGUGGUCGCCUUUUCUGAGCUUCUCGGCAUCAAUGAAGGCGUUGAUUGGUUUCUUAACCAGAGCGUUGUAGAGAUGGCUGACGAAGCCCCUGCGAGUGUCUUCCCCUCUGAAAUUGAUGAACACAUCGUAUUUGCAACCAAGGCCAGAAGAAGAUGAAGAAGAAGAAGCAGCCAUUAUUAAUCGAUCGCACCUGGUCAGCGACGAUCGAGCAGCUAAGACUAAGAGAAUUGUAAGUACAGAGAUACUCAAUAGAUCUACAAAUUGGAUCACCGGAAAUUAGUCUGAUCGAUACCAAGUCAAUGAGUCAAUGCAAAAGUAAAAAGGGGAAAGGGAAAUUAUGCUUUAUGUUUUUUCACAUCUUCUUCGGGGAAAUUUCGGUGUGAAAGGAAUCUUAUCCUUUUGAUUUUUUAACCGAAGCAAAUGCGAAGAAAAGGGUCAAAGUGGUAAAUUGAAUAUACACUUGCCUAUCCAACAACCUCUUAAUUUAAUAUAUUUAAUUGAGAAAAGUAGUUUAGAGGAAGAGGUAUUCAUCAAUUCCCCAUAAACUUGUGACCAUUGGCCAAUUUUCCCCCUCAACUUUAAUUUUGGCCAAUUUCUUCCCUAAACUCUCAUAAUUAGUUAAUUUCCCCCAUCAACUUUAAUUUGGUCAAUUUCCCCCCUCAACUCUCAUAAUUAGUCAAUUUGCACCCUACUGUUAAUUUUUUAUUUAUUUUUCAUCUAUUCUUUUUUUUUUCUUUCAAUCUUUCUAAUAACUUCCAACAAAAUACUAAAAUUAAUAUAAACUCACCUGCAUAAUAUAGGGUAAAAUGUACAAAAACAUAAUACCAUUAGUAUGUGAUAUGGGUUGAUUAUAAGAAAAAGUUAUGAAUCGGGUUUAAAUCAUGUAGAAGAAGAAACAAUAAUCCUAAACUCAUGGAUCAGACCUAUUUCAAUAAAAUGGGUUAUUCUUAAUAAGGAGUCGAAAAUUAUGAAUUGACUAGCCAUUUUUGCACUAAACCUCGAUUCUCCGCAAUUUACUUGAACUUAGCUUUCACUUUUAUAAAGAAAAUUGUAUUCACAUACAAAAAUGUACACAUCAAUCCUUUUCGUUAUCAAUUUUGUAUAGUAAAAAAUCAAAUAAAAUUACUCCAUACUAAUUUAUUAUGACUAAUAAUACUAUUUAUGAUAAAUUGUAAAAUUCUAAAUUUUAAUCUAUUUGUAAUAGGAUAAAGACAUAGGAAAAUGAUUAACAUACAUCUUAUUUAGUUUCUUACACACACUUGUUUAAUUAUGAUCAAAUUAAAAAAUUAACAGUAGGGUGCAAAUUGACUAAUUAUAAGAGUUGAGGGGGGAAAUUGGCCAAAUUAAAGUUGAGGGGGGAAAUUGACUAAUUAUGAGAGUUGAGGGGGGAAAUUGGCCAAAAUUAAAGUUGAGGGGGGAAUUGGCCAAUAGUCACAAGUUCAUGGGGGAAAUUGAUGAAUACCUCUUAGAGGAAUGAUGGUAUCUCUUUUUCUUCUCACUCAAUCUUCCAGCAUGCGAUUUAAUCAUGAUUAAAGCCAAGCUUAAUAAUAGGUCGUAUUAUUUAGGUCGUUUUGGAUUAUAAGUUUUUGUUGUGAACUUGUGAUACGAUAGUUAGAAAAUUAAAAAAAUUAUAAUUUAAAUAUAUGUGGUGAAAUCUGUUAAGAUUUAGAUUCAAAAUUGAAAAUUUCAUUAACUUCAUUAAUUAUUAGCACACGAAGCUUACAAAUGAAAUAAAAAUAAUAAAAUUAGUCUCACAUGUAAUCUCUAUGCGCUAACAAUUAAUAGAGAGAUUCAUUUUAACCUAAAAUGUGUGACUUACGUACUAAUAAUUAACAAAAUAUUGACAAAAUUUUCAAUUUUAAGCAUAAAUCUUAAUAAACUUCAUCUCAUAAACUUAAAUCCUAAUUCAACAAUCUUCUCAUUACCUUACCACUGCAAACUACCUUGCCACUACAAAAAUUAUUAAUCAAAUUAAACUUAUUAUUUACUUACAAAUACGUAACUCAAUCACCGAAAGCUAUCUCCGUUGCUAUCUCCGUUUCUUUGCUGAGUGGACAGCUGUCUCUUUGUCUUCUUUUGGCAGAUAGCUACUAGACUCCUAGUGGCCGGCCUAUUUUCCACAGCUGGUUAUAGGACUCAGUUGCUAUUCAAGAAGUGUUAUGUUGUAAUUCAAUAUUGAUGGAAAUCCAACAGAAUCUUCUUCGAAUUGUUGUGAGCAUUUUGGGAUAUUUUUUAAUCAUAUUCAUUUAUCGUUGUGGGAUCAAUUUUAUUAAAUAUUAUUUAUGUUUAAUUUUAAAUAAAUAAAUUUAAAAUAAAUUUUUAUCGCACGAUAUACUAUGAACGAAUACGAUUCAUAGAUCUCCAAUAUCUUCACAAGAAGAAUCCAAAAGGAUCCGGAUUCAAUGGAAAUAAGCUAAUUUUGAAUCAAAUAACAUUACUUUAUUUUGUAAGUAAAUUAAUUUUAAAUCAAACAACAUUCAUUUAUUAUGUAGCUAAUUAAUUUUGUAUGUGUCAUCAUAUAUAUUAGGCACAUUUUAUUAUAGGUGAUUUUGUGGUAUUCAUUUUCAUUUGUAAGUAAGAGGUCUUAAGUUCGAUUUUCAUCAAAAACGAAUUUAAACUAUAUUAUUGCUAGUCCAUUAUGAGGCCUAACCCACCCUCCUCCCCCUUAGUGUAGAUAGAUCGUUUGUUCAAAAAAAUAUAUAAUCAAAAUAGAAUGUGAAGCGAAACAAUAGAUCAACAUUAUUUAUGUUAAUUAUAAAUAGGUCAACCAUGUAUGUGAUACUUAAAUCAUUUAAAAUAAAAUAAAAAUUACAAAAUCUGCCAUUACAGCUGGCACACACUUUAAUUAACACUUUCUUUCUCAUAAUUUUUAUAUUUGGAAUAAGUCAUACGAAUCAAAUACUACAAUGUAUUAUCUGUUUUUUAAUUCUAUUUUUUACAUUUGGAUUCAGACACUGCGUUGUAGUGUCCAUUUACUGAUUUUGUUUUUUCCAUCACUCACAUGCCUCCUAUAUGUUCCUUUGUACAUUUGGAUUUAGACAAUGCAAUGCAGUGUCUGUUUCUUGGUUCUGGUUUUCUCUUUUGGAUUCAAACGCUGCAUUGCAAUGUAUGUUUCCUAGUCCUAUUUCUUUCAUCAUCCACACGUCUCCUACACUUCACACUUUCAUGCGACUCCUGAUUUUUACAUUUAGAUUCAGACAUUGUAAUGCAAUGUUCAUUUCCUACCUUUGAUUUUUACAUUUAAAUCUAGGGUUAAACUCUGUUUACUACCCUAAUGUUUCGUGGUUUUCUACAUUUAGUACAUCAAAUUUUUUUCAUCCCAGAGUCAUACCUAAAGUGUUAAUUUUGGGACAGUCUCAUACAUCCAUUAGUCAAACUGUUAGUUCUCACGUUAAGUGAUGAUGUGGCGCCCAUGUGGACAAUGACUGGGCCCCACGUGUCAUUAAAAAAUAUUAAAAUAAUUAAUUAUGUAACACCCGCCCCCACUUAUAAAAUUAUAUGUGUGUAAUAUUCCCUAAAUAUUCUGAAUCUAUCAAUUUUACCCUUUUUGGACUACCCUAUCAGGAUCUAAACAUUGGAUCCUUCUUUCUUUUCAAACUGCCACGUGGCAGCUCCCUAGCAAUUUCCCUGUCUUCUCUCUCUGUCCCCCCCCCGUGACUCCUUCUUUCUCUUCUUCUUUUUCUGUUUUCUUUUCUUUCUUCUGUCUGUCUCUCUGUCCCUCCCGACUCUAUCUCUUUCUCUCGUCUCUCUCUCAUAGCUCCCUCAUCUCUCUUCUCUGCAGCAACCCGCACGCACGCACCCAUCUCCCCCGCGCGAAGAAGACCCAUCUCCUUCUUCUCUCUCCCUCUGUCCCGUGCUGCGAGCCCAGAAACCGGAGAGGAACUCCGGCGAAACCUUUAUUUUCCCGGUUGGGACGAAUCGAAGCCGGGUGUAAGCACACCCAACUCCGGCGAUCCCGAGGGUGUCGGGGCUUUUUCCGGCCAUCUCCGAUCGUUCCACGACGAAAGGAAGGUGCAAUUAUUAACGGUGAUUCUGUUAUACCUUCUUGGUAUAGCUUUGCACCGUUGGUGUACGGUGAGUGGACCCCUUCAAAAUCAUGUUUUAACAAUAGAAAUGCAUACAUGAAAAGCAUGAUUUAAUACUUAUGUUUUACGAAGUACUUUAUGAGAUAUAUGCUUACUGAGGCUAGAUUGAAUUAUUACUAUUUUUCCUAUAACCCAUGUUCUUAUAGAAUAUCCGAUGGAUGACGAUAUGAUAUUAGAACAUGUUUAGAACACCUCUUUGUAGUAUAGAUGAUGGAUGACUUUAUACUACGAAGUUGUUUUUCAAUAUGUUAUGCUCAAUGGUUUUGUACUUACCUAGUGGUCCUUUCCGCUACGGGACGUAGGGAUAGAUUCCGGUCCGUCCCGAGCGACGGUUUGGUGUUGGCAUAGGGCCUGGAGUGUGUUUCCUCUGGCUAUUUAGCACAGGGACGGGGAGCCGGCAUGGGGUCUGUAGUGUAUUUUCCUCUGACUGUCUGCUCAGAGACGGGGAGCUGGCAUGGGGCCUGUAGAGUAUCGGACAAUUCACUAGUGUUUAUUACUUAUACAAGUUAUGAAUUUGAGAUAUUGCACGGCAUGCUAGGUUUCGGAAAAUCUAUUUUGAUCAUGAUAUAUGUGUUUUCAUUAAACCUGGGGGUUAGUAUGUUGAUAACUGUUUUAUUAUAUUUAUAUCAAACUGGUCCACUCAUGUUUGUUUUGCGCCCCCUUCAGGACCUACGAACGAGGAUUACGAUAUAAGCUACGAGGCUUUUCCCUAUCAGUGAUCCAGUGCUAUACUUCUUCUGCUUCGAUAUCUUUUGUAAUAUAGCACAUCUCUAUUUUAAAUUCUGUUUGUACUCUGUAAUAGAUGUAUGCUUUGACAUUAUGCGUGGAUCCUAAUGUUGUAAUUAGAAGUUGAAUUUGUAGUAUUAUUGUGGCUAGUCUUGCUGCCUGUUUUAGCUUAUUUGUGAGUUUUUACUUAAAUUAAUGGCUUUCGUCACCCUUUGGGUGUCGGCCAGCACGUGAUAAUCCCGAUGUCACGAGGACAUCGGGAUCGGGGCGUGUCAGAUUGGUAUCAGAGCAUGAUUCAUUCAGAGCAUACUUAGGAUUCUUUUCCACCAUUUGGUAAUUAUAAUUCCCCUUAUAUCCUUAAUUUUCUGUUGUUCUAAAUCUUUCUUGUUUCUUAUCAGAAUUAUGGAUCCCGCUGGUGGGCAUGUACCUCGUCGAGCUCGUUUUGGUAUAGGGGGAGGACUUGAGCAAUUGGCUAAUGUUUUGCGAACUGCCCUUACUGGUAGAUCAUCGAAUCGCACCUAUAUUGAGAUUGCUACCAGUCAUGGUAUUCCAGAGCUUAAGGUAGUGGGAGCCUGUCCGGAGGCUGAGGAAUGGUUAGAGCAGGUGGAAGAUACUCUGGAGGGUAUGAGAUGUCCACCAGGUGAGUGGGCGGAGACUGCUGGGUUUUUUCUUAAGGGUCCUGCAAAGAUUUGGUGGAAAGGAGUGAAGCAUUCUCGUCCACGAGGCACUUCGAUGACUUGGGUGGCAUUCCGGAAAGCUUUCAGUGCACAUUUUCUGAGUCCCAGUUAUCAGUUGAGGAUGAGACAACAAUUUCUGGAGUUUCGUCAAGGCGAUCUGAGUAUCACAGAGAUGGAUAAUACUUUUCGACGCCUGUCGAGACACCAUCCGGUGACUUAUGAUAACCCGAGUGAGAAGAUGGUUCAGUUGCUGGUUUGUUUGAACCCUGAUUAUCGUGAACGAGUGGCAGCUAUAAGGCACAGAAGUUAUGAGGAAAUGAUUGAGACUUGUUUGAGGAUUGAACAAUCUAGGUGGGAGACUCAGCACCAGGAGGAGCAGGCGCAGUAUCAGGAACCACCCAGAUAUCAGGAACAACCUCGGAACCAGAACCAGAGAGGUCAUGGUUUUAGAUCUCGGAGUGUGAGGAAAUCUGGUAGCUCUUCUAACUUUGUUGGCCCUAGACACUCUCAUUCCUUCAAACGUCAGGGUCAAGGUUCAGGUUCUUCCAGCGAGGGUUCGGGUAAUGAAUCAGGGAGGCGAUAUUUCAGUCAUUUUCGAUCGCAGGUUACGUGCCACAGGUGUGGAGGCAUGGGACAUAUUGCCAGAUUUUGCCCUUCAGGACAGCCUGCUGAGAGUUAUGCAUCGGUGCCGAGUUAUGGUGGAGGGAGUAAUCCGAGUUCUAGCUAUGGAGGUAAUUACACUCAGAGUUAUGGUGGAAGUGGAAGUGGAAGUCAGAAUACCCAAUUUUCCACUCAGAGACAGCCGCAACAGUUUGGUGCAGCUUCGAGUAGCCGCUCUCAGGGGAAUCGAGCAGGCCGUAAUAAUCAAGGUUUCAGAGCUCGUGGUAACCGUAACAGUGGUGGAGGACGUCAGUUUCAUGGACGUAUCAACGCCAUGACACAGCAGGAGGCUGAUCAGGAUCCUCAAGUCAUUACCGGUAUGUUACUUAUUUGUGGUAACUGGGCGAGGGUUCUAAUCGAUCCGAGUGCUACUUUUUCUUUUGUGUCUUCAUCUUUUGCACCGAAUUUAAAUGCACCACCUACACCUCUUGGUUAUGAUAUGCUUGUGCAAAUGCCGCAAGGGGAUCUGUUUUGUGCUCAGUGGGAGUAUAAAAGUUGCCCAGUGGUAGUGGAAGGGGAAAUGAUGGAGGCUAAUCUGGUCCCUUUUCAUUUGGCGGAGUUCGAUGUGAUUUUGGGGAUGGAUUGGCUAUCCAGGCACCGGGCCUAUGUCGCAUGUUGGGAGAAAUCUGUGACGUUCAAUCGACCUGGACGACCGUCAAUCACAUUUCAGGGUGAGCGACGAAUCCUUCCUAGUAGUAUUAUUUCCGCUAUUCAGGCUACUAGAUUGUUGAGUAGGGGAUGUGUGGGAUUCUUAGCUCAUGUAGUAACGAGGGAUAAAUCUUCGUUACGUCCUAAGGAUGUGCCAGUGGUGAAGCAUUACACCGAUGUUUUCCCGGAGGAUUUACCAGGGUUACCGCCUGCGAGGGAAAUUGAAUUUACCAUCGAUUUACUUCCAGGAACAGACCCUAUCUCUUUAGCACCUUAUCGCAUGGCACCGGCGGAGUUGAGGGAAUUGAAGGUUCAACUUCAGGAAUUGGUGGAUAAAGGUUACAUCCAACCCAGUAUGUCUCCCUGGGGUGCUCCUGUUUUAUUUGUUAAAAAGAAGGAUGGAUCGAUGAGACUUUGCAUCGACUAUCGGCAGUUAAACCGGGUGACGGUGAAGAAUCGAUAUCCUUUGCCUCGGAUCGACGAUCUGUUCGACCAGCUGAAGGGUGCUCAGAUAUUCUCUAAGAUAGAUCUUCGCUCAGGUUAUCACCAGUUGUUAAUUCGGGAGGGAGAUGUACCGAAGACUGCUUUCCGCACUAGGUAUGGACACUUUGAAUUUCGUGUCAUGCCUUUCGGACUGACGAAUGCACCUGCAGCAUUCAUGGAUUUGAUGAACAGAGUUUUCAGACCGUAUUUGGAUCGGUUUGUGAUUGUGUUCAUUGAUGAUAUUCUGAUCUUUUCCAAGAGUGUCAGCGAGCACAAGAAGCAUUUGAGGUUGGUGUUGGAAAGGUUGAGCAGUGAGCAGUUGUAUGCUAAGUUUAGCAAGUGUCAGUUCUGGCUAACCCAAAUUAGCUUUCUCGGUCAUGUAGUAUCUGCUGAGGGGAUUAGUGUGGAUCCUCAGAAGGUGUCAGCAAUAACUACGUGGGAGCAACCGAGGAAUGUUACUGAAGUGAGGAGUUUUCUAGGUCUGGCUGGCUAUUACCGAAGAUUUGUUAAAGGUUUCUCAGCCAUUGCCUUACCUCUGAAUAAGUUGACUCGAAAGGAAGUGGAGUUUAAGUGGGAUGAAGAUUGUGAGCGGAGUUUUCAGGAACUGAAGCGAUGUCUUACUCAAGCUCCCGUUCUUACUCUUCCAGACGAUAGCGGUGAGUUUGAUAUCUACACGGAUGCAUCAUUAUCAGGUUUGGGUUGUGUACUGAUGCAGCAUGAUAAAGUCAUUGAUUAUGCUUCCAGACAGCUCAAAAUUCACGAGAGAAACUAUCCCACUCAUGAUUUGGAACUUGGUGCAGUAGUGUUUGCUUUGAAGAUCUGGAGACAUUACUUGUACGGUGAGAAGUGUCGUAUCUUUACUGAUCAUAAGAGCCUCAAGUAUAUCUUUACUCAGAGGGAUUUGAAUUUGAGGCAGAGAAGAUGGAUGGAACUUAUCACUGAUUAUAACUGCACGAUCGAGUAUCAUCCCGGACAUGCCAAUGUAGUGGCAGAUGCACUUAGUCGGAAAUAUCAUGGAUAGCUUGCAUCUCUCCAAGCUAUUCAUGUUCCACUACUAUUUUCUCUUCGAGAAACAGGCUUGUCGGUGAGACCGGGUGAGCAAUGAGCGUGGUUGGCAAAUUUCCAAGUUAGACCUGUUUUGGUGGAUAUAGUCAUAGAAGCUCAGGAGCUUGAUCAGGAGAGUGCCAACAUUAAGGUCUCGGUGGAAAAAGGAGAAGAGAAGCAUUUUAUCAUCCGAAGUGAUGGAGCCUUGAUGUGGGAAAACAGAUUGUAUGUUCCUCAUGAUAACGAAGCAGUGAAAAGAGCAAUUCUGGAUGAAGCACAUUUGUCAGCUUAUGCCAUGCAUCCGGGAAGUACUAAACUGUAUCGCACUAUCCGUCUGUUCUAUUAUUGGUUGGGAAUGAAGCGGGAUGUGGCGGAUUAUGUGAGUAGAUGCAUCAUUUGUCAACAAGUAAAGGCAGAGAGGCAAAGACCUGGAGGAUUGAUGCAGAAUCUUCCGAUACCAGCAUGGAAAUGGGAAGACAUCACCAUGGAUUUUGUGUAUGGUCUGCCGAGGACGCGGUCGAGAUUGGACGGCAUAUGGGUAAUUGUUGAUCGACUGACUAAGACCGCUCAUUUCUUACCUGUUCGACAGACCUAUUCAAUGGAGAAAUUAUCGAAGUUGUUCAUCGAUAAUAUUGUUAGACUUCAUGGUGUACCUGUCUCUAUUGUUUCAGACAGAGAUCCCAGAUUUACUUCCAAAUUUUGGAAAGCUUUUAAUACUGCCAUGGGUACUCAGUUGCUGUUUAGUACUGCUUAUCAUCCACAGACUGACGGUCAGUCCGAGAGGACAAUACAAACAUUGGAGGACAUGUUGAGAGUGUCUGUUCUUCAGUGGAAGGGUAGUUGGGAUAACUAUCUGCCGUUGGUUGAAUUUGCAUACAACAACAGCUACCAUUCGAGUAUUGGUGUGGCACCUUAUGAAGCCUUGUAUGGGAGAGUGUGUCGAACGCCGUUGUGUUGGGCAGAGGUCGGCGAGCGAGUAUUGUUGGGACCGGAGAUUGUAGACACUACCAAUGAGAACAUCCAGCUGAUAAAGAGAAAUCUCAAGGCAGCUCAAGACCGACAGAAAAGCAUAGCGGACAAACAUUCCAAAGAUCGUGAGUACAAGAUUGGUGACUUUGUAUUCUUGAAGUUGUCUCCCUGGAAGGGUGUGGUUCGUUUUGGUAAACGAGGAAAGUUGAGUCCUCGAUAUGUUGGUCCUUAUCAGAUUACGGAGAGAAUUGGUGCAGUUGCCUAUAGAUUGGAGUUGCCACCGGAGUUGUCUCAGAUUCACAAUGUUUUCCAUAUUUCUAUGCUUCGGAAAUAUGUAUCAGAUCCCUCUCAUGUUAUUCAGCUAGAGCCGCUGGAAGUAAGUCCGGAUGUUAGUUAUGUUGAAGAACCAGUGGCUAUUCUUGACCAGCAGAAUAAAGUGUUGAGGAACAAGGUCAUUCCGUUGGUGAAAGUGUUGUGGAGGAACCACGCUACUGAAGAAGCGACGUGGGAAACGGAAGACCUGAUGAGGAGUCAGUAUCCGUAUUUAUUUGCUUGAAGUUGUAAUUUCGGGGACGAAAUUUUUAUAAGGGGGGUAGAUUGUAACACCCGCCCCCACUUAUAAAAUUAUAUGUGUGUAAUAUUCCCUAAAUAUUCUGAAUCUAUCAAUUUUACCCUUUUUGGACUACCCUAUCAGGAUCUAAACAUUGGAUCAUUCUUUCUUUUCAAACUGCCACGUGGCAGCUCCCUAGCAAUUUCCCUGUCUUCUCUCUUUGUCCCCCCCCCCGUGACUCCUUCUUUCUCUUCUUCUUUUUCUGUUUUCUUUUCUUUCUUCUGUCUGUCUCUCUGUCCCUCCCGACUCUAUCUCUUUCUCUCGUCUCUCUCUCAUAGCUCCCUCAUCUCUCUUCUCUGCAGCAACCCGCACGCACGCACCCGUCUCCCCCGCGCGAAGAAAACCCAUCUCCUUCUUCUCUCUCCCUCUGUCCCGUGCUGCGAGCCCGGAAACCGGAGAGGAACUCCGGCGAAACCUUUAUUUUCCCGGUUGGGACGAAUCGAAGCCGGGUGUAAGCACACCCAACUCCGGCGAUCCCGAGGGUGUCGGGGCUUUUUCCGGCCAUCUCCGAUCGUUCCACGACGAAAGGAAGGUGCAAUUAUUAACGGUGAUUCUGUUAUACCUUCUUGGUAUAGCUUUGCACCGUUGGUGUACGGUGAGUGGACCCCUUCAAAAUCAUGUUUAACAAUAGAAAUGCAUACAUGAAAAGCAUGAUUUAAUACUUAUGUUUUACGAAGUACUUUAUGAGAUAUAUGCUUACUGAGGCUAGAUUGAAUUAUUACUAUUUUUCCUAUAACCCAUGUUCUUAUAGAAUAUCCGAUGGAUGACGAUAUGAUAUUAGAACAUGUUUAGAACACCUCUUUGUAGUAUAGAUGAUGGAUGACUUUAUACUACGAAGUUGUUUUUCAAUAUGUUAUGCUCAAUGGUUUUGUACUUACCUAGUGGUCCUUUCCGCUACGGGACGUAGGGAUAGAUUCCGGUCCGUCCCGAGCGACGGUUUGGUGUUGGCAUAGGGCCUGGAGUGUGUUUCCUCUGGCUAUUUAGCACAGGGACGGGGAGCCGGCAUGGGGCCUGUAGUGUAUUUUCCUCUGACUGUCUGCUCAGAGACGGGGAGCUGGCAUGGGGCAUGUAGAGUAUCGGACAAUUCACUAAUGUUUAUUACUUAUACAAGUUAUGAAUUUGAGAUAUUGCACGGCAUGCUAGGUUUCGGAAAAUCUAUUUUGAUCAUGAUAUAUGUGUUUUCAUUAAACCUGGGGGUUAGUAUGUUGAUAACUGUUUUAUUAUAUUUAUAUCAAACUGGUCCACUCAUGUUUGUUUUGCGCCCCCUUCAGGACCUACGAACGAGGAUUACGAUAUAAGCUACGAGGCUUUUCCCUAUCAGUGAUCCAGUGCUAUACUUCUUCUGCUUCGAUAUCUUUUGUAAUAUAGCACAUCUCUAUUUUAAAUUCUGUUUGUACUCUGUAAUAGAUGUAUGCUCUGACAUUAUGCGUGGAUCCUAAUGUUGUAAUUAGAAGUUGAAUUUGUAGUAUUAUUGUGGCUAGUCUUGCUGCCUGUUUUAGCUUAUUUGUGAGUUUUUACUUAAAUUAAUGGCUUUCGUCACCCUUUGGGUGUCGGCCAGCACGUGAUCAUCCCGAUGUCACGAGGACAUCGGGAUCGGGGCGUGUCAAAUUAAAUAAAAGUUAUAAAAAAAAAACCGAAUCUGCAACCCAGAAGAAGAACCUUCUGGGUACGUGUUUGCAGUUGCGGGGCGAAUUCUAGAUCUUAAUUGGAUUAUUAGUUUCUGUUGUAAUAUGGUAGUUAGAAGAUUAAAAAAAACUAUGAUUUAUGCUUCAUAUGCUAACAAUUAACAGAUAAUUAAUGAAAUUUUUAAUUUUAAAUCUAAAUCCUAACAUAUUUUACAAUAGAAGCUUAAAUCUUAAUUUACUCAAUCACAUGGAUUAUUUUAUAACUACCUUACUAUUAAUUCAAUUAAACCUAUUAUUUCUACGAAAACUAACAAAAAUUUCAAAAAAAACUUUAGUUUUAAUGAAAAAAGAAAAAUGAAGAUUUGGUAAAUAAUACCAAAAAAAAAAUAAAAAUAUAAAUUUUCAUUAAAAAUGAACAGCAUCAAAAGUGUUUUAUUAAUACUCCAAUUAUUUAUUUACAAAUACGUGACUAAAUGAAAGGGAGCACUCAAAAUGAUGAAAAGCAGGAGCACCGAAGGCUAUCUCCGUUUCUUUGUUGAGUGGACAGCUGUCUCUUCGUCUUCUUUUGGCAGAUAGCUCCUAGUGGCCAGCCUAUAUUCCACAGCUGGUUAUAGGAUUCGGUUGCUAUAUAAGAAGUGUUUUGUUGUAAUUCAAUAUCGAUAGAAAUCCAAUAGGAUCUUUUUCAAAAUUUUGUGCGGAUUUUGGUAUGUUCGUAAAUCGUAUUUGUUCAUAUUAUACGCUCAUUUUUCAUGGAAUAUUAUUUUUGUUUAAUUUUAAAUAAAAUAAUUUAAAAUAAUUUUUUAUUGUAACAUGUACAAUGAACGGAUAUGAAUUGAUUCACAGAUCUUCAAAAUCCUUACAAAGAAAAUCCAAAAAUAAUCCGAAUUCAAUGGAGAUAAGUUAAUUUUGAAUCAAAUAACAUUAGGAAAAAAAAUUAACAUUAGACGGUUUUAAAUAAUUUAUUGUAUAUUUUUAGGGAAUUGUUAUUAGCACUUUAAAAAUCUCAUUUUACACUCCAAACUUUUUAUAUUAGAAAAGAAAAAUACACUUAUGAGGAAUGUAGAAUAAGAUUUUUGAAUUAACCAUGCAAAAAUGUAAUGUUAAAGCAUCAUGUCAUACAGACCUCUUCAAGGUACCAGAAAUUUUUGCACUAAAGAUGUCACAAGCAGCUGAUAUGAAGCUGCAUUUUCUGUGAGUUGAAAUUUUGUCAAUAUAAUCGAUCACCUGAAGAGAGAGAGAGAGAGAAAGACAGUGAUGUCCAGAGAUGUGAGCCUAAAUGCUGAGUGUGUAAAAAAAGAAGAUUAAAUGGAUAGCAAGAAUAUACAACUUUAAUGCUGAAAAGAACAUUGAAUAUGAUGCUCAUUCAUCAUUGCCAUUGAACGUGUACCUUCUUCUUUUCCUCUUUCUCAAAAGCAAGUAGAGCCUUGAAGACUUGCCUAUAUGAUCCAUCAUCACAACCAGGCAAAGUUGUUUUAAUCAUAGCAACAAUGGCUCUAACUAACUACCUGCCAUAAGAAACAUGCUACAUCAACAAGAUCACAGAGUGUACCAGAAACCGUAAUGUAGCAAAAUCUUAGAUAAAAUAGCUGGCCAAAAGGGAAUGGAAAAGCAAGCACAAAAAACAAUGAAAAGGACCAGUGAUGCCAAAAUUCUGGUGGAAAAGGUGAAAAGCUUAUGUCUAUUACAGUUCUUGUAUGCAUUCUUUAUAACUUAAGUUCUACGUAGCAAAAACCACCUUAUGCACAACAAUAUUGGAAAAAUUAGAUACAUACAACUGAGAAGAUAGGUUUUCAUAAUCUGGACAAGUGCUAACUACCUUCUUCCUAUAAACUGCCACUCCAUGAACAUUAAAUGGUAUUUUCCUUUCACGCAAGGCUGUCUGGAAGACUUUUCCUGAUACCUGUAGAAUAAAUUACAAAAGAAAAUGUGACCAAAAUGUCUUAUAUGAUUCACCUCAUUCACAUUAGCACUAAGGCAAGUAAGCUUGACCUGCCUCCGGUAAAGGAUUGCUAUAUUUCCAUAGGAGCACCCUGCUUCUGACCGUUUAGAUGCAGUCUCCAGGAUCUUGUCGACAACAAAGGCGCAUUGUGCAUCCUCAUUGUGACUUUCCUUGAUAAUUACCUACAUUUUGCCAGUAAAACCAGUGUCACUAACUAAAAGGACUGAAAAAUGACAUCAAAUUGUACUUGUUGGAGCAAGGAAAGAUUAAGUACCUUAGACCCAGAAGAAUUGUCCGUGUCAACAUUCUUUAGUUGGCAUCACUUCUUAUUGUUUUUUAUAACAGAAGAUGCAGCUUCCACACAAUAUAGCGUGUGGACCGAAAGUUCUUAUUAAGCCUAAUCUGAACCAUAAAGUUAUGUCAAAUCCCACAGAACCCCAUAAAAUAAAACUUACUUUCCUGUAAUUGUACAAUAUAUUUGUUCUAUACUAUAUAUAACGAAAAAAGACACCGUGAAUGACAUAAGAUAACAUAGCAGUCAAGUGCGAAGCGAACCUCUUUGUAAUUUGAAAAAUCUUUACGAAAAGAAUCAAAUCCAGAAAUGUCCGCCCCAUUGAAACUGAAAAUGGACUGCAGCAGGAUAUAUGUUAUUUGAUUUAGAACAGAUAAGGGCUGGAUUAGAAUGAGCUGAGAGAGGGAGAGAGGGAGAGACGGAGCAAUAACAUUGGAUUUCCAUAAUAAAUCAACAACAUGCCUGAUCAUCAUCACCAACAAUGGUUAUGUGGUUAUGAGAGGCGAGAAUCCGCAAAAGUCUAUAUUGCAUAGCACUUGUGUCUUGAAACUCGUCUAUUACAAUAGCUUUCCAUGACUCCUGGCACUCCUUCAACACUAAUUAAGAGAACACCAUGUAUCAACAUUUAGCAUUACUUGUAAAACUAGAUAAAUCAAUGAAAUAUACUUAGAUGAUAGAGACCUUCAGGAAAAUCACUUAGCAGCUUCACAGAGCAGCUAAUUAAGUCGUGGUAGUCCAAAGCGUUGCACGAUUUCAAGAUAUCAUUGUAAUUCCUAAGAAUUUCACCCUGAUUCAGAUUGAGAGCUAAAACUCAUAAGCAAUAGUUUCAAAGAACUGAAAUGAUAUCUGAAAUUCUAGUUCUGAGCGUACUCCUGUCACAUCACCCAUUCUUUGGCAUUCAGCGGGAGUUCUUUCCAGAAGCUUUUGCCUGAAACAUAAAUAAAUUUAUUGCCUAAUGCCACAUAUUGUAAGACACACCAUUGUAUUGGUCACUCUAGCUAAGCACAAUGAGCUUCAGUGGCAUACGGCGGUCACACAACACGCCGGAUGCACUCUUCCACUUCAUCCAUCCAGCUUGUAUUCUAUGGUUGAGAUCUCCAUCUAAUUCUCCGUUCUUUUGCAAAAUAGAUCCUAGGUAACGAAAACGGUCGCUCUUUGAUAUUUCUUGAUCUCCGAUCCUCACCCCUAAAUCGUUUUGGCCUCCAUUUGCACUGAACUUGCACUCCAUAUAUUCUGUCUUUGAUCGGCUUAGGCGAAAACCUUUAGAUUCCAACACUUCUCUCCAAAGGUUAAGCUUUGCAUUUACCCCUUCCUGAGUUUCAUCUAUCAACACUAUAUCGUCUGCGAAAAGCAUACACCAAGGAAUAUCACCUUGAAUAUGUCCUGUUAACUCAUCCAUUACCAACGCAAAAAAGGUAAGGACUUAAGGAUGAGCCUUGAUGUAAUCCUACAGUUAUGGGAAAGCUUUCGGUUUGUCCUUCAUGAGUUCUUACGGCAGUCUUUGCUCCUUCAUACAUAUCUUGUAUAGCUUGGAUAUAUGCUACUCGUACUCCUUUCUUCUCUAAAAUCCUCCAAAGAAUGUCUCUUGGGACCCUAUCAUACGCUUUUUCCAAAUCUAUAAAGACCAUGUGUAAAUCCUUUUUCCCAUCUCUAUAUCUUUCCAUCAAUCUUCGUAAGAGAUAGAUUGCCUCCAUGGUUGAGCGCCCUGGCAUGAACCCGAAUUGGUUGUCCGAAACCCGUCUCUUGCCUCAAUCUAUGCUCAAUGACUCUCUCCCAGAGCUUCAUUGUAUGACUCAUUAGCUUAAUACCACUAUAGUUCAUGCAAUUUUGUACAUCGCCCUUAUUCUUGUAGAUAGGCACCAAAGUGCUAAUUCGCCACUCAUUCGGCAUCUUCUUCGUUUUCAAAAUCCUAUUGAAAAGGUCAGUGAGCCAUGUUAUACCUGUCUCUCCCAAAACUUUCCACACUUCGAUUGGUAUAUUGUCUGGGCCUACUGCUUUUCUAUGUUUCAUCUUCUUCAAAGCUACAACCACUUAUUCCUUCCGGAUUCCACGAUAAAAAAAGUAGUUUCUACACUCUUCUGAGUUACUCAACUCCCCUAAAGAAGCACUCAUUUCAUGUCCUUCAUUGAAAAGAUUAUGAAAAUAACCUUUCCAUCUGUCUUUAACCGCGUUCUCUGUAGCAAGAACCUUUCCAUCCUCAUCCUUAAUGCACCUCACUUGGUUUAGGUCCCUUGUCUUCUUUUCCCUUACUCUAGCUAGUUUAUAGAUAUCCAACUCUCCUUCUUUGGUAUCUAGUCGCUUAUACAUAUCGUCAUAAGCCGCUAACUUAGCUUCUCUCACAGCUUUCUUCGCCUCUUGCUUCGCAUUUCUAUACCUUUCACCAUUUUCAUCGGUCCUAUCCUUGUAUAAGGUUUUACAACAUUCCUUCUUAGCCUUCACCUUUGCUUGUACCUCCUCAUUCCACCACCAAGAUUCCUUUUGGUGUGGGGCAAAGCCCUUGGACUCUCCUAAUACCUCUUUUGCUACUUUUCGGAUACAACUAGCCAUGGAAUCCCACAUUUGAUUAACUUCCCCCUCUCUAUCCCACACACACUGGGUGAUUACUUUCUCUUUGAAAAUGGCUUAUUUUUCUUCUUUUAGAUUCCACCAUCUAGUCCUUGGGCACUUCCAAGUCUUGUUCUUUUUUCUCACUCUUUUGAUAUGUACAUCCAUCACCAACAAGCGAUGUUGAUUAGCCACGCUCUCUCCUGGUAUAACUUUGCAAUCUUUACAAGUUAUACGAUCCCCUUUCCUCAUUAGAAGAAAAUAUAUUUGUGUUUUUGACGACCCACUCUUGUAGGUGAUCACAUGUUCUUCUCUCUUCUUAAAGAAGGUGUUGGCUAAGAAGAGAUCAUAUGCCAUUGCAAAAUCCAAGAUAGCUUCCCCAUCCUCGUUUCUCUCCCCAAAACCAUGGCCACCAUGAAAACCUCCAUAGUUGCCUGUCUCCCUGCCCACGUGUCCAUUUAAAUCUCCUCCUAUAAAUAACUUCUCCGUCUGAGCAAUUCCUUGCACCAAGUCUCCAAGGUCUUCCCAAAAUUUCUCCUUCGAACUCGUAUCCAACCCUACUUGAGGUGCGUACGCACUAAUCACAUUGAUAAGUUAUUGUCCUAUUACAAUCUUGAUUGCCAUGAUUCUAUCUCCUACCCUCUUGACAUCUACAACAUCUUGUGUCAAGGUCUUGUCCACGAUGAUGCCAACACCGUUUCUCGUUCUAUUUGUGCCCGAAUACCAUAGUUUAAACCCUGAGUUUCUAGAUAUAUAUAUAUAUAUAUAUAUAUAUCAAAUGGCCCCUAAAUGCUAUUAAAAAUCUCAAAAAUUAACAGGAAACUAAAACAAAUUAGAAUUUAUUCAUGGUUUCGCAAUUCCCAGCCGGGUAAACUGGUGGCCGUUGUAAGAGAGGGCCUCCAGCCGGAUAAACAUUUUCGAGUUAUAUGAUAUUUGUAUAGCAAAAAUACUUUAAUAGCAAGUGCGCGUGAGUGAAGAAAUUGAACUUACUUAUAUUCUUUCGAAUCCCAACCGGAAAAAUUGCAGGCUCUGGGAAGAGCGGACCUCCAGCUCUGCACCUCCUUCACGUCAACGUUAGAACGACCUUCAUGUUUAGCAAAAGCUUCUGCAAAACUUCCCUCGAGUUUACGAAUAUUGGACGGAUCGACUUGGUAGAAAAUGGGGAAUACAAUCUGGUUCUUGGAAUGGUUGCAUUCCAAGAUUUCCACGAGUUCUUUCAAGCACCAUGUGGAUGAAGCAUAGUUUUCAGAGAAAACUACAAUCGAAAUCCUUGACUCUCGAAUCGCUGUCAGGAGCUCGGAAAGGCGGUCGCCUUUUCUGAGGUCUUCGGCAUCAAUGAACGUGUUGAUUGGUUUCUGACGCAGAGCUUUGUAGAGAUGGCUGACGAAGCCCGUGCGAGUGUCUUCCCCUCUAAAAUUGAUGAACACAUCGUAUUCCCAACCAAGGCAAGAAGAAGAAGAAGAAGCAGCAAUUAAUCGAUCGCACCUGGGCAGCGAUGAUCGAGCAGCUUAAGACUAAGAGAAUUGUAAGUACAGAAACACUCAAUAGAUCUACAAAUUGGAUCACCAGAAAUUAGUCAAUGAGUCAAUGCAAAAGGGAAAAGGGCAAUUAUGCUUUUUGCGUUUUCACAUCUUCUUCAGGAAAUUUCGGUGUGAAAGGAAUCCGCAUACUUUUGAUUUUUCAACCCAAGAAAAUGCGAAGAAAGGGGACAAAGUAGUAAAUUUAAUCUACAGUUGCCUACCCAACAACCUCUUGAUUUAAUAUAUAUUUAAUUAGGAAAAGUAGUUUAGAGGAAGGAUGGUAUCUCCUUUUCUUCUCUCUCGAUCAGUCAAUCUUCCCGCGUGCGAUUUAAUCAUGAUUAAAGCUAAGCUUAAUCUUAGAUCGUAUUAUUUAGGUCUAAUUGGAUUCUUAAUUCUUGUUGUGAUAUAGUAGUUGGAAGAUUAAAAAAAAUUAUGAUUUAAAUGUUUGUGGUGAAGUCUGUUACGAUUUAGUUUCAAACUUGAAAAUUUCGUUAACUCCGUUAAUUAUUAGCACAUGAGACUCACAAAUGAAACUAAAAAUAUAAAGUUAGCCUCACAUGUAAUCUUCACGUGCUAACAAUUAAAAGAGAGUUCCGUUUUAGCUUAAUAUAUGUGACUCACGUGUUAAUAAUUAACGGAAUAUUAACAAAAAUUUUAAUUUUAAGCAUAAAUUCAAAUAAACUUCACCACAUAAGCUUAAAUUCUAAUUUAGAUAUCUUCUAACUAUCUUAUCACCAUAAAAAUUAUAAUCAAAUUAAACUUAUUAUUUAUUUAUAAAUGCGUAAUUAAAUCACAAAGUGUUGAAUGAAAGGGAGCACUCCAAAUGAUGAAAGAUGUGUGAUAUCCACACAUCUUUUUUUUUACUUUUUACACAUCGUUUUAAUUUUCGACUGUCGGAUCGAAUUAAUUGAAGAAAAUCAAAGGAUAAAAAUCAACAAAGGGUGUGCAAGAAGUAAAAAUGAGUGUGUGGAUAGUCAUCCCAUGAAAAGCGGGAGCAUCGAAAGCUAUCUCCGUUUCUUGUUGUCUAUUUGUCUUCUUUUGGCAGAUAGCUCCUAGGGACCGGCCUAUUUUCCACAGCUGGUUAUAGGACUCAGUUACUAUAGAAGGAGUGUUUUGUUGUAAUUCAAUAUCGAUGGAAAUCCAACAUAAUCUUUUUCAAAUUUUUGUGAGGAUUUUGGGGUGUACGUAAAUUGAUUAUGUUCAUCGUAUAUUAUGUGACCAUUUUUUAUCAAAUACUAUUUGUGUUUCAUUUUAAAUAAAAUAAUUUAAAAUAAUUUUUAACUGCAAGAUGUACAAUGAACGGAUAUAAUUCACAAAUCUCCAAAAUCCUUACAAAAAAAUCCGAAAAAGAUCCAAAUUCAAUGGAAAUAAGCUAAUUUUGAAUCAAAUUACAUUACUUUAUUUUGUAAAUAAAUUAAUUUUGAAUCGAACAACAUUCAUUUAUUAUGUAAGUAAUUCAUUUUGUAUGUAUCAUCAUAUAUAUUAGGCACAUUUUAUCAUAGGUGAUUUUGUGAAAAAUUAAUAAAAAGUUACAAUAUUAACAAUAGAUCAAUAAUAUUUAUGUUAAUUAUAAAUAGGUUAACCAUAUGUUGUGAUACUUAAAUACAUUUAAAAUAAAUAAAAAUUACAAAAUCUGACAUCCACUGCGACGUAGGAGCCACGGUGCAGCCCAAACUUUGCAGAUAAGAAAUCUGGUAAUUCACAGCAUGACAAACAAAUUACUGGGUCUCCUGACCAUCGUUGAUGCCAAUGUGUGCACAAGGAAAGGAGUAAGGUAAUCAAAUGCGUUAGUCUUGUGUACCUGUUUCGGUGUUGGUUUGGAUGAACCCAUUGAGUUCUCGAUCCUUAACUUCUGGAAAUGCUCCUGAAAGCAUAAAUAUAUGUACGGAUUUAAACCAAUGACAAAUGGACAUAAUUUACGGACAAUGAUUGAAGAAAAUACAGAUAUAAACGCCUCAGUAUUCCAUUGACGAAAGUUCUAGAUUUGAUGAAUCAAAAGUCCCACGUUGAGACUGCGUUAAGGCAAAUGGUUCUCAAAACCUGUUUUUCCCUCAUCAAAUGAGCGCGUUGAUCUGCAGGUAUUUUCUGCCAUCUCAAAACCUGUUACAAAGAAAUAUAACGUUGAUGUCGAGCUGGAUAGCAUAUUAUACCAAUUAUGUGUACAAACCUAUUGAAAUAAAGUAGCUGUAGUUGCAUAUUACGACAGAUAUUAACGAAAACAAAAGAAGGCUCGCCUAUUCAAGAUCCUAAAUCCCGUGAUUCUUUUGUUUUUAGUUUCAGAAAUUUUCAGAGCAAACUGGAAAGUACCAAGAUACUUACAUAUUGGGCAUAAUGAAAUGCAUCUUCAUCUUUCAAGCAAGAUUUGAGUGAGCGCAAACCGUCCUGAGAGUUACAUAAGUCAAUCAGUAAUAUAAAAACGUAGACGCAUCACAUCCAAACACAAGUAUUCAAACACCAACAACUUCUUCAUGCGGUGAGGCAUGUUAAAAAAUAGGGAAGAACAGUUAUUGAAUAGGAAGUUAAAGGACUAAAUUUAUGACCUUGUGUUUGUAGUUCUUGGCUCGUAUGCGUUCAUCUAUUACAAAACCAAUCUGUAACAGGUACAACAGAAAAUAUAAGCAGUAGUCAGAACAUUAAUCUUCGGCAUUCACAUUGCCACCAAUCCAAAGUUAAAAGUCUGAAGGCAAAACAGUAUGAUUCUUAUCUCUCAAACAAAAAUGAAACUAUACCCCGGUCUCAGACAUAAAUGAAAUAAGUUCUACUGCCUCAACUGAGUACUGUGAUUAUAUAUAAAUCCAAUUCACCUUGUCAAGUAAUCUCUUAGGAUCUUGAAAUGCUUCCUUCUUAGCCCAGUCAUUAAAUACAUGCGAGAAAAUUGAUCUCUCAUCCACACUGAAUCUAUUGCACAGUGACAGAAGAAUAAAGUUAAACAUGAACAUAACCAACCAAAAUGCUAGUUAUAAUAGUACACCCAUAAUUGCAAGCAAAACCUUUUUAAGAAGCCAUUUCCAUGGUUUUCCUCCCAAAUUCCAUCAAUUCUGCAGAGGCAACGUCAAAUUUACUAUGAUGGAGAUCAUUUUGCACUGUAAUAACUUCAGAAGGUAGGAGAUUUGGUUUCAGAUCAUCUGUUGACGGAGUAGUUUCUUUUGAAGUGUCAUGAUGCUUUUGAUUGCAAGCCUUCUGUACUUACGUCAGCCUACAAAACAAAAAUUGCAUUCAUCCACACUAGACUUAAUAAGAUUAGAAACACUUCAGAUUCUUCAUUAUUUGUAUUUUUGACUAAACAGCAGAACAACUGAGGAUAAUGAACAGUAAUACACACCUGGACUUCUCGUAGAUGAUUUGGAAUUUCUUUCAGAAAUCGCGAAGGUUGAAGCAUCUGAAGGAGUCACCUUCUCAGUCAGAGCAACAACAACAAAUAAGGAGGACAGGAAUUCAAGCUAAAACGAACCUGCCAACUGGAAUCCAUCGUAACAUAAAGAAUGAAAAGCUUUUUUCGAGCACGAGUCAUUGCAACAUAUAAUAGGCGUCUCUCCUCCUAUGAUUAGAGUGGGAUUAUUGAGUUAUUGACCAAAAGAAAAAAGAGUGGGAUUAUUGUGAAAAACAUGUCAAAGCUCUGCAUAUAACUGAAAAAUGUUGAACAAUUUACCACACACCUCAAUGGAGGUCCCAUUUUCUUUUGCAACCCCAUUGAAUUCAUGCAACAACGGGAUCUCAGAUUCAUUUACCUGUGUUAUUGGCAUGAGCAUUAAAGCAAGCUAAGAUGAUUUGAAGAGGUUGAUAUCGUCAUGAAUAUAGUAGAACAGAAUACCAAUUUCAAGCCAUCAAUUAGGUAUAGCAUUGGCAUGUUUAAUCCGUAAAUCUAAUGACAGAACACCUCAACUCUACACAUAAAUAAAUAAACAACCUGAAAAAUAUUACAGCCACAUGUUAAGGCAAAUACCUUAAUUAUGAAAACUAUAUCCCACUCUAAACCUUUUGACUGCAAGAGAAUGAAAAAGAAAGACAGUAAGCCAAGAAUGUUUUGUAGAACUCCAAAGGAAGUCCAAUAGGGAAAUCAUCGCAAGUAUAAGAGUUAGCGAGGUUCGCAUAAGAGGAUAUCAAAAAGAUCUAGAACCUGAUGAAUAGUAGUCAAAGUGACAGAACUUUGGUUGUCAUGUCUUCGGGAGUGAAAAUUUUCACUCUCCUGCUCAGAUAUGUAGUCGAUGAAAGCUUUGAGUAAAUUAACGCAGCCUUUUUCUUCUGCUACGACUUCUCUCUCCCCUUUUCCCGCAACAAAAUGAGUUGAUAAGAAAUCAGAUACGUCGUCUAGUAGGUACUGAAGAACCUGCAAUGAGAAUAAUCGCAUCACAGCAACAGGGUUGGACCAAGAUUUAAGUGACAACAAUGAUUAACUAACUAAAAUAGAGAAAUUAUUCAUUUAAGACCUUGUUGACGGAAAAAAGGGUUUUCCAAGCAGCGGGUCAUUUAAGCUUAUUGUAUAAAUGACAAUCAUCACAAACGGCAAACUUACAGAUCUCACGUCAUUGUCUUCAUUCAGCAGUUUUCCUCCAUCUACAUCAACGACUGCACGUUGCUCAAGACGGUACUUCUAAAAAUUGAAAGUCAACAACAACAACAACAACAACAACAAAGCCUUUUCCCACUAAGUGGGGUCGGCUAUAUGAAUCCUAGAACGCCAUUGCGCUCGGUUUUGUGUCAUGUCCUCCGUUAGAUCCAAGUACUCUAAGUCUUUUCUUAGAGUCUCUUCCAAAGUUGUCCUAGGUCUUCCUCUACCCCUUCGGCCCUGAACCUCUGUCCCGUAGUCACAUCUUCGAACCGGAGCGUUAGUCGGCCUUCUUUGCACAUGUUCAAAAUCACCGGAGCCGAUUUUCUCUCAUAUUUCCUACAAUUUCGGCUACUCCUACUUUACCUCGGAUAUCCUCAUUCCCAAUCUUAUCCUUUCUCGUGUGCCCACACAUCCCACGAAGCAUCCUCAUCUCCGCUACACCCAUUUUGUGUACGUGUUGAUGCUUCACCACCCAACAUUCUGUGCCAUACAACAUCGCUAGCCUUAUUGCCGUCCUAUAAAAUUUUCCCUUGAGCUUCAGUGGCCUACGACGGUCACACAACACGCCGGAUGCACUCUUUCCAUCCAGCUCGUAUUCUAUGGUUGAGAUCUCCAUCUAAUUCUCCGUUCUCUUGCAAGAUAGAUCCUAGGUAGCGAAAACGAUCGCUUUUUGUGAUCUUCGCUAGAUUUCUCCGGUCAUUAGUGUGGAUAAGUAUAUAAAUGGAUAGAGAUAGGAAAGCAAACACAAGAUGUACGUGGUUCACCCAGAUUGGCUACGUCCACGGAAUAGAAGAGUUCUCAUUAAUUGUGAAGGGUUUACACAAGUACAUAGGUUCAAGCUUUCAUUUAGUGAGUACAAGUGAAUGAUUUUAGUACAAAUGACAUUAGGAAAUAUUGUGGGAGAAUGAUCUCGUAAUCACGAAACUUCUAAGUAUCGGAGUGUGGUGUCGUCUUGACUUGCCUUAUCUGUCUCAUAGGUAGAUGUGGCAUCUUCUCUGGAAGUACUCUUCCUCAAACGAUAAAUUAUUAAGAAGCAUUGAAUAUAAGCAUGAAACGAAGAAAAUGUUAUGGAAUGGUGAUCCUCAUCCUCAAAGAUGAUUAAAAGCAAUUUGAUUCAAAAAUGACAUAUCAACUCUGGAGAAAUGGAAGACAAACCUGUGGUACCAUAUUCGCAACUGAGGUUAUGACAGCUGAAAUCGAUUGUUCCUGUGUGCAUUGAUAAGUGAGACUACCAUAGAGAUUCACAACUAAAUAAAGACAGGUAUUCCACAGAACAACCUUUACCUCUUUGGAAACACAGAUCUAACAAAAACUAUAACAUUUUGGAUUAAUAUUGACAAAUCAAGAAUAAUGCAAGGGAGCAAGAGAUACUCUUCCUUCUAAUAACAAGGAGGCGUGAAAAGUAUACAGAGUUCCAACAAUUAGAGAACUAAAAUCAAACUAAAAAAAUCACCAAAGUAGACAGAAUCUCACUUCGCCAAAAAUUUGAAAAUAUACCUUUUUAUCCAUUGAGAUUCAUGAACUACUACUACUACAUCAUGCCAAUAAGCAAUGCGUAAGAGGAGCUACAAUUUACCGAAUAUAUUUACCCUGAGAACAAGUUUUGAAAUCAUCUCUAGUGUUAACAGCACCUUGCGUCCUUGGGUAAGCUGAGUCCUAUUAUCAAGUAAAGAGACCAAUCAGUACAUAUCCAAAAGAUCUUAAAUGCUUGUAAUACCAAAUAAGAAAGAAACAUGAGUAUAUCUUGAAUUAACCAUGCAAAAAUGUAAUGUUAAAGCAUCUUGUCAUACAGACCUCUUCAAGGUACCAGAAAUUUUUGCACUAAAGAUGUCACAAGCAGCUGAUAUGAAGCUGCAUUUUCUGUGAGUUGAAAUUUUGUCAAUAUAAUCGAUCACCUGAAGAGAGAGAGAGAGAAAAAGACAGUGAUAUCCAGAGAUGUGAGCCUAAAUGCUGAGUGUGUAAAAAAAGAAGAUUAAAUGGAUAGCAAGAAUAUACAACUUUAAUGCUGAAAAGAACAUUGAAUAUGAUGCUCAUUCAUCAUUCCCAUUGAACGUGUACCUUCUUCUUUUCCUCUUUCUCAAAAGCAAGUAGAGCCUUGAAGACUUGCCUAUAUGAUCCAUCAUCACAACCAGGCAAAGUUGUUUUAAUCAUAGCAACAAUGGCUCUAACUACCUGCCAUAAGAAACAUGCUACAUCAACAAGAUCACAGAGUGUACCAGAAACCGUAAUGUAGCAAAAUCUUGGAUAAAAUAGCUGGCCAAAAGGGAAUGGAAAAGCAAGCAUGAAAAACAAUGAAAAGGACCAGUGAUGCCAAAAUUCUGGUGGAAAAGGUGAAAAGCUUCUGUCUAUUACAGUUCUUGUAUGCAUUCUUUAUAACUUAAGUUCUACGUAGCAAAAACCACCUUAUGCACAACAAUAUUGGAAAAAUUAGAUACAUACAACUGAGAAGAUAGGUUUUCAUAAUCUGGACAAGUGCUAACUACUUUCUUCCUAUAAACUGCCACUCCAUGAACAUUAAAUGGUAUUUUCCUUUCACGCAAGGCUGUCUGGAAGACUUUUCCUGAUACCUGUAGCAUAAAAUACAAAAGAAAAUGUGACCAAAAUGUCUUAUAUGAUUCACCUCAUUCACAUUAGCACUAAGGCAAGUAAGCUUGACCUGCCUCCGGUAAAGGAUUGCUAUAUUUCCAUAGGAGCACCCUGCUUCUGACCGUUUAGAUGCAGUCUCCAGGAUCUUGUCGACAACAAAGGCGCAUUGUGCAUCCUCAUUGUGACUUUCCUUGAUAAUUACCUACAUUUUGCCAGUAAAACCAGUGUCACUAACUAUAAGGACUGAAAAAUGACAUCAAAUUGUACUUGUUGGAGCAAGGAAAGAUUAAGUACCUUAGACCCAGAAGAAUUGUCCAUGUCAACAUUCUUUAGUUGGCAUUGCUUCUUAUUGUUUUUUAUAACAGAAGUUGCAGCUUCCACAAUAUAGCGUGUGGACCGAAAGUUUUUAUUAAGCCUAAUCUGAACCAUAAAGUUAUGUCAAAUCCCACAGAACCUCGUAAAAUAAAACUUACUUUCCUGUAAUUGUACAAUAUAUUUUUUCUGUACUAUAUAUAAUGAAAAAAGACACUGAAUGACAUAAGAUAACAUAGCAGUCAAGUGCGAAGCGAACCUCUUUGUAAUUUGAAAAAUCUUUACGAAAAGAAUCAAAUCCAGAAAUGUCCGCCCCAUUGAAACUGAAAAUGGACUGCAGCAGGAUAUAUGUUAUUUGAUUUAAAACAGAUAAGGGCUGGAUUAGAAUGAGCUGAGAGAGAGAGAGAGAGAGGGAGAGAGGGAGAGAGGGAGAGAGGGAGAGAGGGAGCAAUAACAUUGGAUUUCCAUAACAAAUCAACAACAUGCCUGAUCAUCAUCACCAACAAUGGUUAUGUGGUUAUGAGAGGCGAGAAUCCGCAAAAGACUAUAUUGCAUAGCACUUGUGUCUUGAAACUCGUCUAUUACAGUAGCUUUCCAUGACUCCUGGCACUCCUUCAACACUAAUUAAGAGAACACCAUGUAUCAACAUUUAGCAUUACUUGUAAAACUAGAUAAAUCAAUGAAAUAUACUUAGAUGAUAGAGACCUUCAGGAAAAUCACUUAGCAGCUUCACAGAGCAGCUAAUUAAGUCGUGGUAGUCCAAAGCAUUGCACGAUUUCAAGAUAUCAUUGUAAUUCCUAAGAAUUUCACCCUGAUUCAGAUUGAGAGCUAAAACUCAUAAGCAAUAGUUUCAAAGAACUGAAAUGAUAUCUGAAAUUCUAGUUCUGAGCGUACUCCUGUCACAUCACCCAUUCUUCGGCAUUCAGCCGGAGUCUUUCCAGAAGCCUUUGCCUGAAACAUAAAUAAAUUUAUUGCCUAAUGCCACAUAUUGUAAGACACACCAUUGUAUUGGUCAUUCUAGCUUGAUUGUAGCUAAUAUUUUUUAAAUCGAAUGAUUAGAGUUCUUAAUCCACAAUAAUCUGAACAUUAAAUUUGGUAUUCAAGACUAACCUGUGUCACCAACUACAGCCAUUUCCUUGAUGCAUCCUUAAAAUGAUGUGGAGAUGUUACGCCGUUAGACUCUUCCCCAUCUAUAGCAACAUUAAGAUUCGUUUACUCUUUUCAUCUUCUGAUAACCGCACAGCUUCAAUGAUUGCUCUUCUCUGUUGCCCAUGUCCAUAUAUCAAAAAUUCUGGUCUGCGCUCGAGUCUAAAACACAAGCCAACAUAACAGACUCAGCUAUACCACCAAAUGUAUGGUGUUCAAAAUCAAGGGAGGUGAAUCAAUAGCUUACUUCUCAGCAUGUGAUCGGCAAAGUUGCAAUGAAAAUGAAUGAAAUGUACUGAUUGUUAGUAGUUUUGCCGUUGCUUUCCCAGUCACAGAUCCAAUUCGAUCUCUCAUCUCGGAAGCUGCUGCUGUAGUGAAAGUCAUUGCUAGAAUGUUCGACGUGCUAAUGCCCUAAGAACACAAAAAAAAAAAAAAAAACGUAUAAGAUUUCGAUCAUAAACAAGAAAUGUAGAGAAACACACAAUUACGAAAGAAAAAGUUAGAGGGAAAGUAGCAACACCUCAUUGAGCAGCAUUAGAACGCGCCCAACUAUCGUUGAAGUCUUUCCACUUCCAGGGCCGGCAACAAUCAUCAAAGGUACUGAAAUAUCGCUGCAAGCUGCCUCGCGCUGCCUUUCGUUGAGAGAAAGCAAAUACUUCAAUACUCAUCCGGCAUGUUAGGCAAUCCAUGGUUAACAGAAUCUUUUUGGUUUUCACUACUCAAAGGUGGCGCUGAUGCGGCACUAACGUCACUACCACAACUCCCAAUAUCAUCACGCUGAAUGUCCACACUCGGUUUCUGCUCGAUUAAAGCGUCAAUUUCCUGCAAAAUACUCUCGUCGAAAUCAUCAUCGUUAAGAAUUCCAGAUGCAGAGAAAGAAUCAAAUGAAGUCAGAAACUGCGGUUGUCUGAUUGGAGUUGUGAAAGAAUCCGAUUUUGACACGCUUGAUUCGGUCCGGCUAACGCUUAAGCUCCCGGAACACGAAGCACUGCCAUAUUCACCACGCGUUGAAUUGUACCGGCUUGCGGAAAUCGGAGGCGGUGUUCUUUGAACUCUAUUGAGCUGAGUUGGCGUUUGGAUUCCAUUUCCGCCACAGAUUCUGGAAUUUGAAAAACACAAUUGAAUUGAUUUAAAUUGAAGCAAGAAAACAGCCGAGUAGCAAAAAAAUAGUAAGAAGAUGAAACCUUUGAUUCCUGAACGACUUACUUGGUAUGAGGGAGGUGAUGAUCAGGUGAAACGGCGUCGUUGCGGGGGCGUUUGCGAUCAAUGAGGGCCUUGGCGGCUCUGAAAUUCCGAGAGAUGCGGUUUCUUUGUUCCGCCGUGAGCCCUCCGCCGUACGCCUGAACGUUUUCCUUGGACAUUGCUUCGAAGAUUCCAACGGAGGAUUUGGCCUGACGGCCUGACCAGGCUGAUAACAGUGUAAAACCUUAGGAGCUAAGGAAAACUAAGAGAUAGAUCGUAGAGAGGGAAAGUUUUUUCUUUUUGGAAACUAGUAGGGAGGGAAAGUUUGUUAAACCUGAAUAAUAUUCUUUUCAUUCAACUUGUCUACAAUAAUUACCACUCUUGGUAUUUAUACAUUUCUAACACACCUCACUAACUAACUAAGACCACUACCAAUCAUACAAAAAUAAUUGUCCUUUGAUGAACUCUUUCACGAACAAAGUGGCAAUCAAUCUCUACAUGUUUGGCUUUAGAGUGCAAUACAGGUUUAGUGGCAAGAGCCAUUGCUUAAAUGUUAUCACAAUGCAAAACUGGAACAGAAGGAGAACCAACAUGCAAAUCUCGAAGAAGAUGUUGUAUCCAGAUAACCUUAGCAGUGGUUGUAGCCAUUGCUCUAUAUUCAGCUUCAGUGGAAGACCCACUCACUGUAUGCUGCUUUUUAGAACUCAAAGAGAUAGGAGUGACAAAACCCAUGGUUGAACGACGAUCAUUGUGAUCCCCUGCCCAAUCAGCAUAUGUAUGAGCUUUCAACUAAGAUGAACCUGAUUUAAAACACAAUCCCAGAGACAUAGUGCCUCUGAGAUAUCGCAGAAUACGUUUCACAGCAGCAAAUGAGUGGCUAAUGGUGAAUGCAUAAACUGACAUACUUGAUUGACGGAAAAAGAAAUAUCUGGUCUUGUAAAUGUUACGUAUUGUAGUGCCCCAACAAUACUUUUGUAAGUGGUAGGAUCAGAAACAGGUUCACUACCAUGAUUCAGAAGCUUUUGAUUAGGAUGACAAGGUGUGGAAAAAGGUUUACAGUCCAGCAUAUGCAUCUUUUGAAUGAGUUCUUUGACACACUUGGUCUGAUGAACAAAGAGUCCCUGUUCUUGAUAUUCAAUCUGUAAACCAAGAAAAUAAUGCAACACACCCAGAUCUUUCAUGUCAAACUCACUAGUUAACUGACUAAUAACAUUCUGAACCUUCACAGCAUCAUUACUAGUGGGAAUGAUAUUAUCAACAUGUAAUAAGAGAACAAUAAUUGAUGAACCAUCACACUUGACAAAUAAAGAAGGAUCUGCAUAUGAUGACUUGAACCCAAGCUUAGGCAAAUAACCUGAAAACCUGUCAUGUUAGGCUCUGGGAGCUUGCUUGAGUCCAUAUAAAGACCUCUCUAGUUUGCACACAUAAUCCGGAUAGGUAGAAUCCACAAACCCUUGGGGCUGAGACAUAAAAACUUCUUCCUCAAGAAAGCCAUGCAAAAAAGCGUUCUUGACAUCUAACUGUUUGAGUUUCCAAUUAUGAGAUGCAGCCAAGGAUAGAACCAAUCGAACUAUGUUUGGUUUGACCACAGGGCUAAAGGUUUCAUAAUAGUUAAUACCAACUUCUUAAGAAUACCCCUUAGCUACAAGUCUAGCCUUGUACCUAGCCACUAAACCAUCUGGAUUUCUCUUAAUCUUGUAGAUCCAUUUACAACUAACAAGAUUUUUGUCAGGUGGUAAGGGCACAAGCCUCCAAGUAUGAUGUUGAAUCAAAGCAUCCAUCUAUUCUUUCAUGGCAUUUUGCCAUUAAACACACUUGACAAUACUAGAAAAAGACUGAGGUUCCUUGAUUUCAGAAGCCUGAUCCACCUUAGCAGAAAACACCUUCUUUUUCAUAAUCCUAGACUUAGACCGGGUUUGCAUGGGAUGACAAUUUUGAGCAUUGAUACACACUGGUUGGAGAUCAUCCACUUGAGACAUUGUAGUAUUUGGAUGAUCUUUUGAAUACACAGUAGGCAAAACCUCUGAAGAAGGCACAAAACUUGUGGAAGAAGAGACAAGAUCACCAGAACUAGUGGGUUGAGAGGAUGAUGACUGAGUAACAUGUUGUGAUUUAGAGGUAAGAGAAGUGGGACCAAUAAAUGGAAAUGUGGAAGAAACACUAGGUGGAUGAAUGAAUGUGUUUGAAUGCACAACAGACAUUGGUGAGGAAGAAUGACCAGAAGUAACUUGAGGAUUGAAACCCAAAGCAUUAGAGUCUGUAGGAAACUUGGAUUCAUCAAAAAUAACAUGUCUAGAUACUAACAGUUUCUGAUCUUUGAGAGAUAAGCAAAUAUACCCUUUGUAUUGUGUAGCAUACCCCAGAAAAAUACACUUAGUAGUUUUAGGUUCAAGUUUAUUGCUUCUAUAGGGUUUCAAUGAAUGAUAGCAUAAACAACAAAAAAUUCUCAAAUGAUCAAGCUUAGGUGGAGAUUUAUAUAGCAUUUCAAAAGGAGACUACAUAUGUAGGGUAGGUGUGGGCAUUCUGUUUAUAAGAAAAGUAGCAGUGGCACACGAAUGGAACUAGAAUUUUGAAGGUUGAAACUUGUUGUAAAAAGGUAAUAGCUGUUUCGACAAUAUGUUGAUUUUUUCUCUCAGCCAACCCAUUAUGUUAUGGGGUAUAAGGACAAGAUUUUUGAUGAACAAUGCCUUUGGUAAGAAGAAAUUGCUUAAACUGAGUAUUAACAUAUUCCCCACCCCCAUCACUUUGCAAAAUUUUUACAUAAGCAUCAAAAUAAUUCGAGACAAAAGCAAGAAAGUUGACAAAACAGUGAGGGACCCCAAACAUCUAUGUGAAUUACUUCAAAUGGAGUAAGUGACUUCGAAGCAAUUACAGGAAAAAUGGAGCUUGGUAAAAUUUGCCUUGCAAACAAGCUUUACAAGUAUGAGAUUGAGAGUUACAAGGAAAAGAUAUACAAGACUUAUUAAGUGCUGCAGUGACAAUGGAAUGUGCAGGAUGGCCUAAUCGACAAUGCCACAAUGUAGAAUACAUCUUUUGACCCACAAAUGCAAUUGGAUUAAAAACAGGAGAAAUAGACCUAUGUGGUUUGAUUAUGGGAAGUGGAUAGACAACAUUAUUACUCAGCCCUUGGAAUAGCACUUUCCCGGUGACCUUGUCUUGUAGAUAGAGAGAAACAUCAUCAAUGAUACAAUGACACUGAUUAUCUUUGCACAACUGAUUCAUAGAUAAUAAGUGUUGUGACAGUUUUGGAACAUGUAACACAAAGUUUAACUUGAAAUUAUGUGACUUAGUGAGAAGAGAAGAGGAACCAAUAUGUUUGAUAGCUAAACCUUCACCACUAGCACUGGUCACAGUAUCAUUUGAUGGAUAAAUUUGUUGCCAUGUGCAAGUUUGACAAAUCUGAGGUCAUAUGGUUAGUUGCUCCCAAGUCAAGAAACCAUAAAUCUUGUUGAAGAGUUGAGGAUGAUGCACCAGCUCGUGCUUGUAUAGCAAGAGGAGGAUUUUGUGAGGAUAUAGUUGAGAGAUACAUAUGUGGUAUGACAUGAUACUGAAACUGGGAGCUAUUAGACCGUGGAAUCAUGCCUUGUGAAGGACCACAUGGAUUCUAGCUAGGUGCUUCGCCAUAUGACCCAGCAGGCAUUGGAGUUGGCAUAGAUGAGGAUAAACCCUGAGAGAAAUGCUUUGAUGUGCCUGUGAAAUUCUUAUUUCGAUCAAAGCAAGUAGCAGCAACAUGGCAAUUUCUGUGACAAAUUUGACAUCCAUGUUGAAAACAAUUCAAUGCAAAAUAAACUUUGCGAUCACAUAUUUGCAGAAAGGCCUUUGCAACCCUAGAAAGAAGAAGGAGCAAAGAAGACCAAAUGUGUACGUUUCUCUUUGGUUUUUUUUCCCUCUUAAUCACGCUGUUCGAAAUCACGGACCUCGGGCCUGGGCCUAGUGGGCCCAAUUAUGAGGCCCAUUAUCUCCGGUCUUCUCGUUCUACUUCUAGUUACCCAAAUUAAGAACGUACUGGUUCGCUUUUAGCGCGAGAGAGAAAUGGAGGCCCUGAUUGCCUCGUACGGAGACUCGUCGUCGGGCUCAGACUCCGAGUCGCCGGCUCCACCUCCAUCACCACCUCCGGAGCUCAACAACCCUCAAGAACCGACCCCUGCGCUGCCUCCACCUCCUCUGUCACUUCUCGACAACCCCAAUUCCUUCGGUAACCUCUGAUUCCCAUCAAUUUUCAUCUUUUAGCUUUCUGUUGUGAUGGCUUUUUCCGAGUUGCCCACCAAGUAUUUGAUGUUUUGCCUCUGAAGGAUUUCUGGACUUCUCGGCAAGCGCCCAGCCGAGCAGAGUUCGGAACUUUCCUCACGUCGAAGGGAACUACGCAGUACAUGUAUACAUCCCAGGUUAUCAAAAUUCUCGAAAUUUUCAGCUCCAUUAGCAAAUGCGAUCGCUUUGCACUUAGUUUUUGCUUGUUUAAUUCUGUGGUCAGUUUAUAUACCACCAGCACCAAGGAAAGAGAUGGCCUUGUUUUUGAACAAGCUAGCUUCUCUGGUGCCUGGUCUCCAUGCGGUUGACGUUGACUUCCUGCUUGACAUUCUGCGUAAGGACGAGCACAAGCUUGAACAAGUUGCUUUAGGCAGAGAGUUCCAUAUAAGUCUCGGAAGAACUGUUCCGAUUCGGGUGCACCAGAUUGAUUCCUUGGUGACAAUGCUGCGGCAGAAGCUUCAGAUUCAGAGGCGGUAUGGUUACAUUUACAUUCUCUUGUCUGCAUUGCGUGAAUUUAGUUCUGUUAUUUAACAUAAUUCUGUAAGCCUGCAAAUUUUUCGUCCAUUUUCAGUUUAACACAUUUUGUUAUUGUGAAACAAGUAUUGGAUUGAUUUUAGCAAGUGGUAGGUUUUUGUUAAUGAUGAUCAGACCCGGACCUUUGUGUCUAUCGAAAUCAUUGCUGCUGGGUUAGCUGAGGUAUGAUUGCUAGCUUUCUCUCUUGGUGCAAUUCUAAAUGUUUUCAGUUGUUAUAUGGGCUUAAGAUUUAGCAAGGACUUGCCGAAAGUCAUGGGAUUUUGAAAUAUCGAGAUCUUGCUUGCUUAUUAGCUUAGAUUUGGUCUUCGAUGCACUUGUAACAUGAAAAACACAAACGAAAACUAAUGCAUGAUAUGCUCAUGGUUUUAACAUGUGUUGUCCUGGCGUAAAUCAUGUUCCUAAUCAUGUCAUGUGAGUAUAAGCCUAUGAAACUUAGGGCAUGUUUGGCGGGCUGGACAAGAUUGGAAUUGGUAUUUCAGACUAGUUAGGUUAGGAUUGAACUGGAUAGGAUAGGUUUUUUGUCUAAAGAUUGGUGUAGACUGUCUUAACCAGACUAGGAACGAUGGGAUUUAAAACGUGAAACAGAUCGGCGACAUCCCAACGAUGACCCGCCCACCCAACAACUCUGCUCGUGACUUGCAACACCUCUCGUACCCUCCACGCCCCUUGCGGCCCGUCAGACCACUCUGAUAUCCUGGAGGAGUGAAACGUGGUUACUAGAAGCAUACCUGUUUUCGUAUUAAUGCACGGUUGAAUCAGCUUUCAUUGUCUACAAGUCUGAAAUAUUUUAACUUCCAUUGAUUUCAGAUAACAAAGCAGAUUCAAGCUGUGAAUGAGGUGUAUAAGCUUCACAAUCAUCCUAAAUUUUACAAGGUUAGCUUUUUCGUCCUUUUCAAACUCGAAUCGCUUCCUGAAUAUAUGACAAUAUAUUGGAUCAAAUGAUUUCUCAAAAAACUAAUUCACUUGAUGGGGUCUUGGUGAUCACAGGAUCCACGCCCUCACAUCUCGGUAGCUUGGGCAUUGGGUGACAUCAGCAAUUCCCUGAACAAAGUGGUUGAAGAAGAAAGACGAAGAUCUACCAUCGGAGGAUCGUUACAGAAAUGUAUUUUUACCAGUAAAUUCAAUGGUAUCGAAUGUAGGAUUGGUAAUAAGACACACAAAAUAUGUAAAUUUUCUGAAGAAUAAUGUAGCCAUUUAACUGUAUUGUGAAAUUCCGAGAAUAUAUCACUGAGCAUUGGAUGAGAAGACAUUUCUUCGUUGGUGUCGAACUUCUUGUCGAAGGUAUUGGCACCAGUGUAAACGUCAUCAUCCAUGUUGAUGGUAAUUACUUCCCAGCUACUAAGGGUGUCGGAACAGCCUUGCACGCAGCCUCCUGUGCAUUACUUGGUAUUGUCUCAGAUUCUCCAAACUUGAAUGCUAAUGUAAACCCACUCUUGACCUUUCCGUCAUCUGCGAUUACCGGAAUGCCGGCUUGGAUGUUGCCGUUGACCUACCGAACUUAAAAUACCGACGAAAUGUUGGAGUACUUAAGUGUACUACUCGUUUUUGUAUGCGAGAGCUCCACCUCUAUCGUUGUAACAGCAUCUGAUGCGGACUAGUCCUUCAUUCCCGUUACUCUUUGCCAUCUCCACUUCGAACUUGGCGUGAUGGCUCCCGGCCUCCUCUCCGGUGAAAUUGAGUAACCCCGGAGCUGGCGUGCCAUCAAGAUUUCCGUCGUGUCUCUAUUUGCUGUUGUGGUUUGGUUUCACCACUAUAAACUUGGCAGAGUUGGCAUUUUCAUUCUGUUGUCUGUAUAUCUUGAUAUUACAAGUAUUUGUUGUGCAAAAUGCAUGCUAAGUUCAACUUAUGUUUAUAUGUGUGUGUGUGUGUGUUGCCACUUUUCCAACGUUUUCUCCAAAAUUGUGACGAGCAACAAAGCAGUUUUGAUUCCGUGCACAACAACGAUACCUCGAAAGAAAUUGAUUCUUCCCCAGAAAGAUGUUUUAAAACAAAGUUGAACAAGGGAAGAAAACUUUUGAAUCGCAAUCAGAUGUCUGGUCAAAUUCUUUAACAGUUGAUGUAUACAGAAGUUCCUUGCUUAUGACACGACUUAUGAGAGGAUGUAUGUAUUGCAUUUGCAUCAAAAGAAAGAAAGAAGGUUGUAAGUGGUAAGGGAACGACUACCGAUGCCGCUCCACUUCUAAUCAAAGGGAUCGAUCCGAGGGUCGUGUUCACUUGCCAUCGCCAUUCCAGUGCAAAGGCAUGUCGGGCACAUUACCUGCCACAUUUACAGACGCAAUGUUAGAUAUAGCUGCCAUUUGGAAGUCAUCUCUCAAAAUUUUGCUACUAAAUCAAUCUUAAACUUCAUUUCCAGUGCAAUUUUUUUCUUCUGAAUUGUCUUUCACAUGCCCGACAAAUAGAAGUAUCACCAAACAUGUGAAUAUAGAGCAUCUAAGCGGCAGGCACUAAAAGGAAUUUAGUAUGCAAUAAACAUUCAACGGACAUAAUUAUAUGUCUAACCUUUCCCGCUCCUGAGCAAUUUGAACAUCGUUCAGUUUUUGGCAGAGAUAGGGGUUGGUUUCCGCCAUCAGCUGUCGAUACUGGUUCAGUAAGAACAAGGGUUCCAGUGCUGGAGCAACGAGCACAAGCAAGAGAUCCUGCGUAAGUAUCAAAUACACAGGUAAGUUGACAUACGAAACCAAUCCGAACAUCUCCAUCGUAUAUAUUUAAAGCUACAGUACAUAAACUAAAAGUCAGAAAUAUAGGACAUUAUCACACCAGUUCCAAGACAAUAUUUGCAUCGUUUAUGCUCCUGCUGUUUCACAUUGUUUAUUUCAACUACCAUCAAUGCUGAGAUCACUCCGACUGCUCCUCCAGAGAAUGACGCCACUAUGGGAUCAACUUGACUGCAGUUUGAAAGUAAAGGAGAUCAAUAAACGAAACUGGUAACAACAUAGUAUCAACAUUAUUUAGCUUCGUUUCAAGAAAGAUGACAUCCUAGGUUUUUCUAAUGUGUAAAAAUUGAGGAUCCUCGUAAAAUUUGACCAUAUCGGUUCCCAAAGCAUUUGAUUCCUACGUUACAGACGGAAAACAGCAACAAUCGAAUUUAAAGAUUCAUAACACGAUAGAUGGUACAAAAUUUCAAAACGAUAAUUACUAGAGAACAGGAGGGUUAAUAGCCUGAGAUAUGAGCAAUACCUCAACUGCAACGGCAGAUGCAUAUUUACUAUAAAGUCUUUAUAUGAUGUGCCUCCUAUUCCCAGCUUCAACUCCAACUGAAAGAUGUAAAGGUAAUUGUAGGCAAAGAGUUACAAACAUAACCGAAUCCAUGUUUUAUAAGCAACAACUACACUUAUUUUGAUAUGUUUCCUCAUUUUUUACUUGCAAAUUCCGAACCAUAUUGUCGGACCAGUAAAAGAAAAUAAUGUUUAUGAUAACUGUUAAAACUAAUUACAACAAGUUAAUGCAUAAAGAACUUACGGAGGGUGCUAUGAGGCCACCGAAAAGGAUAAACCCCACAAUAAUUGAAUAACAAACAGCAUAAUACUGCUUAAGGUUGUCUGAACUCUGCAAGCAAUGAAUUCACCUUGUGAUUAAUACUUUGCACAAACACUAGUUUUCGCAAUUUUUUAUGAAUCGACAAAAGGCUACAACAAAAUAUGGCUAAAACAUGUCGGGGAUAUGAAAAUACAUGUCUUCACAGGGGCACCAGCUUACCAGGGGAGGCAAAAAUGGAAUGAACGAUGGAAAACUAGGAAGUUCGUUUUCUUGAUCUUCAUUUACCGCUCCAAGCUCUGCACGUUUAAUCCGCUGUUGUAUCCUCAGCCUGCGAACCUACGCAUAUCGAAGCUCAUUCUUAAAGAACACAUUUCUAAUGGCAAUUGGAGAGUAAUUUAAAACAUGCUAAACUGAGAAAGUGGUAGCAACUAGUAAUUGCUCUCACCUCCUCCAUAUGCAAGAAAAUUUUGUUGCGACGACUCCGAAUAUUAUCUUGAAUUUCCUGCAGCUCCAUUGUGGCAAAAUCCUGCACUGUUUCAGGCCCCUCUAUGAUACAAAAUCUGCACCAUUAAGCAUGUAAAAAUUAAAAAUUACAGGCUACAAAGCAAUUUCCGUAUAGUUGUUGGGUUAAAUAACAUCAACAGCAAAUAAAUCACAUAGGUUUUUCACAUAAAGUUACAAACUUUCAAGGACUAAUAAGCUGUCUGCAAUCUCAUAAAUUUCACAGUGCAAAGUAACAAUCCAAAGCUUGGAACUUUAAAUUUCCACCUUCUGUUAAUUUUUUAGUGCACCUGGUGUCGUUAGAUUCGAGUAGUAUGUCACAUUAAAUUUUUUUUUUCUGUGCAUGCAUUUUUUUUUAAAAGAAAAUUUUAUAUUGUUAAAGAGCGAGUUCGAAACUAUUACAUUAUGGAAGGACAUAGUACCGAAACUCCGACGAUCAAAAACAAAAUCAUGUACAACCACUCCAAGCAGUCAACAUGGCCAUCACAUAUUGAAUCCAAAAUGUUGACGCCCCAUUCGCUGCAUAUAAUGUACAGACGAGCGGCAGCUUCAACCAGUUCUGCCAUAUCCGGCUGGAUGAGAGCAGCUAAAGACAUGAUUGUUCCCUAAUAACAUGAAUAAAUUGAGUAAACACCAAAAGUAGCAGCAAGGGAAGGAGAUGUGAAGUAUAUGAAGAGGUGUAAGACCUGUGAAUGUCCAGCAACAAAGAUUUUGGAGCUUGUUGUCGAAUAAUGCAACGCAUCAUUUCUGGUAGAUCAAAUAGAGCCAAUUCCCGCCAACUCCAAUUCCAAAAUUUCUACAGUAAAGCAUAAAUCUUAUUCUCUCUUCUGAUAAAGAUGAGUGUCCCAGACUCCAACGUGUUCCACACACAUUCCCUACCCAUACAUCGAAACCUUCAUCUGCAAGGACGAAUCCCAGCGAUUCUUCUGGAGAAUUUAAGAAUCAUGCAUCACCUGGUUAAGAUCAAGAAAAGCCAGUAACCAAGUUCAAUUGAGUUAAAAUGUAUCCCAUGGAUGUUCAUCACUUUGCCCAAUUGUUCUUUUCAAGAAAGGAAAUUUCAACAGAACCUGAAAACUUCAGAUCAGGGGGCACCAAAUAGUGAGCUAUACAUUCAAAAUUUGAAAUAAUCAACUUAGUAGGACCAGUAUGUUGAAAAAAUGGGAAGGAGCUAUGAAAGUAAGACUUUUCACUAAUCAGGCGUCCAGAGAAUCCAUAUUUUACCCGCGUAUCAGUUACGGGGAACACUCCCCACCAGAGCAAUCUCAUUAGUCCUUCACAUCUCAACCGUACAGAAGUUGCACUAACAAACAUGACUCCUAUUAGUCCUUCACAUCUCAAAUCCAGGAAGUACCCAUCUUUCGUCUGAAUCUGGAAAAUAAGCAGCAGUCAAUUUAACAAUCUCGGUAUCUCAAAGUUACUCACUUUAAUCACAAAUUUAGCAAUUAAACAUAUAAAUGGGCAUUUUUUUAGGGAAAUAUUAGUAUAGUACUCACUGUGUGCUCGGAGCAAGAGUACCCAGAAAGCUCAAUGAGCUGCGCACAGAGGACUGCAGUGGUGAACGACAGCGACCAAUUCUGUAAAAUUUAGUCGAGUUUUGGGAAAUUUCUGCAGCGAUUUCGGAGGUCAAGAGGCUGAUAAGGAAAGCCGCGACCAAAGGGCACUGGUCUGGAAGAAAGGCUUUGGUCGCCGCUAUCGCAAUUCGCGAAGGAAGAAGUGCCCCAAAACAAUUUCGGCCCUGGACAGGUGCACUGUUUGCACUGAGCCAGGGCCGGCCCUGAAUCGCGAUAACGUCCUUCUCCAAACAGUAUAUAUACAGAUGCUAGAAAAAUCUACCGGAACUAUUCAAUUCUAGCGUCUACAGCUUUAGCAUUAGUUGGUACAAGGGGCAUUCUUCCAAAGAGGGAGAUGAAAUCGUUGAGGCACCAAAUAGUGAGCUAUACAUUCAAAAUUUGAAAUAAUCAACAUGGUAGGACCAAUAUGUUGAAAAAAUUGGAAGGAGCUAUGAAAGUAUGGCUUUUCACUAAUCAGGCGUCCACAUAAUCAAUAUUUUACUCACAGAUCAUUUACGGGGAACACUCCCCACCAAAACAAUCUUUUUAGUCCCUCACAUCUCAAACCAAGUAGAAAUUGCAGUAACAAACACAUCUCAAACCCAGUAAGUACCCAUCUUUCGUCUGAAUCUGGAAAACAAGCAGCAGUGGAUUCAACAAUCUGGGUAUCUCAAAGUCACUCACUUUAAUCACAAAAUUAACAAUUAAACAUAUAAAUGGGCAUUUAUUUAGUGAAAUAUUAGUAUAGUACUCACUGUGUGCUCGGAGCAAGAGUACCCAGAAAGCUCAAUGAGCUGCGCACAGAGGGACUGCAGCGGUGACGACGGCAACCGAUUCUGUAAAAUUCAGUCGAGUUUUGGGCGAUUUCUGCAGCGAUUUCGGAGGUCAAGAGGCUGAUAAGGAAAGCUGGGACGGAAGGGCACUGGUCUGGAAGAAAGGCUCAGGACACCGCUGUCCCGAUUCAUGAAGGAAGAAGUGCCCCCAAAACAAUUUCGGCUCUGGACAGGUGUACUGUUUGCACUGGACCAGGGUCGGCCCUGGCGAUAACGUCCCCCAAACAGCACAUAUACAGAUGCUAGAAAUAUAUAAAUGUAACCUGAAACUACUAGAACCAUUCAAUUCUAGCGUCUACAGCUUUAGCAUUAGUUGGUACAAGGGACAUUCUUCCAAAGAGGGAGAUGAACUCAUUGAGGCUCUUAUUUAUUCCUCCUCUUGAUGUGCCCUUUUAGGCUGCUAAUUCCACACGAUCCAAUUUCAUACAUCUUCCCUGCAAAAGCAUGUGUGCCUGACUUCAAGAUCAAAUUUUUCCAACAAAAGAAACUUAAAGAUCAAACUCGCUAGCGGAAUAAGUGGUGCACAAGGGUGUUAAAAUCUUGACAUAUGUAUAUUUUUGGCAGAUUUUAUGUGAGCAUGCAACUAAAACUGGCAUCACUAUCAAUGGUGCACAAAGAUUGGUGGAAAACUUUAACAGUUUGAGUUGUAACUUCUCCAUUGUAUUUGUUAAGGCAAGACGGAUGUCAUCUAUUCAUUUUUCUGUAAAACUUAAAAGGCUGCAUAGCAGCUCUUGUUCGUUGUAUUGAAUACCAUGGUUUUACUGAUGAAUGCAGAGUUUGCUGAUGAUUCAUACGACAAGCAAUUGAAAAUCCCAUCAUUAUGCCCCGCAUAUACCAGAAGAAAAAAAAGUCAUUUACACAAAUUCAGAGCGUUCAUCCACUGUAAUUUGCAGAUAUGGAAACGUUAAGAUAAAAGGAAAUGCAAAGUACCUUUCACCCAAAUUGGAGGAGCAACGGUGGCAUUAGCAAGCUAGCAACGGGAAUUGACAUACCAAUAUCUUCACAGUUUCUGCACAAGAACAAAUCAAAAGAAUCCGGCGGUGGAGUUAUGUACCUCUCCUUGGAAAAUGCCACCUCCUGGGAUUUCAAAAUAUACGGCCGUGGCUAGCCGUCUGACCACGCCAAUUCCACCAAAGCCGCCGCAACGUGGCGUAGUGUCCGGUUGAUUGCUUCAAAACAGAGCUUCGUAUCCAUGUGUUUAUCAGCAGAGAGUACCCAAAACCCCUGAAAAUUAUUUCUUUAUUCAGAUAAUAAAAUUUCCCAAAUUUCGAAUUUUAAUUCCGAACAAAAAAAAUAGGGUUUGAAUUUUGAUUACCUAGAAAUUGGGGGGUUGGGGUGGAGAGGGACUCGGGCCAAGACACAGAUAUGCAUCCGUGAUAAGGUGUGCAAGGCUUUUGCAGUUUCUCAGAUCUAAACACUGAAGCCCCGUAAGCCGUUCAAUCCAGGGGGAAAGCUCUUUAAUAGAUGUUCCAUCCAAGAAAAGAAAUCUUAAUCCUUCCAUAUUUUCUUCAAUGCUUGGAAACACCUCAAAUUUUGUACAACCGGAAAGAGAGAGAAAGGCAAGGGACUUCAGCUGACAAAUGCUACUUGGAAGACUCUUAAGUUCUUUACAAUUUUCUAGCUUCAAAUGAUUCAAUCCCAUGAGAUUAUUAAUUGAUAAGGGCAGUUCUUUAAUUUUCGACCCAGAUAAAUCAAGAACUUUUAACCCCUCAAUCACUUCUGAAAUCUCUGGAAACAUCUCAAGACUCCAGCAACCAUAAAGAUCAAAGGUUUUGAGAGAUUUCAUAUGAAUGCUGCUUGGAAGACUCUUAAGUUCCUUGCAAUCUUGUAGAUUCAAAUGACACAACCUCGUAAGAUUAUUAAUUGACGGGGACAGUUCUUUAAUUUUUGAGCAGGGUAAAUCAAGCUUUUCUAACCCCUCAAUACCUUCUGAAAUCGAUGGAAACAUCUCAAGACUGGAGCAGCCAUAAAGAUUAAAGGUUUUCAGACAUUUCAUAUGAAUGCAGCUUGGAAGACUCUUAAGUUUCUUGCAAUCUUUUAGGUUGAAAUGACUCAACCCCGUGAGAUUAUUAAUUGACAGGGGCAGUUCUUUAAUUUUGGACCCGGAUAAAUUAAGCUCUUCUAACUCCUCCAUACCUUCUGAAAUCUCUGGAAACAUCUCAAGACUGGAGCAGCCAGAAAGAUUAAAGGUUUUGAGAGAUCUCAUACGAAUUUUGCUGGGUAGAAUCUUAAGUUCCUUGCAAUUUGAUAGGUUCAAAUGACACAACCCCAUGAGAUUAUUAAUUGACUCGGGCAGUUCUUUAAUUUUGGACUCGGAUAAAUUAAGCUCUUCUAACUCCUCCAUACCUUCUGAAAUCUCUGGAAACAUCAGAAGACUGGAGCAGCCAAAAAGAUUAAAGGUUUUGAGAGAUCUCAUACGAAUUUUGCUAGGUAGAAUCUUAAGUUCCUUGCAAUUUGAUAGGUUGAAAUGACUCAACCCCAUGAGAUUGUUAAUUGACUCGGACAGUUCUUUAAUUUUGGACCCGGAUAAAUCAAGCUCUUCUAACCCCUCAAUCACUUCUAAAAUCUCUGGAAACAUCUCAAGGCUCACGCAGUUAAUAAGAUCAAGAGUUUUGAGAGAUUGCAUACGAAUUUUACUAGGUAGAAUCUUAAGUUUUUCGCACCCAUUCAGAUCCAAUAAAACAAGUUUUGUAAGAUUCGAAAUAGAUGGGUGAACCUUAACUAACCCUAUACAACCAUGAAGAAUUAGCCUCUCAAGAUUUGGCACAUUUGUGAAGUCAGGGGUUUCCUUAAGGUAUUCACAAUAACUUAAAUUGAUGAAUUUCAACUUUUCCUGCGUCUGUUAAAACAUUCAGGAAAACAUGCAUUACUUAAUAAGACAUCUCACUCAAAGCCCAAACAUUUAAAAGAAACAAAUACAUGUAAAUGAUUGUACAUACCUGGGUUCCUUCCCAAAGUCGGUCAAUGUGGCUAUAUUGCAUGUCAAGUCCAACAAGAUUUUCGAAUUGAAAGUUGGAUGGCAAAGACUUGAGCGGGAAACAAGACCAGGAAAGAAACCUCAACUCACUAGAAACAAACUUUAAGGACCCAGUCAGGUGUUGUAUGCUGAAAGUACCGAUCUUGAGAAGUCUUAGUUUAGUCAUCCUAUCAAAAGCUUUAACAAUUAAGCAUCCCUCAUAUGAGUGCCCCAAAUCUAGGAUUAUGCUUUCAACUGUUUCUGUACCCUGUGCAAAUCAAAGGGAAGGAAAAAGCAGAGAACCUUAGUUUAGAUUAUGAAGUUAAUGCUUGUUUCUUAAGGAGUUGUUUGAUAAUAAUUUUGUUUUCACUUUUCACUUUUGUUUUGAUUAUUUAUUUAGAAAUCUGAAAAUUGAAAACAUAUAACUUGUUUGUAAUUGUUUUCAAUUUUCAAUUAUUAAAAAAAUGAAAAUUUAAAAAUAUAAAUGGAAACAAAAGUGGUUAUCAAACGAGCUUAAGAAAUUGAUUUUGGUCAAAAGUUGAAGCUUUCUACUAAACAUUGCAUAAGAAAAGAAAUUAUCACCGUAUUUUUAGUUAUCACAUGAAAAACAUCUUCAUAACUCCACAACCUACUUCGUCUCCCAGGCUCUUUGAUAGAUUCUUGGUAGACGAUUUUCUGACCCAUUUCCUCUAGUAAAUCAUGCAUCUCCAGUUCCCCCCUCCAUGAGACAGUUACUAGAGCUCGAUCGAUUAGAACUUUUAUUCCAAUAUCAGGAUAGGAACCACAGCUGUGCAGAACUGUGGUUGCAUAGUCUUUUCUCAUUCCUUUAAAGAAACAUGCAAUAUCUAGAAAGAUAUCCUUCUCCGUGUCAUCUAGUCCAUCGAAGCUUGUUUUAAGCACAUCAUGAAUUCCCUUUUGCGGGAUUUUCUUUAUUUUUUCUAACUCAUUUUCCCACUGGCGUACAUUUUUGUUAUAAAGAAAAGCUCCCAAGACUUUGAGUGCUAAAGGCAGACCUUGAGCAUAAUUUACAGCACGACUCGAGAUCAUCAUAAUCUCUGUUGGGUUGGUUUUUUCUAAAGGCGUACCGCCUAAAGAGUUCCAGAGCUCCAUAAUCACUUAAAAUCUUGGGAUUAUAUAUCCCAUCAGCUAUGCUUAGUAAUUGCGAAUCUCUGGUUGUUAUAAUAAUUCUGCUUCCACCACCAAAGGAAUGUGGCUCUCCAAGUAAAGCUUCAAUUUGUUCUAAUUCUUCCACAUCAUCAACAACAAUAAGAACUUUUCUCCGACCUAGACUAUUUAACAUCACCUGGAAACCUUUAUUCGAAACGUCGGAACUCCCCACCCUGUUGUUCGAGAUACUCGAUAGAAGUUCUGCCUGCAUAUGUAGUUUGCCAUGCUUCAUGAAACCUUCCUUGAAAUUUUCAAGAAAGCAACAAGCUUUAAAUCCACCAGAGAUUUCAUUAUAAAUAGCUCUAGCGAUGGUUGUUUUGCCUAAACCACCCAUACCCCAUAUUCCAACAAUGCGAACAUCAUUAGUUUCAACUCCAGGAGGAUGCAGUAAUGAAUGCAUGUUAUGCAUAUGAGAGUCCAUUUCAACCAAGCCAUUAUAUUUGCUUGAGGAUGAUGAGAUGUAUCGCCGACCCCACUUAGUGGGAAAAGGCUUUGUUGUUGUUGUUGUUGAUGAUGAUGAUGAGAUGUGGAUCAAUUUCUUAAAAACAUCUUCUACAAUUUUCUCAAUAAGCUCUGCAUCAUCCCUGUCAAAUUUAAAACACAAUAUAAUUACAACACCAAAUGAUACUUAAUGGGUCGUUUUGAUAACAAUUUCGUUUGCAAUUUUUUUUAAAUCUAGAUUUUAAGUUUGCAGAUUUUGUUUUCAGUUUUUAGUUUCAAUGAAAGUAGUUAUUAAACAAGGUUUCCAAUUUUUCUUUCAUGGUAUACAGUACGUAGUCCCAAAUAUCAGUAGUUAGAUCUUGCAUUUAGAUCUAAUGGGUAUUUACAACCUUUUUUCCUGAGAAUUUUGUACCAUUGUAGCCAGAUCACAUGUUUUCAUCCGUUAGUUUUAUAAAAAUGGAAACUACAAACUUAAAAAAAAAAAAAAAUAUAUAAUAUAUAUAUAUAUAUAUAUAUAUCAAAUGGCCCCUAAAUGCUAUUAAAAAUCUCAAAAAUUAACAGGAAACUAAAACAAAUUAGAAUUUAUUCAUGGUUUCGCAAAUCCCAGCCGGAUAAACUGGUGGCCGUUGUAAGAGAGGACCUCCAGCCGGAUAAACAUUUUCGAGUUAUUUGAUAUUUGUAUAGUAAAAAUACUUUAAUAGCAAGUGCGCGUGAGUGAAGAAAUUGAACUUACUUAUAUUCUUUCGAAUCCCAACCGGAAAAAUUGCAGGCUCUGGGAAGAGCGGACCUCCAGCUCUGCACCUCCUUCACGUCAACGUUAGAACGACCUUCAUGUUUAGCAAAAGCUUCUGCAAAACUUCCCUCGAGUUUACGAAUAUUGGACGGAUCGACUUGGUAGAAAAUGGGGAAUACAAUCUGGUUCUUGGAAUGGUUGCAUUCCAAGAUUUCCACGAGUUCUUUCAAGCACCAUGUGGAUGAAGCAUAGUUUUGAGAGAAAACUACAAUCGAAAUCCUUGACUCUCGAAUCGCUGUCAGGAGCUCGGAAAGGCGGUCGCCUUUUCUGAGGUCUUCGGCAUCAAUGAAGGUGUUGAUUGGUUUCUGACGCAGAGCUUUGUAGAGAUGGCUGACGAAGCCCGUGCGAGUGUCUUCCCCUCUAAAACUGAUGAACACAUCGUAUUCCCAACCAAGGCAAGAAGAAGAAGAAGAAGCAGCCAUUAAUCGAUCUCACCUGGGCAGCGAUGAUCGAGCAGCUAAGACUAAGAGAAUUGUAAGUACAGAAACACUCAAUAGAUCUACAAAUUGGAUCACCAGAAAUUAGUCAAUGAGUCAAUGCAAAAGGGAAAAGGGCAAUUAUGCUUUUUGCGUUUUCACAUCUUCUUCAGGAAAUUUCGGUGUGAAAGGAAUCCGCAUACUUUUGAUUUUUCAACCCAAGAAAAUGCGAAGAAAGGGGACAAAGUAGUAAAUUUAAUCUACAGUUAGUUACCUACUCAAUAACCUCUUGAUUUAAUAUAUAUUUAAUUGGGAAAAGUAGUUUAGAGCAAGGAUGUUAUCUCCUUUUCUUCUCUCUCGAUCAGUCAAUCUUCCCGCGUGCGAUUUAAUCAUGAUUAAAGCUAAGCUUAAUCUUAGGUCGUAUUAUUUAGGUCUAAUUGGAUUCUUAAUUCUUGUGAUAUAGUAGUUGGAAGAUUAAAAAAAAAUUAUGAUUUAAACGUUUGUGAUGAAGUCUGUUACGAUUUAAAUUCAAAAUUGAAAAUUUCGUUAACUCCAUUAAUUGUUAGCACAUGAGACUCACAAAUGAAACUAAAAAUAUAAAGUUAGCCUCACAUGUAAUCUUCACGUGCUAACAAUUAAAAGAGAGUUCCGUUUUAGCUUAAUAUAUGUGACUCACGUGUUAAUAAUUAACAAAAUAUUAACAAAAAUUUUAAUUUUAAGCAUAAAUUCAAAUAAACUUCACCACAUAAGCUUAAAUUCUAAUUUAGAUAUCUUCUAAUUUAGAUAAUUUUUAACUGCAAGAUGUACGAUGAACGGAUAUAAUUCACAAAUCUCCAAAAUCCUUACAAAAAAUAUCCGAAAAAGAGCCAAAUUCAAUGGAAAUAAGCUAAUUUUGAAUCAAAUAACAUUACUUUAUUUUGUAAAUAAAUUAAUUUUGAAUUGAACAACAUUCAUUUAUUAUGUAAGUAAUUCAUUUUGUAUGUAUCAUCAUAUAUAUUAGGCACAUUUUAUCAUAGGUGAUUUUGUGAAAAAUUAAUAAAAAGUUACAAUAUUAACAAUAGAUCAAUAAUAUUUAUGUUAAUUAUAAAUAGGCUAACCAUGUAUUAUGAUACUUAAAUGCAUUUAAAAUAAAUAAAAAUUACAAAAUCUACUACUACAGCUAGCAUUCACUUCAACUAAAGCAAUACGUAGUUUUUAUAUUUGGAAUAAGUCAUACGAAUCAGAGACAUGAAGAGGUGUAAGAACUGUGAAUGUCCAACAACAAAGACUUCGGAGUUUGUUGUCGAAUAUCUGCAGCGCAUCAUUUCUGAUAGAUCAAAUCGAGCCAAUUCCCGCAAACUCCAAUCCCACCACCACCUUUCAAGCCGGACUCAGCCCUCCGGGCGGCAUUUGGCAGGACAGCACUGGAUCAAACAAGAUUGAGACUGGCAGUGGGAGCAAUGAACGAGCACACUCAGCAGGGAAGUCCAUCAUGGGUUCUAACCACACAUUGUUUCUCUACUUUGUGGCUUCCAACACGAUUGGAUUUUUUGUUUCACUUUACAUGAUCAAUGUCCUCACCAGCAAUUUCCCUCUGCAGUUGGAGCUUCAAAUUUGUAUUGUCGCGAUGUACAGCACGUACAACACUGCAGUUUUCAGCAUUGCACCGGAGAACGUGCGCUUCUUCGUCCUUCUGUUCUCUGUAGUUUUCCCAACUUUGGUUACACUUGCUGUCCAAAAUGAUCGUCUUUCGACAUACAUCACAAUGGCGAUCUUUAAUCAUAAUGACUUGUACUGCUCGAUCAAACGAGACGCAUGGAGGCGCGACGUAGGAGCCACGGUGCAGCCCAAACUUUGCAGAUAAGAAAUCUGGUAAUUCACAGCAUCACAAACAUGUUACUGGGUCUCCUGACCAUCGUAGAUGCCAAUGUGUGCACAAGGAAAGGAGUAAGGUAAUCAAAUGCUUGAGUCUUGUGUACCUGUUUCGGUGUUGGUUCGGAUGAACCCAUUGAGUUCUCGAUCCUUAACUUCUGGAAAUGCUCCUGAAAGCAUAAAUAUAUGUACGGAUUUAAACCAAUGGCAAAUGGACAUAAUUUACGGACAAUGAUUGAAGAAAAUACAGAUAUAAACGCCUCAGUAUUCCAUUGACGAAAGUUCUAGAUUUGAUGAAUCAAACGUCCCACGUUGAGACUGCGUUAAGGCAAAUGGUUCUCAAACACAAAGCAAUAGUUUGCUACCGAAAACAACCAAAGUCUGACAAAGGGAACCGUCUUACACCUAACCUGUUUUUCCCUCAUCAAAUGAGCGCGUUGAUCUGCAGGUAUUUUCUGCCAUCUCAAAACCUGUUACAAAGAAAUAUAACGUUGAUGUUGAGCUGGAUAGCAUAUUAUACCAAUUAUGUGUACAAACCUAUUGAAAUAAAGUAGCUGUAGUUGCAUAUUACGACAGAUAUUAACGAAAACAAAAGAAGGCUCGCCUAUUCAAGAUCCUAAAUCCCAUGAUUCUUUUGUUUUUAGUUUCAGAAAUUUUCAGAGCACAAACUGGAAAGUACCAAGAUACUUACAUAUUGGGCAUAAUGAAAUGCAUCUUCAUCUUUCAAGCAAGAUUUCAGUGAGCGCAAACCAUCCUGGGAGUUACAUAAGUCAAUCAGUAAUAUAAAAACGUAGAUGCAUCACAUCCAAACACAAGUAUUCAAACACCAACAACUUCUUCAUGCGGUGAGGCAUGUUAAAAAAUAGGGAAGAACAGUUAUUGAAUAGGAAGUUAAAGGACUAAAUUUAUGACCUUGUGUUUGUAGUUCUUGGCUCGUAUGCGUUCAUCUAUUACAAAACCAAUCUGUAACAGGUACAACAGAAAAUAUAAGCAGUAGUCAGAACAUUAAGCAUCGGCAUUCAAAUUGCCGCCAAUCCAAAGUUAAAAGUCUAAAGGCAAAACAGUAUGAUUCUUAUCUCUCAAACAAAAAUGAAACUAUACCCCGGUCUCAGACAUAAAUGAAAUAAGUUCUACUGCCUCAACUGAGUACUGUGAUUAUAUAUAAAUCCAAUUCACCUUGUCAAGUAAUCUCUUAGGAUCUUGAAAUGCUUGCUUCUUAGCCCAGUCAUUAAAUACAUGCGAGAUAAUCGAUCUCUCAUCCACACUGAAUCUAUUGCACAGUGACAGGAGAAUAAAGUCAAACAUGAACAUAACCAACCAAAAAUGCUAGUUAUAAUAGUACACCCAUAAUUGCAAGCAAAACCUUUUUAAGAAGCCAUUUCCAUGGUUUUCCUCCCCAAAUUCCAUCAAUUCUGCAGAGGCAACGUCAAAUUUACUAUGAUGGAGAUCAUUUUGCACCAUAACAACUUCAGAAGGUAGGAGAUUUGGUUUGAGAUCAUCUGUUGACGGAGUAGUUUCUUUUGAAGUGUCAUGAUGCUUUGAUUGCAAGCCUUCUGUACUUACGUCAGCCUACAAAACAAAAAUUGCAUUCAUCCACACUAGACUUAAUAAGAUUAGAAACACUUCAGAUUCUUCACUAUUUGUAAGUUUGACUAAACAGCAGAACAACUGAGGAUAAUGAACAGUAAUACACACCUGGACUUCUCGUAGAUGAUUUGGAAUUUCUUUCAGAAAUCGCGAAGGUUGAAGCAUCUGAAGGAGCCACCUUCUCAGUCAGAGCAACAACAACAAAUAAGGAGGACAGGAAUUCAAGCUAAAACGAACCUGCCAACUGGAAUCCAUCGUAACAUAAAGAAUGAAAAGCUUUUUUCGAGCACGAGUCAUUGCAACAUAUAAUAGGCGUCUUUCCUCCUAUGAUUAGAGUGGGAUUAUUGAGUUAUUGACCAAAAGAAAAAAGAGUGGAAUUAUUGUGACAAACACUUCAAAGCUCUGCAUAUAACUGAAAAAUGUUGAACAAUUUACCACACACCUCAAUGGAGGUCCCAUUUUCUUUUGCAACGCCAUUGAAUUCAUGCAACAACGGAAUCUCAGAUUCAUUUACCUGUGUUAUUGGCAUGAGCAUUAAAGCAAGCUAAGAUGAUUUGAAGAGGUUGAUAUUGUCAUGAAUAUAGUAGAAUAGAAUACCAAUUUCAAGCCAUCAAUUAGGUAUAGCAUUGGCAUGUUUAAUCCGUAAAUCUAAUGACAGAACACCUCAACUCUACACAUAAAUAAAUAAACAACCUGAAAAAUAUUACAGCCACUUGUUAAGGCAAAUACCUUAAUUAUGAAAACUAUAUCCCACUCUAAACCUUUUGACUGCAAGAGAAUGAAAAAGAAAGACAGUAAGCCAAGAAUGUUUUGUAGAACUCCAAAGGAAGUCCAAUAGGGAAAUCAUCGCAAGUAUAAGAGUUAGCGAGGUUCGCAUAAGAGGAUAUCAAAAAGAUCUAGAACCUGAUGAAUAGUAGUCAAAGUGACAGAACUUUGGUUGUCAUGUCUUCGGGAGUGAAAAUUUUCACUCUCCCGCUCAGAUAUGUAGUCGAUGAAAGCUUUGAGUAAAUUAACGCAGCCUUUUUCUUCUGCUACGACUUCUCUCUCCCCUUUUCCCGCAACAAAAUGAGUUGAUAAGAAAUCAGAUACGUCGUCUAGUAGGUACUGAAGAACCUGCAAUGAGAAUAAUCGCAUCAAAACAACAGGGUUGGACCAAGAUUUAAGUGACAACAAUGAUUAACUAACUAAAAUAGAGAAAUUAUUCAUUUAAGACCUUGUUGACUGAAAAAAGGGUUUUCCAAGCAGCGGGUCAUUUAAGCUUAUUGUAUAAAUGACAAUCAUCACAAACGGCAAACUUACAGAUCUCACGUCAUUGUCUUCAUUCAGCAGUUUUCCUCCAUCUACAUCAACGACUGCACGUUGCUCAAGAAGGUACUUCUAAAAACUGAAAGUCAAACGAUAAAUUAUUAAGAAGCAUUGAAUAUAAGCAUGAAACGAAGAAAAUGUUAUGGAAUGGUGAUCCUCAUCCUCAAAGAUGAUUAAAAGCAAUUUGAUUCAAAAAUGACAUAUCAACUCUGGAGAAAUGGAAGACAAACCUGUGGUACCAUAUUCGCAACUGAGGUUAUGACAGCUGAAAUCGAUUGUUCCUGUGUGCAUUGAUAAGUGAGACUACCAUAGAGAUUCACAACUAAAUAAAGACAGGUAUUCCACAGAACAACCUUUACCUCUUUGGAAACACAGAUCUAACAAAAACUAUAACAUUUUGGAUUAAUAUUGACGAAUCAAGAAUAAUGCAAGGGAGCAAGAGAUACUCUUCCUUCUAAUAACAAGGAGGCGUGAAAAGUUUACAGAGUUCCAACAAUUAGAGAACUAAAAUCAAACUAAAAAAAUCACCAAAGUAGACAGAAUCCCACUUCGCCAAAAAUUUGAAAAUAUAUCCUUUUUAUCCAUUGAGAUUCAUGAACUACUACUACUACAUCAUGCCAAUAAGCAAUGCGUAAGAGGUGCUACAAUUUACCGAAUAUAUUUACCCUGAGAACAAGUUUUGAAAUCAUCUCUAGUGUUAACAGCACCUUGCGUCCUUGGGUAAGCUGAGUCCUAUUAUCAAGUAAAGAGACCAAUCAGUACAUAUCCAAAAGAUCUUAAAUGCUUGUAAUACCAAAUAAGAAAGAAACAUGAGUAUAUCUUGAAUUAACAAUGCAAAAAUGUAAUGUUAAAGCAUCUUGUCAUACAGACCUCUUCAAGGUACCAGAAAUUUUGGCACUAAAGAUGUCACAAGCAGCUGAUAUGAAGCUGCAUUUUCUGUGAGUUGAAAUUUUGUCAAUAUAAUCAAUCACCUGAAGAGAGAGAGAGAGAAAGACAGUGAUAUCCAGAGAUGUGAGCCUAAAUGCUGAGUGUGUAAAAAAAGAAGAUUAAAUGGAUAGCAAGAAUAUACAACUUUAAUGCUGAAAAGAACAUUGAAUAUGAUGCUCAUUCAUCAUUGCCAUUGAACGUGUACCUUCUUCUUUUCCUCUUUCUCAAAAGCAAGUAGAGCCUUGAAGACUCGCCUAUAUGAUCCAUCAUCACAACCAGGCAAAGUUGUUUUAAUCAUAGCAACAAUGGCUCUAACUACCUGCCAUAAGAAACAUGCUACAUCAACAAGAUCACAGAGUGUACCAGAAACCGUAAUGUAGCAAAAUCUUAGAUAAAAUAGCUGGCCAAAAGGGAAUGGAAAAGCAAGCACAAAAAACAAUGAAAAGGACCAGUGAUGCCAAAAUUCUGGUGGAAAAGGUGAAAAGCUUACGUCUAUUACAGUUCUUGUAUGCAUUCUUUAUAACUUAAGUUCUACGCAGCAAAAACCACCUUAUGCACAACAAUAUUGGAAAAAUUAGAUACAUACAACUGAGAAGAUAGGUUUUCAUAGCUGGACAAGUGCUAACUACCUUCUUCCUAUAAACUGCCACUCCAUGAACAUUAAAUGGUAUUUUCCUUUCACGCAAGGCUGUCUGGAAGACUUUUCCUGAUACCUGUAGUAUAAAAUACAAAAGAAAAUGUGAGCAAAAUGUCUUAUAUGAUUCACCUCAUUCACAUUAGCACUAAGGCAAGUACGCUUGACCUGCCUCCGGUAAAGGAUUGCUAUAUUUCCAUAGGAGCACCCUGCUUCUGACCGUUUAGAUGCAGUCUCCAGGAUCUUGUCGACAACAAAGGCGCAUUGUGCAUCCUCAUUGUGACUUUCCUUGAUAAUUACCUACAUUUUGCCAGUAAAACCGGUGUCACUAACUAAAAGGACUGAAAAAUGACAUCAAAUUGUACUUGUUGGAGCAAGGAAAGAUUAAGUACCUUAGACCCAGAAGAAUUGUCCGUGUCAACAUUCUUUAGUUGGCAUCGCUUCUUAUUGUUUUUUAUAACAGAAGAUGCAGCUUCCACAAUAUAGCGUGUGGACCGAAAGUUUUUAUUAAGCCUAAUCUGAACCAUAAAGUUAUGUCAAAUCCCACAGAACCCCAUAAAAUAAAACUUACUUUCCUGUAAUUGUACAAUAUAUUUGUUCUAUACUAUAUAUAAUGAAAAAAGACACUGUGAAUGACAUAAGAUAACAUAGCAGUCAAGUGCGAAGCGAACCUCUUUGUUAUUUGAAAAAUCUUUACGAAAAGAAUCAAAUCCAGAAAUGUCCGCCCCAUUGAAACUGAAAAUGGACUGCAGCAGGAUAUAUGUUAUUUGAUUUAGAAAAGAUAAGGGCUGGAUUAAAAUGAGCUGAGAGAGAGAGAGAGGGAGAGAGGGAGCAAUAACAUUGGAUUUCCAUAAUAAAUCAACAACAUGCCUGAUCAUCAUCACCAACAAUGGUUAUGUGGUUAUGAGAGGCGAGAAUCCGCAAAAGACUAUAUUGCAUAGCACUUGUGUCUUGAAACUCGUCUAUUACAAUAGCUUUCCAUGACUCCUGGCACUCCUUCAACACUAAUUAAAAGAACACCAUGUAUCAACAUUUAGCAUUACUUGUAAAACUAGAUAAAUCAAUGAAAUAUACUUAGAUGAUAGAGACCUUCAGGAAAAUCACUUAGCAGCUUCACAGAGCAGCUAAUUAAGUCGUGGUAGUCCAAAGCGUUGCACGAUUUCAAGAUAUCAUUGUAAUUCCUAAGAAUUUCACCCUGAUUCAGAUUGAGAGCUAAAACUCAUAAGCAAUAGUUUCAAAGAACUGAAAUCAUAUCUGAAAUUCUAGUUCUGAGCGUACUCCUGUCACAUCACCCAUUCUUCGGCAUUCAGCGGGAGUCUUUCCAGAAGCUUUUGCCUGAAACAUAAAUAAAUUUAUUGCCUAAUGCCACAUAUUGUAAGACACACCAUUGUAUUGGUCAUUCUAGCUUGAUUGUAGCUAAUAUUUUUUAAAUCGAAUGAUUAGAGUUCUUAAUCCACAAUAAUCUGAACAUUAAAUUUGGUAUUCAAGACUGACCUGUGUCACAAACUUCAGCCAUUUCUUUGAUGCAUCCUUAAAAUGAUGUGGAGAUGUUACGCCGUUAGACUCUUCCCCAUCUAUAGCAACAUUAAGAUUCGUUUUACUCUUUUCAUCUUCUGAUAAACGCACAGCUUCAAUGAUUGCUCUUCUCUGUUGCCCAUGUCCAUAUAUCAAAAAUUCUGGUCUGCGCUCGAGUCUAAAACACAAGGCAACAUAACAGACUCAGCUAUACCACCAUAUGUAUGGUGUUCAAAAUCAAGGGAGGUGAAUCAAUAGCUUACUUCUCAGCAUGUGAUCGGCAAAGUUGCAAUGAAAAUGAAUGAAAUGUACUGAUUGUUAGUAGUUUGCCGUUGCUUUCCCAGUCACAGAUCCAAUUCGAUCUCUCAUCUCGGAAGCUGCUGCUGUAGUGAAAGUCAUUGCUAGAACGUUCGACGUGCUAAUGCCCUAAGAACACCCAAAAAAAAAAAACGAAUAAGAUUUCGAUCAUAAACAAGAAAUGUAGAGAAACAGACAAUUAUGAAAGAAAAAGUUAAGAGGGAAAGUAGCAACACCUCAUUGAGCAGCAUUAGAACGCGCCCAACUAUCGUUGAAGUCUUUCCACUUCCAGGGCCGGCAACAAUCAUCAAAGGUACUGAACUAUCGCUGCAAGCUGCCUCGAGCUGCCUUUCGUUGAGAGAAAGCAAAUACUUCAAAUACUCAUCCGGCAUGUUAGGCAAUCCAUGGUUAACAGAAUCUGUUUGGUUUUCACUACUCAAAGGCGGCGCUGAUGCGGCACUAACGACACUACCACAACUCCCAAUAUCAUCACGCUGAAUGUCCACACUCGUUUUCUGCUCGAUUAAAGCGUCAAUUUCCUGCAAAAUACUCUCAUCGAAAUCAUCAUCGUUAAGAAUUCCAGAUGCAGAGAAAGAAUCAAAUGAAGUCAGAAACUGCGGUUGUCUGAUUGGAGUUGUGAAAGAAUCCGAUUUUGACACGCUUGAUUCGGUCCGGCUAACGCUUAAGCUCCCGGAACACGAAGCACUGCCAUAUUCACCACGCGCUGAAUUGUACCGGCUUGCGGAAAUCGGAGGCGGUGUUCUUUGAACUCUAUUGAGCUGAGUUGGCGUUUGGAUUCCAUUUCCGCCACAGAUUCUGGAAUUUGAAAAACACAAUUGAAUUGAUUUAAAUUGAAGCAAGAAAACGGCCGAGUAGCAAAAAAAUAGUAAGAAGAUGAAACCUUUGAUUCCUGAACGACUUACUUGGUAUGAGGGAGGUGAUGAUCAGGUGAAACGGCGUCGUUGCGGGGGCGUUUGCGAUCAAUGAGGGCCUUGGCGGCUCUGCAAUUCCGAGAGAUGCGGUUUCUUUGUUCCGCCGUGAGCCCUCCGCCGUACGCCUGAACGUUUUCCUUGGACAUUGCUUCGAAGAUUCCAACGGAGGAUUUGGCCUGACGGCCUGACCAGGCUGAUAACAGUGUAAAACCUUAGGAGCUAAGGAAAAACUAAGAGAGAGAUCGUAGAGAGGGGAAAGUUUUUUGUUUUUUGGAAACUUAGAGAGGGAAAGUUUGUUAAACCUGCAUAAUAUUCUUUUCGUUCAACUUGUCUACAAUAAUUACCACUCUUGGUAUUUAUACAUUUGUAACACACCUCACUAACUAACUAAGACCACUACCAAUCAUACAUAAACACUUGUCAUAAUCCUAUGCACUCAUAGUAUCAUCACUCUAACAUCCCCCUCAAGCUCGUGUGGCAGAUUGCCAAGUAUGAAAUUGGAACAAUUACGAGUGAACUGGGGUGAACACAAGCCUUUGGUGAACAUGUCGGCAUAUUGAUCUGCAGAGGUAACAAACUGCAAAAUAAUUGUCCUUCGAUGAACUCUUUCACGAACAAAGUGGCAAUCAAUCUCUAUAUGUUUGGCUUUAGAGUGCAAUACAGGAUUAGUCGCAAGAGCCAUUGCUGAAAUGUUAUCACAAUUCAAAACUGGAACAGAAGGAUAACCAACAUGCAAAUCUCGAAUAAGUUGUUGUAUCCAGAUAACCUUAGCAGUGGUUGUAGCCAUUGCUCUAUAUUCAGCUUCAGUGGAAGACCUACUCACUGUAUGCUGCUUUUUAGAACUCCAAGAGAUAGGAGUAUCUCCCAAAAAAAUGACAAAACCCGUGGUUGAACGACGAUCAUUGGGAUCCCCUGCCCAAUCAGCAUCUGUAUAAGCUUUCAACUAAGAUGAACCUAAUUUAAAACACAAUCCCAAAGACAUAGUGCCUCUGAGAUAUCGCAGAAUACGUUUCACAGCAGCAAAUAAGUGGCUAAGGGUGAAUGCAUAAACUGACAUACUUGAUUGACAUAAAAAGAAAUAUCUAGUCUUGUAAAUGUUACGUAUUGCAGUGCCCCAACAAUACUUUUAUAAGUGGUAGGAUCAGAAACAGGUUCACUACCAUGAUUCAGAAGCUUCUAAUUAGGAUGACAAGGUGUGGGAAAAGGUUUAUAGUCCAGCAUAUGCAUAUUUUGAAGGAGUUCUUUGACAUACUUGGUCUGAUGAACAAAGAGUCCCUGAUCCUGAUACUCAAUCUGUAAACCAAGAAAAUAAUGCAACACACCUAGAUCUUUCAUGUCAAACUCACUAGUUAACUGACUAAUAACAUUAUGAACCUUCACAUCAUCAUUACUAGUGAGAAUGAUAUCAUCAACAUAUAAUAAGAGAACAAUAAUUGAUGAACAAUCACACUUGACAAAUAAUGAAGGAUCUGCAUAUGAGAUUGAGAGUUACAAGGAAAAGAUAUACAAGACUUAUUAAGUGUUGCAAUGACAAUGGAAUGUGCAGGAUCGCCUAAUCAACAAUGCCACAAUGUAGAAGAAAUCUUUUGACCCACAAAUGCAACUGGAUUAAAAACAGGAGAAAUAGACCUCUGUGGUUUGAUAUGGGAAGUGGAUAGACAACAUUAUUACUCAGCCCUUGGAAUAGCACUCUCCCGAUGACCUUGUCCUAUAGACAGAGAGAAACAUCAUCAAUGAUACAACGACACUAAUUAUCUUUGCACAACUAAUUCAUAGAUAAUAAGUGUUGUGAUAGUUUUGGAACAUGUAACAAAGAGUUUAACUUGAAAUUAUGUGACUUAGUGAGAAGAGAAGAGGAACCAAUAUGUUUGAUAGCUAAACCUUCACCACUAGCAGUGGUCACAGUAUCAUUUGAUGGAUAAAUUUGUUGCCAUGUGCAAGUUUGACAAAUCUGAGGUCAUAUGGUUAGUUGCUCCCAAGUCAAGAAACCAGAAAUCUUGUUGAAGAGUUGAGGAUGAUGCACCAGCUCGUGCUUGCACAGCAAGAGGAGGAUUUUGUGAGGAUAUAAUUGAGAGAUACAUAUGUGGUAUGACAGGAUACUGAAACUCGAAGCUAUUAGACUGUGGAAUCAUGCCUUGUGAAAGACCACAUGGAUUCUAGCUAGGUGCUUCACCAUAUGACCCAGUAGGCAUUGGAGUUGGCAUAGACGAGGAUAAACCCUGAGAGAAAUGCUAUGAUGUGUCUGUGAAAUUCUUAUUCCGAUCAAAGCAAGUAGCAGCAACACGGCAGCCUCUGUGACAAAUUUGACAUCCAUGUUGAAAACAAUUCAAUGCAGAAUGACCUUUGCGAUCACAUAUUUGCAUAAUGGCCUCUGUGAUCACAUAUUUGCAGAAUGGCCUUUGCAACCCUAGAAAGAACAAGGCGCGAAGAAGACCAAAUGUGUACGUUUCUCUUUGUUUUUUUUUCCCUCCUAAUCGUGCUGUUCGAAAUCACGGACCUCGGGCUUGGGCCUAAUGGGCCCAAUUAUGAGGCCUAUUAUCUCCGGUCUUCUCGUUCUACUUCUAGUUACCCAAAUUAAGAACGUGCUGGUUCGCUUUUAGCGCGAGAGAGAAAUGGAGGCCCUGAUUGCCUCGUACGGAAACUCGUCGUCGGGCUCAGACUCCGAGACGCCGGCUCCACCUCCACCACCACCUCCGGAGCUCAACAACCCUCAAGAACCGACCCCUGCGCUGCCUCCACCUCCUCUGUCACUUCUCGACAGCCCCAAUUCCUUCGGUAACCUCUGAUUCCCAUCAAUUUUCAUCUUUUAGCUUUCUGUUGUGAUGGCUUUUUCCGAGUUGCCCACCAAGUGUUUGAUAUUUUGCCUCUGAAGGAUUUCUGGACUUCUCGGCAAGCGUCCAGCCGAGCAGAGUUCGGAACUUUCCUCACGUCGAAGGGAACUACGCAGUACAUGUAUACAUCCCAGGUUAUCAAAAUUCUCGAAAUUUUCAGCUCCAUUAGCAAAUGCGAUCGCUUUGCACUUAGUUUUUGCUUGUUUAAUUGUGUGGUUCCAGUUUAUAUACCACCAGCACCAAGGAAAGAGAUGGCCUUGUUUUUGAACAAGCUAGCUUCUCUGGUGCCUUGUCUCCAUGCGGUUGACGUUGACUUCCCGCUUGACAUUCUGCGUAAGGACGAGCACAAGCUUGAACAAGUUGCUUUAGGCAGAGAGUUCCAUAUAAGUCUCGGAAGAACUGUUCCGAUUCGGGUGCACCAGAUUGAUUCCUUGGUGACAAUGCUGCGGCAGAAGCUUCAGAUUCAGAGGCGGUAUGGUUACAUUUACAUUCUCUUGUCUGCAUUGCGUGAAUUUAGUUCUGUUAUUUAACAUAAUUCUGUAAGCCUGCAAUUUUUUCGUCCAUUUUCGGUUUAACACAUUUUGUUAUUGUGCAACAGGUAUUGGAUUGAUUUUAGCAAGUGGGAGGUUUUUGUUAAUGAUGAUCAGACCCGGACCUUUGUGUCUAUCGAAAUCAUUGCUGCUGGGUUAGCUGAGGUAUGAUUGCUAGCUUUCUCUCUUGGUGCAAUUCUAAAUGUUUUCAGUUGUUAUAUGGGCUUAAGAUUUAGUAAGGACUUGCCGAAAGUCAUGGGAUUUUGAAAUAUCGAUAUCUUGCUUGCUUAUUAGCUUAGAUUUGGUCUUCGAUGCACUUGUAACAUGAAAAACACAAACGAAAACUAAUGCAUGAUAUGCUCAUGGUUUUAACAUGUGUUGUCCUGGCGUAAAUCAUGUUCCUAAUCCUGUCAUGUGAGUAUAAGCCUAUGAAACUCAGGGCAUGUUUGGCGGGCCGGACAAGAUUGGAAUUGGUAUUUCAGACUAGUUAGGUUAGGAUUGAACUGGAUAGGAUAGGUUUUUUUGUCUAAAGAUUGGUGUAGACUGUCUUAACCAGACUAGGAACGAUGGGAUUUAAAACGUGAAACAGAUCCGCGACAUCCCAACGAUGACCCGCCCACCCAACAACUCUGCUCGUGACUUGCAACACCUCUCGUACCCUCCACGCCCCUUGAGGCCCGUCAGACCACUCUGAUAUCCUGGAGGGGUGAAACGUGGUUACUAGAAGCAUACCUGUUUUCGUAUUAAUGCACAGUUGAAGCAGCUUUCAUUGUCUACAAGUCUGAAAUAUUUCAACUUCCAUUGAUUUCAGAUAACAAAGCAGAUUCAAGCUGUGAAUGAGGUGUAUAAGCUUCACAAUCUUCCUGAAUUUUACAAGGUUAGCUUUUUCGUGCUUUUCAAACUCGAAAUUACUUACUGAAUAUAUGACAAUAUAUUGGAGCAAAUGAUUGUGCCUGAAUGCUACUCAUUGCUCAAAAAACUAAAUCACUUCAUGGGGUGUUGGUGAUCACAGGAUCCGCGCCCUCACAUCUCGGUAGCUUGGGCAUUGGGUGACAUCGGCAAUUCCCUGAAGAAAGUGGUUGAAGAAGAAAGACGAAGAUCUACCAUCGGAGGAUCGUUACAGAAAUGUAUUUUUACCAGUAAAUUCAAUGGUAUUGAAUGUAGGAUUGGUAAUAAAACACACAAAAUAUGUAAAUUUUCUGAACAAUAAUGUAGCCAUUUAACUAUAUUGUGAAAUUCCGAGAAUAUAUCGCUGAGCAUUGGAUGAGAAGACAUUUCUUCGUUGGUGUCGAACUUCAUGCCGAAGGUAUAGACACCGUGUAAACGCCAUCAUCCAUGCAGUCUCCUGUGCAUUAUUUAGUAUUGUCUCAGUUUCUCCAAACUUGAAUGCUCCUAUAAACCCACUCUUGACCUUUCCGUCAUCUGCGAUUACCGGAAAGCUGGCAAGGAUGUUGCCGUUAACCUACCUAACCGGCUAGGAUGUUGCCGUCAUCUCCAAACUUUAAAUACCGGAAAGCCGGCUCCAAACUUCAAUGUGCUACUAGUUUUUGUAUGCGAGAGCUCCACCUCCAUUGUUGUAACAGCAUCUGAUGCGGACUAGUCCUUCAUUCCCGUUACUCUUUGCUAUCUCCACUUCGAACUUGGCGUAAUGGCUCCCGGCCUCCUCUCCGGUGAAAUUGAGAAACCCCGGAGCUGGCGUUUUCAUUCUGUUGUCCGUAUAUCUUGUAUUACAAGUAUUUGUUGUGCAAAAUGCAAGCUAAGUUCAAUUUAUGUUUAUGUGUGUGUGUGUGUUGCCACUUUGUCACUUUUCCAACGUUUUCUCCAAAAUUGUGAUUUUGGUGAAUCCUAAUAACAAUUCCCUCGUUAAUCAUUGGGACGAGCACCAAGGCAGUUUUGAUUCCGUGCACAACGGCGAUACCUCGAAAGAAAUUGAUUCUAACCCAGAAAGAUGUUUUAAAUCAAAGUUGAACAAGGGAAGAAAACUUUUGAAUCGCAAUCACAUGUCUGGUCAAAUUCUUGAACAGUUGAUGUAUACAGACGUUCCUUGCUUAUGACACGACUUAUGAGAGGAUGUAUGUAUUGCAUUUGCAUCAAAAAAGAGAGAGAAGGUUGUAAGUGGUAAGGGAACGACUACCGAUGCCGCUCCACUUCUAAUCAAAGGGAUCGAUCCGAGGGUCGUGUUCACUUGCCAUCGCCAUUCCAGUGCAAAGGCAUGUCGGGCACAUUACCUGCCACAUUUACAGACGCAAUGUUAGAUAUAGCUGCCAUUUGGAAGUCACUUCUCAAAAUUUUGCUACUAAAUUAAUCUUAGACUUCAUUUCCAGUGCAAUUUUUUGCUACUAAAUUAAGCUUGUGAAUAUAGUACAUCUAAGCGGCAGGCACUAAAAGGAAUUUAGUAUGCAAUAAACAUUCAACGGACUAACCUUUCCCGCUCCUGAGCAAUUUGAACAUCGUUCAGUUUUUGGCAGAGAUAGGGGUUGGUUUCCGCCAUCAGCUGUCGAUACUGGUUCAGUAAGAACAAGGGUUCCAGUGCUGGAGCAACGAGCACAAGCAAGAUAUCCUGCGUAAGUAUCAAAUACACAGGUAAGUUGACAUAUGAAACCAAUCUGUGUAAACUACACUGUAAUAGCAGAAGAAUAUGCAGUACGAGAGAAAGAGAGAGAGAGAGAUUUAGAGAGAGAAGUUAAUACUUCAUAUGUAAUAUUUUCUAUAUCAUCAAUCUUACAAUAUUAAGACUAUAUACUAUAUGAAACUGCUAACUAACUCUAACAACCUCUCUAACAACCUUUCUAAUCUUUUGACAAGUGUCUUCAUAUUCUACCAUUGGAUUACUAUCCUUAACAUCCCCCCUCAAGCUCAGGAGAGGUAGAAUCCAAACUGAGAUUGCGACAAUGAAUCUGAAAGAGAGGAGCAGAUAAUCCCUUGGUCAGUAUGUCUGCAUAUUGCUCACUGGAAGACACAAACUGAACAAGCAACUGCUUCUUUGCAACUCGUUCGCGAACAAAAUGAAUAUCAACCUCAAUGUGCUUUGUGCGUUGAUGUAGAACUGGAUUGGAUUAAGCAAUUACUGACCUUUGUGCAUCUUACUAUUCCUACUUCACCAGUUUUGUAUUGUGAUAAUAUGUCAGCAAUCGCAUUAACAACCUCUCUAACAACCUUUCUAAUCUUUUGACAAGUGUCUUCAUAUUCUACCAUUGGAUUACUAUCCUUAACAAUCUGAACAUCUCCAUCGUAUAUAUUUAAAGCUACAGUACAUAAAACGAAAAGUCAGAAAUAGAGGACAUUAUCACACCAGUUCCAAGACAAUAUUUGCAUCGUUUAUGCUCCUGCUGUUUCACAUUGUUUAUUUCAACUACCAUCAAUGCUGAGAUCACUCCGACUGCUCCUCCAGAGAAUGACGCCACUAUGGGAUCAACUUGACUGCAGUUUGAAAGUAAAGGAGAUCAAUAAACAAAACUGUUAACAACAUAGUAUCAACAUUAUUUAGCUUCGUUUCAAGAAAUAUGACAUCCUAGGUUUUUCUAAUGUGUAAAAAUUGAGGAUCCUUGACUAUAUCGGUUCCCAAAGCAUUUGAUUCCUACGUUACAGACGGAAAACAGUAACAAUCGAAUUUAAAGAUUCAUAACACGAUAGAUGGUAGGUCUCGGGUUCGAGACUUGGGAGCAGCCUCUCCAUAAAUGGGGGUAAGGCUAGCCGACAUUCACCUCUCCCAGACCCUGCGUAAAGCGGGAGCCUUGUGCACUGGGUACGACCUUUUAUAACACGAUAGAUGGUACAAAUUUUCAAAACGAUAAUUACUAGAGAACAGGAGGGUUAAUAGCCUGAGAUAUGAGCAAUACCUCAACUGCAACGGCAGAUGCAUAUUUACUAUAAAGUCUUUAUAUGAUGUGCCUCCUAUUCCCAGCUUCAACUCCAACUGAAAGAUGUAAAGGUAAUUGUAGGCAAAGAGUUACAAACAUAACCGAAUCCAUGUUUUAUAAGCAACAACUACACUUAUUUUGUUAUGUUUCCUCAUUUUUUACUUGCAAAUUCCGAACCAUAUUGUCGGACCAGUAAAAAGAAAAUAAUGUUUAUGAUAACUGUUAAAACUAAUCACAACAAGUUAAUGCAUAAAGAACUUACGGAGGGUGCUAUGAGGCCACCGAAAAGGAUAAACCCCGCAAUAAUUGAAUAACAAACAGCAUAAUAUUGCUUAAGGUUGUCUGAACUCUGCAAGCAAUGAAUUCACCUUGUGAUUAAUACUUUGCACAAACACUAGUUUUCGCAAUUUUUUAUGAAUCGACAAAAGGCUACAACAAAAUAUGGCUAAAACAUGUGAAAAUACAUGUCUUCACAGGGGCACCAGCUUACCAGGGGAGGCAAAAAUGGAAUGAACGAUGGAAAACUAGGAAGUUCGUUUUCUUGAUCUUCAUUUACCGCUCCAAGCUCUGCACGUUUAAUCCGCUGUUGUAUCCUCAGCCCGCGAACCUACGCAUAUCGAAGCUCAUUCUUAAAGAACACAUUUCUAAUGGCAAUUGGAGAGUAAUUUAAAACAUGCUAAACUGAGAAAGUGGUAGCAACAAGCAAUUGCUCUCACUUCCUCCAUAUGCAAGAAAAUUUUGUUGCGACGACUCCGAAUAUUAUCUUGAAUUUCCUGCAGCUCCAUUGUCGCAAAGUCCUGCACUGUUUCAGGCCCCUCUAUGAUACAAAAUCUGCACAAUUAAGCAUGUAAAAACUAAAAAUUACAGGCUAUAAAACAAUUUCCGUAUCAUUUUUGGGAGCUCUCUCUCUCUCUCAAACCAGAAGGCAGAGCUUUCUGUUUCUCUUGAGGUUUCUUUCACUGGUAAAUUCCAGAGAAGCAGAGAAGAAGGCUCUCUGAGAAAUGGCGAUGGUGCAAGUGGAGACAAAACAAAUGUAUAUCUUGAAGCACCGAAAUUGUGCAGAACACUUGUCAACUACCGAACUCUAGGAUUAGGAGAGAGAGAGAGAGAGAGAGUGAGUGACCGGCAAAAAAAAAAAUGAGGGAAGAAUCACCCACAUUUAAAAAUGAUUUUUAGGGGACCUGGUGUCGUUGGAUUCGAGUAGUUGUUCGGUAUGUCACAUUUAAAAUUUUAUUAUCUGAUGAUAAACGUCGAAACAUAAAGAUAGGUCAUCUCUAACCGAAUGAGGACUAAAAAGUCAUGUUUAGUACUAUAAUCCUGCAAUGAAUUAUAUUUUAAUAAAUAAUAUCAGGUUAUAUUUUAUACCAUAUCUAACCGAGUGGGUCAAAUGAUCAUAUGCCAAACAUAGCCUUUUGACAAAAAACUCAUCUCCAACCGAGGGGGCUAAAUGGUCAUAGACCAAACAUAAUUGCUCAAUAAUUUAUUAUUCUAAUUGAAUUAAUAUGAUUAAUUAAAUUAAAUUACCAUAUUAAAAUAAGAUUUCAUGAUAUAUUUUGAGUGCCACUUGCCACAAUACCGAAGAAAGCAUGGUAUUAUUGCACCUGCCACAAAGUCAAGCUUGACAUUCUGCUGCUGGAGGGCUGGCUGGCUAGCUGAAAAUGGCCAGCCUGCUGGCCUGAUUUGGGAGGUUUUGGCCCAAUGGGGCCCCAAGCCCUUUGGCCUAGCCUUCGGUUGGAAACGGUUUUCGUGUUAUUCUGAGUUAUUUUUAACCCUAUGAUCCUUUGGCCGGAUCGAUUGGAGAUGACCUUAGGUGUGUUGAUUGUCUUUGAGACAUCGGAGGUUCUGUGUGAUUGAAUACUUCACCCUCCUCCAAAGGCGCCACUCUUGAGAAGGUUACUUGCCUCAUGCAAACAUUGUGAAUUGCAAGUGAUGAAUUGUUCUGAUGAUGAGGUUUAUUUUUUAACUCAUUAUGUUUCAAGUUUAAACAUUUUUCCCUCUCUUAGUGUAAAAUAUUGUUUGUGAUAAAAAAACUUAAAAUGAGACACUCUCCUUCAUAUAUAAGAUGAUCAAGUGUGAGAUUAAUACUUUUAAUGAGUGACUCAAUUAACCAUUUUCAUUUCUUACGCGUUCAAAAUUAGACAAAUUCUUUGCAUACAUUUAAAAAAAAAAGAUAUUAAGGAGAGUAUAAAAUUAUUACAUUACGAAGAGAGAGUUUCGAACUCGGGACGUAUGAGUAGAACCCUAACGCCUCUCCACUAGGAUAUUAGACCAAUACUGGUCUUGAAUUUUUUUGGUGCCCGGAGCGAAUGCUCAAAACGUGUCUUUUUCCAGUACAACAUAAAUUAAAAAGAAAUAUUUAUAGAGGGCUAGAACCCAAUCGAAGCUGGGGGACUAGGCCCUUACGCCUAUAUUAUAUUACUUACCUAAUACAAACAUUUCUGAUAGAUUUCAGAGGCUCUAAAUGGUCAAACACUUCGUCCUUCCCAAAACCGUUACUGUUGAGAGGGUUCCUUACCUAAUACAAACAUUUUACGUUUACUUAGAACUAGAAAAAUAAGAAUUGCAGGUGAUGAAUUGCUCUAAUGAUGAUGUUUAUUUUUUAACUUAUUGUGUUUUAAGUUUAAAUAAUUCUGUUUCUUUGAUAUAUAUAUUAGUGUAAAAUCAUUCGUAAUAAUAAAAAAAAAGAAUAAAAAUGAUACUCUCAUUUAUAUACAAGUUGAUCAAGUGUGAGAUUAAUAAUUUUAAUGAGUGAAUUAACUAUUUUCAUUUCUUACGAGUUCAAAAUUACACAAAUUCUUUGCAUACAUUUUUUUUUUAAAUAGAAAAUUUCUAUUAUUAAGGAGAGAGUCCUAAACUAUUAGGUUAUGGAAUGUGAGUAGAAACCUAACGCCUAUCCACUAGGAUAUUAGACCACCAGAGCUGAUCCUGAGAUUUUUGGUGCCUGCGUCAAAAUAUGUCCUUUUCCAGUACAACAAUAUAAAUUAAAAAGAAAUAUUUAAAGAGGGCUGGAACCCAGUCGAAGCUGGGAGGCUAGGCCCUCACGCCCAUAUUCUAUUACUUGAAGAAACAAUAUACAACGGGGGGAAUCAUAGUACCGAAACCCCAACAAUAAAAAACAAAGUCACAUGCAACCACUCCAAGCAGUCAACUUGGCCAUUACAUAUUGAAUCCAAAAGGUUGACGGCCUAUUCUCUGCAUACAAUGCACAGAAGAUAACAAGAUUACUAAUAUAAAAAGAACAUCUGAAAAGAUGAACAUAUGCAUCAACAAAUAAGCAGGGGCGGAUCCACAGUGGGGUCGUCGGGGUCAAACGACCCCUUGGAAACCAUGGAAACAACCUUGAAGCUCCCAUAUGCGACCUCUUGGAGCUGGGGUUGUCGGGGUUGUCAGGAAGAGGAAGAAGAAGACUCGGCAGGAAGAGGAAGAAGAAGCAGCUCGCGCGACGUGUAGGUUCUGUGUAGAGUUUCUGACCUUUAAUUCCCACUUCACAAAGACGAGAGAAAGAGAGAGAGGGAAGGAAAGUCCUCGGGGUGGUGGUGAUGUAGACCUUCGUCGGGGUAGUGGUGUGGGUGUGCGUGGGUGUGGAUUCGAUCGGAGAGAGUGAGAGGGUUAAAGAGUGAAAAAGAGAGAGAGAGAGAGAGAGAGAGAGAGAGAGAGAGAGAGAGAGAGAGAGAGAGAGAGAGAGAGAGAGAGAGAGAGAGGAGAGUUCGGGGAGAUGAGAAGGAGGACAAUGGGGACUUGCCCCGUGGCAAGUUGUGAUAGGUAGGAAAUCCCAAAAAGGGAUCCGGAUAGGGUAAGUAAGUGGGGACCAAAUUGUAAACUUCAUUUAACUGUAGGGAAAUUGUGAAAUUACAAGGAAAUCUUUGGGGAGGGGUUUUACAGAAACCCUUCUCAACACUUAAAAGCAAACUGCGUGCUUUUAAUCAGGUUUGGCUCUAUAAUUGAACUUGUAACCAUGCCUUUCCCUAUGACGGAAUUGUGAUAUGCUUUGCCAGAUAUUCACAAGGAAUUCAUUUUUCUUUUUCCAAUUGCAAAAUAUUAGUGAACAAGUUGUUUCUUCUAUGAGAGAUCCAAGCAUAAUGGUUGGGUAGAUGCAGAUGAGAAAAUCAGCAGUUGCUGUAUUUGGCACAGUAAGAUAUUAACUCUUACAUCUAAAUUGAAAAACAUGAAAAUUUCCUAGUUCUCAAGGUCUCACGUGCAUGCUCAGAUACAUUUGUGCUUCAUAUUUGUGUGUUUGAUUCCGAGAAGGCUGACAAGUUGAAGCAAUCUCUUCCUCCAUGUUUGAACAUUCAGGACCUUUGAACAAGGAUUUUGGAGUAGCUGGUUGCGCUAUCCUACCAAGACCCGAUGAAAUGACGAUAUGCAUGCCGUUUCUGUUAAAAAAAAAUAUCCUUAUUGACCCCCCAAACAUUAUUUCCUGGAUCCGCCACUGCAAAUAAGUAAACCAUUCUAAGUGCAAUUUUAGAAGUGAUACGCUCCAAGUGUGAUAUUGGACAGAAGAGCGGCAGCUUCAACCAGUUCUGCUAUAUCCGGCUGGAUGAGAGCUGCUAAAGACAUGAUUGUUCCCUAAUAACAUGAAUAAAUUGAGUAAACACCAAAAGUAGCGCAGCAAGGGAAGGAGAUUUGAAGUAGAUGAAGAGGUGUAAUACCCGUAUAUGCAGCGCAUCAUUUCUGAUAGAUCAAAUCGAGCCAAUUCCUGCCAACUCCAAUGCCGAUAAUCCUACAGUAAAGCAUAAAUCUUAUUCUCUUCUGAUAAAGAUGUGUGUCCCUGACUCCAACGUGUUUGACGCACAUUCCCUACCCAUACAUUGAAACCUUCAUCUGCAAGGACGAAUCCCAGUUAUUCUUCUGGAGAAUUUAAGAACCAUGAAUCACCUGGUCAAGAAAAGCCAGUAACCAAUUACAAUUGAGUUUGAAGCACAUAAGAGCCUAAUUUAAAAUGUAUCCCAUGGAUGUUCAUCAAUUUACACAAUAGUUAGUUUCAAGAAAGGAAAUUUCAACAGAACCUGAAAACUUCAGAUCAGGGGGCACCAAAUAGUGAGCUAUACAUUCAAAAUUUGAAAUAAUCAACUUAGUGGGACCAAUAUGUUGAAAAAAUUGGAAGGAGCUAUGAAAGUAAGGCUUUUCACUAAUCAGACGUCCAGAGAAUCAAUAUUUUACUCACGGAUCAGUUACGGGGAACACUCCCCACCAAAGCAAACUCUUUCGUCUGAAUCUGGAAAACAAGCAGCAGUGGAUUUUAACAGUCUGGGUAUCUCAAAGUUACUUUAAUCACAAAUUUAACAAUUAAACAUAUAAAUGGGCAUUAUUUAGUGAAAUAUUAGUAUAGUACUCACUGUGUGCUCGGAACAAGAGUACCCAGAAAGCUCAAUGAGCUGCGCACAGAGGACUACAGCGGUGAACGACAGCGACCGAUUCUGUAAAAUUCAGUCGAGUUUUGGGUGAUUUCGGAGGUCAAGAGGCUGAUAAGGAAAGCUGCGACCGAAGGGCACUGGUCUGGAAGAAAAGGCUCAGGUCACUGCUGUCCCAAUUCGCGAAGGAAGUGCCCCCAAAACAAUUUCGGCCCUGGACAGGUGCACUGUUUGCACUGGACCAGGGCCGGCCGGCCCAGGCGAUAACGUCCCCCAAACAGUACAUAUACAGAUGCUAGAAAUAUAUUAAUGUAACCUGAAACUACUAGAACCAUUCAAUUCUAGCGUCUACAGCUUUAGCAUUAGUUGGUACAUGGGACAUUCUUCCAAAGAGGGAGAUGAGCUCGUUGAGGCUCUUAUUUAUUCCCCCUCUUGAUGUGCCCUUCUAGGCUGCUAAUUCCAGACGAUCCAAUCUCAUACAUCUUCCCUGCAAAAGCAUGUGUGCCAGACUUCAAGAUCAAAUUUUUCCAACAAAAGAAACUUAAAGAUCAAACUCGCCAGCGGAAUAAAUGAUGCACAAGGGUGUUAAAAUCUUGACAUAUGUAUAUUUUUGGCAGAUUUUAUGUGAGCAUGCUACUAAAACUGGCAUCACUAAAGAUUGGUGGAAAACUUUAACAGUUUGAGUUGUAACUUCUCCAUUGUAUUUGUUAAGGCAAGAUGGAUGACAUCUAUGCAAUUUUCAGUAGAACUUAAAAGGCUGCAUAGCAGCUCUUGUUCGUUGUAUUGAAUACCGUGGUUUUACUGAUGAAUGCAGAGUUUGUUGAUGAUUCAUACGACAAGCAAUUGAAAAUCCCAUCAUUAUGCCCCACAUAUACCAAAAAAAAAAAGUCAUUUACACAAAUUCAGAGCGUUCAUCCACUGUAAUUUGCAGAUAUAGAAACGUUAAGAUAAAAGGAAAUGCAAAGUACCUUUCACCCAAAUUGGAGGAGCACCGGUGGCAUUAGCAAGUUAGCAACGGGAAUUGACAUACCAAUAUCUUCACAGUUUCUGCACAAGCACAAAUCAAAAGAACCCGGCGGUGGAGUUAUGUACCUCUCCUUGGAAAAUGCCACCUCUUGGGAUUUCAAAAUAUGCAGCCAUGGCUAGCCGUCUGACCACGCCAAUUCCACCAAAGCCACCGCAACGCGGCGUAGUGUCCGAUUGAUUGCUUCAAAACAGAGCUUCGUAUCCAUGUGUUUAUCAGCAGAGAGUACCCAAAACCACUGAAAAUUAUUUCUUUAUUCAGAUAAUAAAAUUUCCCAAAUUUGGAAAUUUAAUUCCGAAUCAAAAGUAGGGUUUGAAUUUUGAUUACCUAGAAAUUGGGGGGUUGGGGUGGAGAGGGACCCGUGCCACGACGGAUCUCUGUGUCUGUUUUAACUCAUGCCAAAUUAUAGAGAGUGUCAGGAAGACUUAAAUACUGAAGCCCCGUAAGCCGUUCAAUCCAGGGGGGAAGCUCUUUGAUAGAUGUUUUAUCCAAGAUAAGAUAUCUUAAUCCUUCCAUAUUUUCUUCAAUGCUUGGAAACACCUCAAAUUUUGUACAACCGGAAACAGAGAGACGGACAAGGGACUUGAGCUGACAAAUGCUGCUUGGAAGGCUCUUUAGUUCCUCGCAGUCGUUUAGCUUCAAAUAAGUCAAUCCCGUGAGAUUAUUAAUCGACCAUGGUAGUUCUUUAAUUUUUGAUCCGGAUAAAUUAAGAAAUUCUAACCCUUCAAUCACUUCUGUAAUCUCUGGAAACAUCUCAAGGCUCGAGCAACCAUAAAGAUCAAAGCUUUUGAGUGAUUUCAUACGAAUGCUGCUGGGAAGACUCUUAAGUUUCUUGCAGUAUAGUAGAUUCAAAUGACUCAACCCCGUAAGAUUAUUAAUUGAUGGGGGCAGUUCUUUAAUUUUUGAGCAGCGUAAAUCAAGCUUUUCUAACCCCUCAAUACCUUUUGACAUCGAUGGAAACAUCUCAAGACUGGAGCAGCCAUGAAGGUUCAAGGUUUUGAGACAUUUCAUACGAAUGCAGCCUGGAAGACUCUUAAGUUCCUUGCAAUCUUUUAGGUUGAAAUGACACAACCCCGUGAGAUUAUUAAUUGACAUGGGCAGUUCUUUAAUUUUUGACUCGGAUAAAUUAAGCUCUUCUAACUCCUCCAUACAUUUUGAAAUCUCUGGAAACAUCACAAGAUUGGAGCAGCCAUAAAGAUUAAAGGUUUUGAGAGAUCUCAUACGAAUUUUGCUGGGUAGACUCUCAAGUUCCUUGGAAAAUUCUAAGUUUAAAUGACUCAAUCCCGUGAGAUUAUUAAUUGACUCGGGCAGUACUUUAAUUUUUGACGCGGUUAAAUUAAGCUCUUCUAACUCCUCCAUACCUUCUGAAAUCUCUGGAAACAUCUCAAGAUUGGUGCAACCUCUUAGAUUAAAGGUUUUGAGAGAUUGCAUGCCAAUGUUGUUGGGUAGAAUCUUAAGUUCAUUGCACCAAUUCAGAUCUAAUAAAACAAGCUUUGUAAGAGUCAAAAUCGACCCGUGAACCUCAACUAAGCGUGUACAACUUUGAACAAUUAGCCUCUCAAGAUUUGGCACAUUUGUGAAGUCAGGGGUUAUCUCAAGGUUUUGACAAUGACUUAAAUUGAUGAAUUUCAACUUUUCCUGCGUCUGUUAAAACAUUCAGGAAAACAUGCAUUACUUAAUAAGACAUCUUACUCAAAGCCCAAACAUUUAAAAGAAACAAAUACAAGUAAAUGAUUGUACAUACCUGGGUUCCUUCCCAAAGUCGGUUAAUGAGACUACAUCGCAUGUCAAGUUCAACAAGAUUUUUGAAUUGAAAGUUGGAUGGCAAAGACUUGAGAGGGAAUUGAAACCAGGAGAGAUACCUCAAGUUAGGUAACUUAAAACGGAGCCCACUCAGGUGGUGUUUCCAGUAAUCACGUUUAAAAACGGAGCCCUCACUACUGAUCUUGAGAAGUCUUAGUUGAGUCAUACUAGCAAAAGCUUUAGCAUUUAAGCAUACCCGGUCUGAGUACGAGAAAUCCACGAUUAUGCUUUCAACUGUUUUCGUAGCCUGUGCAAAUCAAAGUAUUAGAAAAUACAAAGAACCUUAGUUUAGAUUAUGAAAUUAAUGCUUGUUUCUUAGGGAGCUGUUUGAUAAUCAUUUCGUUUUUAGUUUAAUUUUUUUUUCAAUUUUCAAUUAUUCAAACAAUGAAAACUAAAAAUUAAAAAUUGAAAACAAAAAUGGUUAUCAAAUGGCCUAAGAAAUUGAUUUUGGUCAAAAGUUGAAGCUUUCUACUAACAAUUGCAUAAGAAAAAGACUUCUCACCGUAUUUUGAGUUAGCAUUUGAUUAACAUCUUCAUAACUCCACAACCUACUUCGUUUCCCAGGCUCUUUGAUAGAUUCUUGACGGACGAUUUCCCGACCCAUUUCCUCUAAUGAAUCAUGCUUCUCCAGUUCCCCCUCCCCUGAGACAGUUAUGAGAGCAUGAUCGAUUAGAACUCUUAUUCCUAUAUGAGGAUGGAAACCACAAUCGUCCAUAAUUCGGGUUGCACAGUCUUUCUUCAUCCCUUUAAAGAAACAUGCAAUAUCUAGAAAGAUGUCUUUCACUGUGUCAUCUAGUCCAUCGAAGCUUGAUUUAAGCACAUCAUGAAUUCCCCUUUGCGGGAUUUUCCUUAUUUUUUCUAACUCAUCUUCCCACUCACGGAUAGUUUUUUUAAGAAGAAAAGCUCCCAAAACUUUGAGUGCUAAGGGCAGACCUUGAGCAUAUUUUACGACACGCUUAGAGAGAUCAUCAUAAUCUCUGGUGGGUUGGUUUUUUCGGAAGGCGUGCUGCCUAAAGAGUUUCAGAGCUCCAGAAUCACUCAAAGUCUUGGGAUUAUAUAUCACAUCAACUAUGCUUAGUAACUGUGAAUCUCUACUUGUUAUAAUAAUCCUACUUCCACCACCAAAGGAAUGUGGCUCUCCAAGUAAAGCAUCAAUUUGUUCUGAUUUGUCCACAUCAUCAACAACAAUAAGAACUUCUCUGACCAAGGCUUUUUAACAUCACCUGAAAACCUUUGUUCGAUAUGUCAGAGCUCCCCACCUUGUUGUCCGAGAUACUAGAUAGAAGUUGUGUCUGCAUAUGUAGUUCGCCGUGCUUCAUGAAACCCUCCUUGACAUUUUUAAGAAAGCAACAAGUUUCAAAUCGACUAGCGAUUUCAUCAUAAACAGCUCUAGCGAUGGUUGUUUUGCCUAAACCACCCAUACCCCAUAUUCCAACAACGCGAACAUUAUUCGUUUCAACUCCAGGAGGAUGUAAUAAUAAAUGCAUUUCAUGCAUAUGAGAAUCCAUGUCAACCAAGCCAUUCUCUUUCCUUGAUGAUGAUGAGAUGUCAAUCAAUUUCCGAUAAACAUAUUCUACAAUUUCCUCUACGAGCACCGCAUCACUCCUGUCAAAUUAAAAAAAAAAAAUAUAAUAACAACAAAAAAUAAUAAUUAAUAGGUCUUUUUCAUCUGUUAGUUUUAAAAAAACUAGAAAUUAAAACCAAAAUCUUGUUGUGGUCUAUUUUAUCUGACAGAGGGACUAGGGCCGGCGGCAGAGAGAGAGAGGAGAGAGAGGUGUGUUUGUAGAAUUGUAGGGGAAUGUGUGUGUUGUUAUCCCUCCUACAUUGUGCCUUUAUUUAUAGUAGUAAAGGGAGAGAAGAUAUUCCUUCUUCUCCAAGUAAUACAAGUUGUAAUAGGAAAGGAUAACUAGAAUCAAAUCUUAUCUAGGAUUUACACAAUCAUACUUAAACUAGGAAUGUUUACAACACUCCCCCUUGAGUGGGUAAAUACUCAAGGUAGAUUCAGCAUCAUGCAGAAGUUGAGGAAGUCGACUCGUCGGCAUUGAUUCCAAGGAACAACGCUUAUUCUCAAUAAGGUAGGAACUUGCAUAAGUAGUAAGUCUCACUAAAAAACCCUAAGGCUAUGGCAAAAACCCAAGUAGGGACAAAAUCCAUAGUCUAAGGAAAAAUGCGUGAGGAAUGCAAAGUCAAAAGAAACGUCUACAGGACAUCAUCAGGGAUAUGACCAGCCCAAGGUGGGUGCCUCGUUAAAACCUAGUUAGGUAGCAAAAACCCAGUGGGAAAAAUGCUCCUAAUCGUAGGGAAAAAGAGUACAUUAAGAUCAAGCAAGUAUCCAGAAGAAACUCCCCCUGAGUUUGACAUAAUUCCAAAGAGAAAUAGCAAAGUUACAACUCAGAAAGUUUUUACGCAUACCAAUUCCAUGAACAAGCUUCUAAAAACGUCGCCUUCGGUAGUGAUUUGGUGAAGAGGUCGGCCAGAUUGUCUUGUGAUCGGAUUUGCGUGACUUCAAUCUUCUGAUGCUCUUGUUGUUGAUGUGUAAAGAAGAACUUCGGCGCAAUAUGCUUGGUGUUGUCUCCUUUGAUGUAACCCUUCUUGAGCUGUUCGAUGCAAGCUGCGUUGUCUUCAAAAAUCGUCGUCGGGGCAUUAACGGCGGGAUGAAGAUCACAGGAGCUUCGAAUAUGGCCCACUACUGCUCUCAACCAAAAGCAUUCCCGAGUUGCUUCAUGUAAGGCGAGAAUUUCAGCAUGGUUAGACGAAGUGGCAACUAAGGUCUGUUUAGUUGACCUCCAAGAUAUUGCGGUGCCUCCAACGGUAAAGACAUAACCCGUUUGAAGAACGCGCCUUGUGCGGAUCAGAUAAGUAUCCAGUGUCGGCAUAACCAACAAGGCGAGAAUCAACCCGAUGAGCAUAGGGUGCGGCAUCACUCGAGGAUUCGUAGGGAUAAGAUAAAGCCCAAAUCCGUAGUACCCUUAAGGUAACGGAAGAUGUCUUUCACGCCAGUCCAAUGUCUGCGUGUUGGUGCAUUGCUGUAUCUUGCCAAAAGAUUAACAGCGAAGGAGAUGUCGGGUCUAGUGCAUUGAGCUAAGUACAAUAAAGCGCCUAUCGCACUUAGAUAAGGAACUUCAGGCUCCAAAAUCUCUUCAUCAUCCUCCUUCGGACGGAAGGGAUCUCGCUUUGCAUCUAGCGUACGAACGACCAUAGGAGUACUCGAAGGCUUCGCUUUAUCCUCAUUAAAACGGCGCAACACCUUCUGGGUGUAGUUCGAUUGAAGUACUAGGAUUCCAUCCGAACAAUGCUCUAUCUCGAGGCCGAGACAGUAUCGAGUCUUACCUAGAUCUUUCAUCUCAAAUUCCGACUUCAGGUGCGAAGCAGUUCUCGCGAGCUCUUCAGGAGUUCCGAUGAGAUUCAUGUCAUCGACAUAUACUGCAACAAUCGCAAAUCCGGAAUGUGACUUCUUAAUGAACACACAAGGGCAUAGUUCGUUAUUCACAUAUCCCUGACUAGUCAAAUACUCACUUAAACGGUUAUACCACAUUCUUCCGGAUUGUUUCAAACCGUAUAGUGAACGCCUCAGCCGAAUUGAGAGCGUGUUCCGAGGUUUGGAAAUAUUUGAACCAGUCAAUGUAAGUCCUUCGGGAACUUUCAUAUAAAUUUCCGUAUCAAGAUCCCCAUAGAGAUACGCGGUUACUACGUCCAUCAGCUGCAUAUCCAGUUUUUCGGAAACUACCAAACUGAUAAGGUAUCGAAAAGUAAUCACAUCCAUAACGGGUGAGUAAGUUUCGUCAUAGUCAAUCCCGGGGCGUUGUGAGAAACCUUGUGCUACAAGACGAGCUUUGUAACGCACAAUUUCGUUCUUCUCAUUACGCUUCCGAACGAAAACCCACUUGUAGCCAACGGGCUUCACAUGUGGAGGAGUAGGAACUACAGGUCCAAACACCUUACGUUUCGCAAGUGAAUCAAGUUCGACUUGGAUUGCUUGUUUCCAGUUUGACCAAUCAGCUCUACGUCGACAUUCAUCAACGGAACGCGGUUCAAUGUCAUCGCUCAACAUGAUCUCAGUAGCUACUGCAAAUGCUAAUGCAUCGUCGACAAUCAUCUCAUUUCUACGCCACACAUCAUCUAAGCUAGCAUAAUAGACCGAAAUCUCACGAUUCUCGGGAGGAGGAUUCGUCUCUUCAAGGACGCUUCCAUAAUCUAGAAUUUCCUCAUGAGUUGGGUAAAAUGAGUAAGCGAUAGUCGGAUUCACGGUAGGCUCUUCAGGACCUUGUGCCGUGGUUUUCCUCUUCCGGGGGUGUGAAUCCUUUGAACCAAGGGGUCUGCCACGCUUUUGUGUAGGGGCAGAUGAUUGGCUAGCCGCUAAUGUACGUGGAUCACCAGAAUUGGCGUCCCGGGCUUCCAGGAGGGUAGUCCGUCGUACAUUUGGUACAUCCAUCUUUGCAGGCGUUUUCGCAGCUGGAAUAUGUGAUCUUGUCACGCGCGCUAGAUCGGUGAAAGCAUCUGGCAUGCUCUGAGCUAUGCUCUGGAGAUCUAAUAUGCGCUGCACUUCAGCUUCAGACUGAGCGGUGCGGGGAUCUAAAUGAGACAAAGUGGGAGUCAUCCACGAUAAUUCGCGUCGUUCAUUAGGAACGUUGACGUUCUUAUCUCCCCCUAACGACGGGAAGACUGUCUCAUAGAAGUGACAAUCCGCGAAACGAGCGGUAAACAGAUCGCCUGUCAAAGGUUCUAAGUAACGAAUAAUCGAAGGAGAAUCAUAUCCGACAUAGAUUCCCAUCCUUCGCUGAGGCCCCAUUUUUGUACAUAAGGGCGGCGAGAUCGGCACAUAGACCGCACAACCAAAAACGCGCAGAUGAGAUAUGUCGGGUUCGCAUCCGGUGACCAACUGAAGGGCACUAAAUGGUUGUGUCGCAACAGGCCUCAGGCGGACCAACUUUGCUGCGUGCAAUAUUGCAUGGCCCCAAGCAGCGAUCGGGAGCUUGGUACGUAUGACCAACGAUCGAGCAAUCAUUUGUAAACGCUUAAUGAAAGCCUCUGCCAGGCCGUUCUGGGUGUGAACAUGGGGUACAGGAUGUUCAACUUCAACCCCAACCGACAUGCAAUAGUCAUCAAAAGUUUUAGAUGUGAAUUCUCCAGCAUUAUCCAAUCGAAUAGAUUUGAUCGGAUAAUCAGGGUGGUGAGCCCUGAGCUUGAUAACCUGAGCCAACAGUUUGGAGAAUGCAGCGUUCCUUGUGGACAACAAGCACACGUGUGACCAACGUGUAGAAGCGUCAACCAAAACCAUAAAAUAUCUAAAUGGUCCGCAGGGAGGUUGAAUCGGUCUACAAAUGUCCCCCUGAAUCCGUUGUAGAAAAAUGGGAGGAUUCGAACGAAUCUUGUCAUAAGAAGGCUUAGUAAUAAGCUUUCCCAUAGAACAUGUUUGACAUGCAAUUUCAUGGAUCGAACCUAAGCUUCGGGUUAGUGGAUGCCCGUGUGAAGUUUUGAGGAUACGGCGCAUCGCUAUUCGUCCAGGAUGUCCCAAACGAUCAUGCCAAAGUGUAAUUUCGUGCGCGGUCCCUGUGGUAGGGCCGGCCACAUAGUGGCAUUCUAUGGGGCGUAUGGUCGUAGUAUAUAGACCACUCGGGUUACGCGCCAUCUUCUCUAGAAUACGCUUCUGGCCAUAUUCGUAGGAAGUUACGCACAGAAAUUUAACUCCGUUUUCUACGUGGGUUUCAGCGUGGUAAUUGUUAUCUCUAAUGUCCUUGAAACUUAGUAACGUUCUUCCGGAACGUGGAGAAUAGAGUGCCUCAGCAAUGGUCAAGAUUGUACCAUUGGACAACAUUAUACGUGCCUUACCGUAUCCUUCGAUCAGGUUGGAUGGGCCUGAGGGGGUUGUCAGAGGUGCAUUCUUAGGUACGAAGUUAGUGAAAUAGAUGCGUUCACGCAAAACAGUAUGCGUGGUUGCACUAUCUGCCAGACAACUAACUUUCCCACUAUUCAUACCUAGAAUUAAUUUGAAUUGGUCACAUGCAUAAAAGUUUAUAAAACAAGUAUCAAUUCAAAAUAAUUUCAUUUAUUCAAGGAAAAAACUUAAUAUCCAAAAUAAAUCGCCAACUAAUAAUCCAAAACAUAAAGGAAAAUUGUUCAAAAUCAACCAAAAACAAGGUGGGGUUCGGCCACUAGGUGGAAUUCGGCCCCAAUUGUCUUAUUUUAACUGAAAAAUAAGUCUAUGUCUAAGAUUCUAAUCUUCCAUAGGAGUGGUAUCCUCCUGAAAAUCAGAAACCUCCAUCUUUGUAAUCUCCGGUUCGUCCACUUGCAGGAAGUUUGAUUCAAACUUCGUACAACGAGAAUGAUAUGCAUCCACAACCUUCUUGGGAGUACGGCAAAUACGGGACCAAUGGUCCUUGGAACCACAACGAUAGCACAUAUCGUCAUUCAUUGUGGCAGGUGCUUUGCCCUUAUUCUUGAAGUUCGGGGCCUUGGGAGUGAGGUUUGGGCGCUUCUGGGCUUUGUUUCCUCCCUUGGAUGGGCCUUGGCUCUGUUGACCUUGGUGGGAUGGCUUCUGGCCGCCCUUACCACGCCUCUUUUGGCGUUUUGGGUGCUGAUUAGUGCUAUAAUGUGCUUCAGGCACAGCAGUAGCCCCAGUAGGUCGAGCUUGAUGAUUUUUCAUCAACAGCUGGUUCUGCUUUUCAGCAAGAAGUAAAACAGAGAUCAAAUCAGAGAACUUAGUGAACUUCUGAGCUCUAUAUUGUUGCUGCAGGACAAUAUUAGAAGCAGAGAAGGUCGAGUAGGUCUUCUCCAGGAGAUCCUCUUCAGUCAAAGUUUCAUUGCAAAACUUGAGAAGUGAUCGGAUUCGACAAACUUCAGAAUUAUAUUCAUUCACAGACUUAAAGUCUUGGAAGCGCAAGUGCUGCCAGUCGUGUCUUGCUUCAGGCAAGAAUAUGUCCUUUUGGUGAUUGAAACGAUCAGCCAAAGCGACCCAUAAUGCACGUGGAUCCUCCUCAGCAAGGUACUCAGUUUGUAGAGCGUCAUGGAUAUGUCUUCGGAUGAAGAUCAUAGCAGUGGCUUUUUCAGCCUCGCCAACAGGUUUAUCUGUUACUUCUUCAAUAGCAGGACGCAAGUUCUUUGCAGUGAGGUGGAGCUUCACAUCUUGAACCCACUUGAGGUAGUUCCUUCCAGAAACCUCCAAAGCGGUGAAGUCGAGUUUGUUCAAAUUCGACAUGUUCCUAUCACAAAAUGGAUGAACAAGAUGUGGUUAGUGUAAUGGAGAAAAAUCAAUCCAUUCACAUAGGAGUAGAACAUACAGGUUCUAAUAGACAUGUAUUGGUUUAAUUUUGCAUGAAAAACUUCGGGUUUUCAUGGGUGAUAUAUUUAAGUGAAAACUUCGGGUUUUCAAACAAGGCAUGUGUAUAAGAAACUUUGGGUUUCAAAGUAAUUAUGAACUUCAGGUUCAUAUAUUCCUGCAGGCAAACACAAAUAUAUAUGCAAACAAAUAUGCAAAGAAUAUAUGUAGAAAUAUUGUAUAAUGAUAAGUGAAUUAAUUUAUUUUUGGUCUUCGGGGCCAAAUUAAAGUGUGGGUGAAAAUAUAAAAACCCAUAUUAUUUAAAAAAAAUUAAAUAAUAAAAUCUCGGGGCCUAAAAAUAUAGGCCAAGAACCCUCGGGUGGGAUUACAGGCCCACGGGGUGAGAAAAGGGGAAUGGGCUGCUGUGUGCAGCCCUAAAAUUUUUUUUUUCUCGGGCCGUUCCAGGCGAGCCCAUAAUUUUUUUUUUCUUUUCGGGCCGUUCCAGGCGAGCCCAGAAACUUUUUUUUUUUUUUUUUAAUUUAGAUGCAUAUAUAAUUCAAUGAAUCACAUAUUUACUUUGAUGCAUAUGCAAAUAAUAGUUUCAAUGCAUGUACAUAUGUAAGAUUCAAUUCAUGGCAAAUAUCAAAUUCACAUAAUUGUAGCAAUUUUGAUUAUGAAGCAUACACAAUUUAUGUAGAAUCUAAAAUACGUAAAACGUAAAGUUGGGUCAUGCAUCAUGGUGAAUGUUCAUGCUAUCAGGGCUUGCAAAAUAUCGAGUUAAAAGCCGUUGUUUGGAAAGAACCUGAUUGCGUGAUGAUAUGGAUGAACUGGUUUGAUGCAGAAAAAAUCUCCAACGUCAGAUUCCUAAGCGCAACGGUAGGAGCGUGCUGAUAACGUGUUGUGGUCUAUUUUAUCUGACAGAGGGACUAGGGCCGGCGGCAGAGAGAGAGAGGAGAGAGAGGUGUGUUUGUAGAAUUGUAGGGGAAUGUGUGUGUUGUUAUCCCUCCUACAUUGUGCCUUUAUUUAUAGUAGUAAAGGGAGAGAAGAUAUUCCUUCUUCUCCAAGUAAUACAAGUUGUAAUAGGAAAGGAUAACUAGAAUCAAAUCUUAUCUAGGAUUUACACAAUCAUACUUAAACUAGGAAUGUUUACAACAAAUCUAAAUAUUUGUCAAAUUAUCUAAAUAUAUAAAGAGAGAGCCCCAGUUUGGUGAAGCAUUCCAAAAUGCCAAGAAUAUCCCUAUGUUUCCUUCACAAUCAAAAUCCAAAAAAUCCAAAAAAAAGGAGGACAAACUGGUAAAAAACUUAUAACCGAACAUAAAAUUGUAUUGAAAGAAAAAACUAAAUUUUUACUAAAAAUUGAGAGCAAGAAAUACAAAAAAAAAAAACAAAAAAAAGGGAAAUUAAACCGAAUACUGGUAGAACAAGUCCACGUAAUUGAUAAUUGACGAAUGCAAUGUUGGUAACUGGUCUUGAUUUAAAAUAAAAAGUUGAAAACACAAAGAGACAGAUGCAGUAAAAAACACCAAUAAAAAACAAAAUAAAAAAAAAAAUAUUGGAAACUGAGGAAAGAAACGUGGGAGAGAGACUGCUGUUUUCAAACUGCAUUAAGUUUAAAGGCUCUCAUGUUAUUGCUAAUGGAAUAAAACAAAAAAGAAAAUAAAAAGAGACCUAAUACGUUUAGAAUAGAACUGCUAUUCGACAGUUGCAGGCUUGAAGUGUGUGAAGGAAACAGUUUUGAAGAACGAUAAACUCGAACGUUCAUGAAAAUAAAAGCGAACGUGGGAGAGGAACCAGUUUUGCGGGACAUGUAAAUAAAACACAAAAUAAAAUAACCUCAAGAGAAUAAAUUGAAAUUGUUGUGCCAGAGCCUGAAGGAGAAGAUCAAAUUGGCGAAAACCAACAAGAACUGGUAGUUCUGUAGUUCUCAAUUAUUAAAUUUGUGUGUUUUGUUCUCUAUCAAAAUGCUUCUUAUUCCUUAAUCUUCUCAUGCAUUUUCACAUGAUUAUUGAAAAUUCUGCACGUUAAUUGUAAUGGUUUGAUUGUGGUUUUUGUUCUCUGCAGGUUUUUCUUCCCUUAUCUUAUCAAAUAAAUCAAUUGAUAGGUUAGGCUUUCAUUUUUUUUUCUUCACAGGACUUUUAAGGACAUCCUCAAGUCAAAGUGAUGGAAUCAAAGUCUUCAGGUUUGGAUGCUUUUUUCCUUCUCUUUUUAGAGUAAUUUUCGAGUUUCUUCUCGCAUUUUUCGGGUUCCUUUCCCCAGUCCCCCAAAAUAACAAUAACAAAUUAGGCUUCUUCAUUUUUAGACUCUCUUGGGGUUGGCAGAUAAGGGGUUGCUUGCAUUUAAACCUCACCGUCCGGCUUCUUCUUUCUUAUGAAUUUUUAUCCCUUUCCUACGGCCAGUUCGUGAAGGCCGUUUUCAAAUUGAGGUUUUGUAUAUUCUGUCUCUUAAGAUUUGAUUCUUUCUAUUUUGGAUUAUUUUUUGUCUGAUUUCUCAAACAAUUUGGCUAAUGAAGAGUUUAUGGAUAUACAAUGGGACAAUAUUAUUUUCUCUCUGUUUUAUGUGUUUAUUUAGUUUUACUGUAGUUUUCAUCUAUGCCUUGAGUUUUGGCUUCUCUAUCUUUUUAUCUUUUGUAGCGUUCCAGGUAAAUGGUGAGAAUUAUUCAAGUAUGCGACAUCAUUUUAGUUUCAUGUGAAAAAUCUUCUCUUAUAAUUUUGUUUGAGUGAUUGAAUGUGCAUAUGUGAGCUCUAAGGUUUGGUUCCAUAUUUAUUGUUGAAGAAAAACAGGAAGUGAGGAACACAAUAACCCUACCACGAUUAUGUAUGAAAUAAAUUGGAUCUAUUAAAAACUCAUAUUUUGGGUGUGUUGUUAGGAAGAAAUGCCUAAACUCCGAAUUUGUAUGGAACAUACUCAUUAUAGAAUAGAUUAAUUGUAUGUGUUAUUGCUUUUAGUACUAAAAUUGACUUAUUUGCCCUCCUACAAGUCAUAGCUUUGCUAAUAAAUUGAGAACAAUGUCUGAUUUAGUUUUUUUUUUUUGUCGAAAUGUCUUAUUAGUUUAACUCUUUUCAUUUGAUAAUUCUCUUGCCCUUGGUUUGAGAUAUAAAGUAUUUCAUUUCAGUCAUCAAGUGUCACAGCCUGUCCCGAAAUAUUUUAUUGAUGUUGUGAAAUGACGAAACUGCCUUUGAGCGUUUUUUGACAUUUAAACUUUAGGGUUUGUUUUGGUAACCAUGGUUGUGUUUAGGGUUAGGUGGAAGUGUGAGGACACACACAUCACCCUUUCCCUUUCUUUCUCUUCUCUCCCGUGCACUCUCUCUCUCUCGGAAACACUCUCCCUCUCGGAAACACUCUCCCUCUCUUCCUUCUUUGUACGGACAACAUCAAAACCCUCUCAAACCUUGUAGAUCGAGGGUGUAAAGAACACCAUUGGGUUCGUGAGGAUCAUACAAGUCAAAAGGUACCAGUUUCAGGUAAGGAAACCUUCGAUUUCCCGUGAAAACCCUAACCCUCCGAUUUUGUCACUGUUUAUGCUCAUGUAAAACCUUGUGUUUUAGGGGAUUUUAAGCUCAUAGGGAGCUUUAGGAGGUCCUAAGGAAGAUCAGAGUGGUUUGUUGGAAGAAUUUGGACGUCGAAAUAGUGAGAUCGACGAGUUGCAGGGUUUGGCCUGAUUAUCGAGGUUUUUUUCCAGCGAGUUGGAGGUCGAGGCAUGUAUGGUUUUGUUCGUCUUUGUGAGAUCUUCAAAUUGGUUCAAAUUUCAUUGAAAAUGGUGCAAAAAUGAAGAAGUUAUAGGCAUUAGAAAUUUUUCCAUAAACCGGUGACUCACCGGAGAAGAAAGGAGUUGACGGAAUAUACUAACGGCGUCAUGUAUCUUUAACAGAUUCAGUUAGUUUUAACGGAAUAUUCCUGACGGCGUUAACUGACGCCGUCAGUGUGCCAAGCACAUGGGCGCACGUGGGGGCGCAUCUGGCCGUGCCUUGGCCACGUGGGUGAUCAGAAAAUUAUUCUAAAAAUAUGGGGAUGUUUCUGAGGUUGUGUAGAUCAUUUUGGUAUAUUCAAACACCCCGAUUGAGCAUUGUAUGAGAAGUUGUUACCAAGUUUUGUGUUUGUGCUUUAAAAGUAACGUUUAUAUAGUUGUUUCGCAUAUAGGUGAGACCUAUCCCGAGGACGAGCGAAGUCAGGGGCAACUCGGGGGUUACGACCCUUCCACAUACCAGUGAGUAUAUAUAUAUAUUGAAUAUUUUCCUAGAAAAGCGAUUUAAAUGUGUGAAAUCCCGUUUCUGGAUUUCAUUGUUAUCACCUACAUAUUUGUAUUAUUGAGAUUUUAUAUUAUUUCUCGAGAAUUUAUUUUAAUUUGUUUGAAUUUAAAUUUAAAUUAAAUUAGUUAUUAACGUUUGAAGUUUGAGGCAUUUUAGAAAUAAAUAGAAAAAUCUGAAAUUUUCUUAUGAAAUCUGGUGUGCCACAUGGGUGGCCCAGAUUCAAUGGAAAGGAAAAUGGAUGGUGGAGAUGCAAAGGAAAGGAUUUAAAAGAGAGUGGGCGCUGCCCAGUUAGGAGGGGGGAGAGAAAGAGGUGACCAAUUGGGCGAAGAGGAAAGGAGAGUAAGGAGAGAAGAAGAGGAAGAGGGAACCGGCCGGGGUUUACUAUGGCCCAUGACCCGACCCGGUUAUAUCUCCCAACUCCGGCCACCAUGGACGGCUAGGAUGGUGUCAAAAUGAUCCUUAGCUCGAGGCCAAUCGAUCUCUCUUCCAUUUCUACACUUAAAACGACGAGGGGGAGUCCAAUUUUGAGGAAAUACCACGGUGGGUGCGUCGGGCUUAUGUGGAAAUCCAUUAAAUCUUGAAACGUUUUCUUCCAAUUACAACCACCCAUAGCAUCCUCAUGAGGCCUAGAACAAAGCCCAGACAAGUUUGGGGGCGGCAGAGUUGUUUUCGAGUCGGAUCGAACACACCUAAAAACAAGGGUUCCGUACGGUUCGAGUGAAAUUGGGGAUUUUCCCGGCCAAAUUGGACUUGGCCACAGGUAUAAAAAUUGCUAUACUCAUUGAAAUCUUCAUUUCUGUAAAUUUUGAUAAUUUUUAAAAAUAGUUGAAUUUUUCCGGCAAGUCGGGGCGGCCGACGGCCACCCGUGGCGGCGAGUGCGGCGGUUUCCUGGCCAGUGGGCCGAAAAUAUCAUUUUAAGUUCAAUUAGAUGUCUUGAUUUCAUAAUUGAUAUCCUUAUGAUAUGGUUUGAUUGUUUGAACCUAAUUUCAUUACGAUACGUGGUUAGGUCAAAAUAUGAUUCGACGAUCCUACCGUUGGAUCGUCACCAAACCUUAAUGCGUGAUAGAACAUAAUAUUUUUGGAUCAUAGAAACUUACGGAUCGAGAAUCUGACGUACGGAUCUUCCCUAAUUGGAUUUCUAAGUUUGUAAAAUUAAAUGUCGACCGCCACUUGAAUUUUGAAAUUGGCGGAGAUCCAACUGUCGGAUCAUGUUGAGAUUUCAGUAUGUUGUUAUUUGAGCAUAAUGUGGACUUUGGAAAGUUUCGGAUCGGAAAUCCGAGGUGCGGAUCUUCCGAAUCAAAUUACAUAAGUUUGUGGACCCUACUGUUGAUCGAGAGUUGACUUUUGCUCAACAUGUCAUGAAACGUCCUAAUUACUAAAAUUAGUACUACAGGGGAACUAGGUGAAGUCUAGUGGGCAUGCAUUGAUUAGAGAGUGACUUGAAUAUAUGUGAUAUGAUUAUUACCUUAAUUUCCUAUUAGUAUCCUUUGUGAAGAUGAAUUGGUUUUAUAAAUGUGAUUUCUAUUGAAAUGUGAUUUUUAUAUAUUUAGCCAUAGGCCUAUGAUUAUUAAACAUGAUUUGGCUUGGUACUGAUGAUGGUUGUGACAUAUGUGAGUUAAAUUAUCUUUUUAGUAAUGUGAAUGAUGUGUAUGAUUAUUUUCAUGACAAUGUGAUCCUAGAAUCCUAUUAAAAGUAUGUUGUAGCACUUAUAUGCUUGGGUGCCAUAUUAGUGGUGACCUUGAGAAGUUGAUGGUGUAGGUGACUACGUUGUAACUCAUAGGGUUGAGAUGUGAUGUGGAUAAGUUGAGGUGUUGAAAUUACUACACCAUGUAGUAGUUGUACAUUGAUGGUCCUGCUUGGUAUAUCCGCAUUGGGGGACCAUACGCAUUCUAGGAGUGAUCAUGCUUGGUAUAUCUGCAUUGGGUGAUCACUACCUACCUGAUUAUCUUGACCCUGCUUGGUUAAUCCGCAUUGGGGGGUCACAAGUGGUCCUGCUUGGUUAACCCGCAUUGGGGGACCAUACUUUAUAUGGAUCGCGCUUGGUUAAACCGCGUUGGGCGAUCCUUAUGGCCAUGUAUGCUUAGGAGUGAUCAUGCUUGGUAUAUCCGUAUUGGGUGAUCACUGCCUAGGAUAUUAAACUAUGCAUACGGUUUUGCUUGGUAUAUCCGCGUUGGGGGACCAUAUGCAUUCUAAAAGUAAGGAGGAUUAGUUGUGUUGAUGCACAAAAUCAGCGAAGACUUUGGUACAACAGAAAGUGUCAGGUUUUGUGACCUUCGCUUGGUUGCUUCGGUCACUAGUGAGGAUAAAUACGUAAAUAAAUAGAGACAGAGAAGCAAACACAGGAUGUACGUGGUUCACCCAGAUUGGCUACGUCCACGGAGUAGAGGAGUUCUUAUUAGUAGUGAAGGGCUUACACAAGUACAAAGGAUCAAGCUCUCAAUUUAGUGAGUUCUUGUGAAUGAUUUACACAAAAUGGCAUUAGGCAAUAUUGUGGGGGAAUGACCCCUAUUUAUAGAAAAACUUGUAGCUUUGUCACAUUGACAUGUGUCAUGUUAUGAUUGGUUCUUGAUGUUGACACGUGCUGCGCUCUGAUUGGCUUCUAAUCCUGACACGUGUCGAGUAGUGAUUGGCCUCCUGGUCGGAGGGGAACUCUUCUGGGUCCUUGACAGUAUAGCGUUGGCUGGUACUCGGUAGUUUCGGGAUUGGUCAAGUAUGGUACAAACAGUGCUCCCCUAAGUUCCCGAGUGAGGGAAACUCCUCGGUUGGGGACUUGCAAGAUCCAAUCCCUUGAGUAAUCACGAAACUUCUAAGUACCGAAGUGUGGUCUGAUCUUCAUCUGCCCUUCUCUGGAAGUACCUUUCCUCCAUCCGGGAAUGGUGUAUUUAGCUGAUGUUGACGCACAAGCUAAUGUAUCAAUUUCACUUGAAGCUUAGUUGUAGUUUCGGGCUUAGUCAAGUGUGAUACAAACCCUAUAGUAGGAGUCCCCCAAGUCGCCGAGCUAGGAGAUCUGCCGAAAGAGGUGACAGACAAGGUAAGCAGUCAAACUUCCAAGUAAGCAACCCAGGAUCAGAGGUUUGACUUCGGCUUCCGGUUGAUUGUUCUCAUUCUCCUUGUCUCUCAUUCAACUGCCAGGAUAAGGAGAAGCAAAUGGAUAAGAGAUGAUAUGAGAUACUUUUGCUUUUGAAGAAGUAACUUUCCACAGGCUUAUUCUUGAACUGUGCUGGAGGGUUUUCUGGUGCCCUUCAGAGUAUAAGGCCAACUCAAAAAUUUGAGGGUCAAAACAAGUCCAUCAAAUCUAGAGUACGUUCGACCUUGAUGAUAUGGGAUACUUUUGCUGUUGACGGAAUAAUGAAUGUGGUAUGGAAAGGUGUCGUGCUGUAGUGAUCUGUUUCAGCUCACCGUUUGAACCUUCUGCUUCAAUCUUUUGCAUGGCAGAAGUGGUGUGCAACCUUUGCAUUUAAAUGGUCCUUCAGAACAUUCCUUCAUAGUGACUCAUCCACGCUUGGCAGCUUCAGUGUAAAGAGCCAAUAUCUGAUCAACUGUCAUGAGGUAUUUGCCGGUGGAAUUCGUGACCUUGACAGCAGUUGAGGAUGAGUACUCGAGAGCAAUGCUAAGUAAGCAACCAGGCAAAGGCUCCAGGCAGUCAGUUCCAAAUUGGAGGUUUGAUUUCAGGUUCCGACUGACUGCUCUCUUUCUCCUUGUCCUGCAGGUGUGGACAAGGACAAAGACAAAGACAGGGAGAAAGCAUGAUAUGGGAUACUCUUGCUUUCGAUCCUGAUGAUAUGAGAUACUCUUGUUCUUGGUGUGGCUUAUUUGCUGAGGUAUUAUCGGGGGGAAAUAAAGCUGAGUAUUUCGAGAGGUUAUGUUGAGGGUGCCUUUUCGAAUGCGAGAAAGGGUUGAGCAUUUUUGCAGGUUUGCCUGUCCGUUGAGGAGGGAGGUCAAUGUAUAUAGGGAUUUCCCAAUAACAAGUAGUAAUGCUAUUCCUUUACCCUUCUUGGUCACAGCAAUGUAGUGGGAGCUGCCAGCUUCACGUGUUUUAAUUUUGUCAGAGCACUUUGAAAAAAGUGGUAUGUGGUAUCUGGAAAGCUGAUGUUACGUGUGAAGAUUACAGACAAGCUUUAUCUAAGGAAAUCUGGCUCUCGAAGUUCUGAGAGUUGUGCCUCUUCGGUUUUCGAACAAGCAAUCCCGUCGAGGAUCUGACUCUCGAGAUUCGGAAAGCGGUGCUACUCCGGUUUUUUAGAAAGUAAUUAUGUUGGGAGUCUUUUCUUGAAUGUGAGUAAAGGUUGGACGUUCUUGCCAACCUGUCUUGCCGCAAAACACGGAGGUCGACACACAUAGGGACUUUCCAGUUGUCAAGCAGUGGUGCUGUUCCUUUACCCUUAUGGGUAAUAGUAGGGUAGCUGGAACUUCGAAAUUCUCGUGCCUAAACUUUGUCAGAGAUCUUUGACAAAGUUAUAUGUGGUACCCGAUGAGUUGAUGGUGCAUAUGGAGAGCGGUGAUUGAACAGUAAGAUUCACGUGCUUUCUACUUCACCAGAAAUCUUCGACAGAUUGCCCGUAAUUUCUGCAAAGCUGAGUGUGCAUGUGACAGGUGCUGACGAGGCUGAAAAAGCAGGUGCUUCUUUGAUUUCUGAGAUCGGCCCUCGUGGUCUCUGAGCAGCCCAGCUUUUGAGAAAGCAAACGCCUCUUCGAUUUCUGAAGCUCCGUCGAGUGCAGAUUUUUAUAGAGGCUGGCAUUAAGUUCCACAGCACACUUGAAUCUCUACCAGUAGAAGCUCAUUUCUUGCACUUCUAAGAUCUUGAUUUGUCUGACCUCUUCCCUCUUCAACACAUUUGAAAAUGUCUGGACCCUCCGACCGUCGUUUUGACUUGAACCUUGGAGAAGAGACAGCCACGCCUUCUCCAGACAACAUAUGGCGCCCAUCAUUCAUAUCCCCUACCGGUCCUCUUACCGUUGGGGAUUCUGUGAUGAAGAAUGAUAUGACCGCUGCAGUGGUGGCCAGGAACCUUCUCACUCCCAAAGAUAACAUACUACUUUCCAAACGGUCUGAUGAGUUGGCUGUUAAGGACUCUUUGGCCCUUAGUGUUCAGUGUGCAGGUUCUGUGUCUAAUAUGGCCCAACGCCUAUUUGCUAGAACCCGCCAAGUUGAAUCAUAUUGGCUGCUGAAGUGAUGAGUCUCAAACAGGAGAUUAGAGGGCUCAAGCAUGAGAAUAAGCAGUUGCACCGGCUCGCCCAUGACUAUGCUACAAACAUGAAGAGGAAGCUUGACCAGAUGAAGGAAUCUGAUGGUAAGGUUUUACUUGAUCAUCAGCGGUUUGUGGGUUUGUUCCAAAGGCAUUUAUUGCCUUCGUUCCUCUGGGGCUGUACCUGGUAAUGAAGCUUCAAAUGAUGAACCUCCAAUGCCUCCUCCUUCUGGGGUUUUGUCAAGUACUGAGGCUCCGGAUAACCACCCUCCGGUGCUUUCUCUUUCUGGGGCUCUACCGACUGCUGAGACUUCCCCUAAGCAACCUUUGUGAAGGCUCCCUUUUGUUUGUUUAUUUUGACUCAUGUAUAUGUACAUAUUUGUGGCUUAUCGAAAAUAUUAAUAAAAUAAGCUUUGCUUCAUUUCAACAUAUUGUGUUAAAUACACCAAAGCCUUCUUCAUAAAGUUCUUUGAAUUUUUGCUUUUGUUGAAACCUGUAUUGUUGAAGCUUUGUGAGUGAAGCAUGUAGUUUGAGGUAGUGUUCCCUUAAUUUCUCGAGUGAGGAAAACUUCUCGGUUGGAGACUUGAAAAAUCCAAGUCACUGAGUGGUUGUGAGACUGCCGAGUAUCAAGGUGCAGUAGCAUAUGGUGGGAGUCCCCCAAGUCUUCAGGCGAAGAGAGUUGCCGAAUGAGGUGUCUCGCGUGUUACUAAUUUGUCAAAGUAACGAAUUCUUGUUUCGAUGUCACACAUUCGUAUAUGCUUUAUCUAAAAAAUAUUUCCAACUUUUGUGUGUGUUUGAUGCUGCAUGCUAUUGACUAGACAAGAUCAAGUGCAAUUAGUAGCUUUCUCUCUUUUUCAUCUUUUCUUUGGUGGAAUUGCUUUUCGUUUCCACUAAUCAGCCUGAGUGGAUGCAAGAUAACACCUUUCUCUAUAGCUCAGAUUGCAAAGUCGUCUUCAUGAAAGUUUUUCCUUAUCUUGUGAACUACAAUAUAUCCAAAUUUGAGAUCCAUCGGAGUAGUACAACUUCAGAAAUUCAAGUAUGAUGAGUAACUGUUCAUCAAUGUUCUGUUAAUCCGUCAGACUUGUUGUGAGCUUCGAAACUCCAUUUUCUCUUGUUCAGAUCAACAUACUUUCUUUCUUCAUCGAAGUUGUUCCUCAGCUUGUGAACUACAACAUAUCCAAAUUUGAGAUCCCUCGGAGCAGUAUAACUCCAGAAAUCCAGGUAUGAUGAAUGACUGGUUAUUAUUUUUCUGUCAACCCGUCAGAUUUGUUGUGAGCUUCGAAACUCCAUUUUCUCUUGUUCAGAUCGGUAUGCUUUUCUUCAUUGAAGUUGUUCCUCAGCUCGUGAACUACAACAUAUCCAAAUUUGAGAUCCCUCGGAGCAGUAUAACUCCAGAAAUCCAGGUAUGAUGAAUGACUGGUUAUUAUUUUUCUGUCAACCCGUCAGAUUUGUUGUGAGCUUCGAAACUCCAUUUUCUAUUGUUCAGAUCGGCAUGCUUUCUUCAUUGAAGUUGUUCCUCAUCGUCUCUUUCAUAACAUAUCAAAAAUUCAGAAUGAACUAAUGGUUAAAUAUUUCCAGAUCUUUGAAACAUCACAGCAGCUUCGAAAUCUGCAAGAAUCCGACUGUCAUGUUUGGAACUUCAACACUUUAAUUUCCGUCGCUCAAACAGAAAUGGUUCCUUCUUGAAAGUUGUUCAUAUGCUCAAGAACUAUAGGGUGUCCAAAAUUCAGCUCCAUUGGAGAAGAGCAGAGGUUGCAGAAAUUUGAUAGAUGAAAGGAGGCGGAAGAGGGAGAGAGAGAAAAAGUCUCUUGGGUUGGAUUUCUAUUUUGGGGCAGAUUCCAAUUUUUGUAGCACCUUCAUUAUUGAUGAAUUGCUUGUACUUUUGUCCAUUAUGAAACUUGGGACUUUGGCUUGUUGUUGGAUCUAUUAUAAUAUGUUUGGGAACAUAUAUAAGUGAAUAAAUAAGAAGGAAAAUUUUGGGCCCUUGUGGGUGUAAAACAAAAAAUGUUUAUGUUUACCCAAGUGGUUUUGUGAACAAAAUUUGUUUAUUUGGAGCAAGGUUUUGUGUUGAAGCUUUGUAGGUGAAGCUUUGUAGAUGAAGCUUUCGAGGUGAAGCUUUGAUGGUGAAGCUUUGUAGAUGAAGCUUUCUGGGUGAAGCUUUGAUGGUGAAGCUUUGUAGAUGAAGCUUUCGAGGUGAAGCUUUGAUGGUGAAGCUUUGUAGAUGAAGCUUUCUGGGUGAAGCUUUGAUGGUGAAGCUUUGUAGAUGAAAGUAUGUAGAGGGAGCUUUCUAGGUGAAGAUUUUUUAGGUGAAGCUUUGUAGGUGAAGCUUUUUUAAGUGAAGCUUUUCGGGUGAAGUUUUUGUUGGGUGAAGCUUUGUGGGUGAAGCUUUUUAGGUGAAGCUUUGUGGGUGAAGCUUUGGAGGUGAAGCUUUUCGGGUGAAGCUUUUUGGAUGAAGCUUUUUUUUUUUUUUUUUUUUUUUUUUUUUUUUUUUUUGGCGCUUGACACGGUCUUCAUUUGCUUGUUUUGUAGUGACUGUGGAAGACGGAUUGCUUUCUGAAUUGAGAAGGGUUCCGGCAUCGCUUGCUAUGAAUGUAAAAGAGUGAGGGCUGAGUUGGCUAAAUUACCUCUUUAUUGAAUUCAUUGCCAAAUGGCCUUCAUUACAUAGGAUGCCGAACGGCUAUAGCUCAACACUUGUACAUCGUGAGUCUAUUUGUAGUAGUACUUCAAGUGAUCAGCGUUCCAUGGAUGGCCAAGGGUCUUGCCAUCGGAGCUUCUAAGUGUGUAAGAGCCAGGGCGACUGAUGCCAAUGACUUCAUACGGUCCAUCCCAGUUUGGACUAAGUGUGCCUUCACUCGGGACUCUGUCGCAGAGUAAUCUUUUCUUUUAAGACCCAGUCUCCUAUUUUGAAAGAACGAGGCUUGACCCUAGAGUCAUAAUAGUUGGAGAUGCGCUGCUUGUAGGCGACAUUCCUCAAGUGAGCUUGGUUUCUGUGUUCCUCGACUAAAUCCAAGUUGAGGGUGAGUUGUUUGUCAUUUUCACUUUGAAUGUAGUUCUGGACUCGGAAUGUUGCUUGCUCGAGCUCAACAGGGACAACCGCCUCUGUGCCAAAGGCAAGUGAGAAUGGAGUUUCUCCUGUUGAAGUCCGAUAUGAAGUGCGAUAUGACCAAAGAACUUGGGGUACAAAUUCUGGCCAACAGCCUUUAGCUUUGUCCAAGCUGGUUUUCAAAGUGCGCUUGAUUAUUUUGUUGAUGGCCUCAACUUGUCCAUUAGACUGGGGAUGAGCUGGAGAGGCAAAGCAUAAGUUGAUGUUGAACUUAGAGCAGAACAACCUGAACUUCUUGUUGUCAAACUGUCGCCCAUUGUCAGUGACUAUCGCAUUGGGAAUGCCGAAUCUACAAAGGAUGUUCUUCCACACGAAGUCUUCUAUCUUUGCCUCAGUAAUGGUUGCCAAGGGUUCUACUUCGGCCCACUUUGUGAAGUAGUCCACUGCAACGACUGCGUAACAGACUUUGCCCUUCCCUGCCGGCAUUGGGCCGAUCAAAUCAAGUCCCCACUGGGCGAAGGGCCAAGGGCUGAUCAUAGGAGUAAGAGGCUCUGGAGGGGAAUGAGGAAUAGUUGCAUAUCGUUGACAUUUGUCACAUGAGCGGGAUACUUUGAUGGCAUCCUGGUGGAGUGUUGGCCAGUAAUAUCCUUGGCGAAAAGUCUUGUGUGCUAGGGACCGAGAUCCAGCAUGAUCUCCACAGACUCCCUCAUGUAUUUCCCGAAGGACGAUUUCCGCCUCGGCAGGCGUAAGACACCUUAAGUAUGGCAGGCUAAAACCUCGCUUAUAGAGUUGAUCAUUGAUGAUCAGGUAGCGGGUAGACUUGUAUCGAAUUUGCUUAGCCUGGACUUUAUCAUUUGGGAGGGUGCCAUGAGCAAGGAAAUUAUAGAUCGGGGUGAUCCAACUAUCCCCCUGUUGUAAGUUGCAUACUUCUGCGGCCAUGGUGCUUGGUGUUGCCAACAGUUCGACAUGAAUUUUUCUUCCAAUCUUGUCUUCCACAGCUGAGGCGAGGCGAGCCAGGGCGUCUGCAUGACUGUUUGCCGCUCGAGGAACUUGGGUGAUCUGGUAGUGGAAGUGCUUGAGUAAAAGUUGUGUUUGCGCAAGAUAUGCUGCCAUGGAGCUGUCCUUAGCAUCAAAGUUGUUGGUAACCUGGUUGACCACUAAUUGGGAGUCACUGAAAAUAUCAAUUUGUUUAACCCCGAGGUGUUUGGCCAAACGUAAUCCUGCUAGAAGGGCUUCAUACUCGGCCUCAUUAUUUGAUGCCUUGAAUUUGAAACGAAGAGCAUACUCCAUUGCUACUUUGUCGGGUGUAGUCAAGACUAGUCCCGCUCCACAGCCCUGUUGGUUGGAUGAGCCAUCAACAUACAGACUCCAUGCUGGGGUUGUUGGUUCUAUCUUCUGAGCUUCCGGGGGUAAUGAAGCCACUGUUUCAGGUGUAGAAGCAAUGUCAACCGGAUAUGUGAAGUCGGCAAUGAAGUCUGCCACUGCUUGGCCCUUCUCAGCUGGCUUUGGUUGGUAGGAGAUGUCAAACUCACCCAACGCUAUUGCCCAUUUGAUCAUUCGCCCUGAAGUGUCAGGACUUUGGAGUAUCUGUCGAAGAGGAUAAUUGGUAAGCACGAUGAUGGAGUGCGCUUGGAAGUAAGGGCGGAGUUUUCGAGCAGACAUGACCAAUGCCAGAGCCAAUUUCUCAAUGUUAGAGUACCGUGUCUCCGCAUCUUGUAAGGCUUUGCUAGCGUAGUAGACAGGUCGCUCAAUAUUCCCAUCCUUUCGAAUGAGAACGGAACUUACGGCUGAAGCUGAUACCGAUAGGUAGAUAAUGAGAAUGUCUCCUACCUCGGGCUUGGUGAGUAGAGGGGCUUUACUCAUGUACUCCUUGAGGUUUUUGAAUGCCUCGGCACAUUCAUCAGUCCAUGUAAUGUACUUCCUACUUCCCUUAAGUGCUUUAAAAAAGGGAGCACAUUUGUCUGUGGCCUUAGAAAUGAACCUGGUUAAGGCUGCCACCUUGCCAGUAAGGCUCUGGAUGUCCUUUGAAGUUACCGGUUCCUUCAUGUCGAGGAUUGCUUUGAUCUUCUCGGGAUUAGCUUCAAUGCCUCGUUGGCUAAUCAUGAAACCUAAGAAUUUGCCAGAGCCUACGCCGAAGGCACAUUUGUUGGGGUUUAACCUCAUUCGAUACCUCUUCAAAAUAGUGAAAGUUUCAGAUAGGUUGGUGAUGUGUUGGUCAGCAUGUUUGCUCUUGACUAACAUAUCAUCAACGUAAACUUCCAUGCUCUUCCCAAUCUGCUCGGCGAACAUUGAGUUGACUAGUCUCUGAUAAGUCGCUCCUGCAUUCUUUAGGCCGAAAGGCAUGACUUUAUAGCAGUAUAGUCCUCUGUCGGUAGUGAAGGCUGUGUGUUCUUGAUCCGAAGGGUUCAUGAGGAUUUGGUUGUAUCCUGAGUAAGCAUCCAUGAAGCUCAGGAGUUCACACCCGGCCGUAGAGUCUAUAAGUCUGUCAAUAAGAGGAAGAGGGAAGCUAUCUUUCGGACACCCUUUGUUUAGGUCGGUGUAGUCAACACACAUUCUCCACAAGACCUUUUGAAGCGAAAGACUUUCUUUGGUCGGAUUUUUCCUAACAAGGACCACAUUUGCUACCCAUGUCGGGUAAUUGACUUCGCGGACAAAGCCUAUGCCUUUGAGUUUUUCAACUUCUGCUUUCAUUGCCUCGUAUCGUUCAGCGUCAUAAGAUCUUCGCUUCUGUCUCACCGGCUUGAUCUUGGGGUCAAUACUCAAACGAUGACAGAUGACAUCGGGAGAGAUGCCUGGCAUGUCCUCGUAUGACCAGGCGAAGACUUCAGUGUUCUCUUUCAAAAAAGAUAUCAAUGCUAACCGAAGGGGUGGUGACAAUGUGGUGCCAAUCUUCACCAUGUGAUCUGGAUAAUCUCUUGAGAUAGGUACCUUCUCCAACUCUUCAGCAGGUUGGGCUUGCUGGGUGAAAGAGUCAUCUCGAGGAUCAUCGGGUUGAUUGUUGCUAUCAGGAAGAUCCAAGUUCGCUUCAUCUAGGCUGGUCUUUGUGACUUGGUCAUGUACAGACAGGGUUUCCUUGGGUCCGGGCAAGUGUUGUUGCUUAACUGAAGUGUUGUAACAUGAUCGUGCACUAAGCUGAUCUCCUCUGAUGUAGCCGUUGCCAUGGGGGGUUGGAAAUUUCAUCAACAGCAUAUGCGUGGAUACCAUAGCCUUGAGAUCAUUGAUGCCUGUGCGCCCAAAGAUGACAUUGUAUGCCGUUGGGCAGUCAACCACUAGGAAGUUAGUGGUAAUGGUAGCCGUGUAAGGGCCUGUACCAAUAGUAAAGGGUAAAUGUAUGCUCCCUAAGGGUUGCACGAUAUCACCGGAGAAGCUUAUCAGAGGAGAAAUCGAGCGAUCGAGCAAGUGUUCAGCUACACUGAGUGCCCUGAAAGCUUCGGCAAACAUGAUAUUGACCGAAGCCCCUGUGUCUACGAGGAUUCGUCGAACAUCAAAGUUGGCUAUGUGAGCCUCCACGAUCAAUGGGUCGUUAUGAGGGUAGAUGAUGCCUCUUUCUUCCUCAGGGUAGAAACAUAUCGGAUCCCAGUUAGGCUUUUGAUACUUCCCUCCCCUGAUGUCUUCCACGUGAAACACUUGGUGACCAGGCCUCAGAAUUCGUUCACUGUUUUUCAUGGCCCUAUUGGAAGAUUCAGAUAUGGGUGUGCCGCCGCUUAUGGAAUAUAUGACAUUCACCUGGCGUUGGUUACGGUUAUCCCUUUGAGGGUGAAGGAGGAAUUGAUCAAUUUUUCCUUCUCGUGCCAAAGCUUCAAUACGAUCACGGAGGAUGAUACAUUUCUCGCUAUCAUGGCCGUUAUGCUCAUGGUAGCAACAAAACAUGCCCGCGUUAUUCGGGGGCGUGUAAUCUGGGUGCCUCGGCUUUGGCUUUGGUAUCAGGUGAGCUAUGCUGGGGUAAAUGGCCGCGCAUGUGGCAUUCAAGGGCGUGUAUGUCUCAUACCUUGGGGUAGGGGGUAUCUUGACGCGGGUUUGACCCACUGCAUUGACUGCCUGGGGGCGAGCGUUAUUGUGGCGAUACCCUUGGUUAUCGGGAUAGUGUCCCUUACUCUUUUUUACUGAAAUGAGAGUGGUGAGGAUGGAAAUCCUUCCUCUUGCCUUGAAAUUGAUAUGUCUGUUGAUUCGGCGAAGCAUUAUGCAAGGCAUGGGGAGGUGCCACUGCUGUUUGGAAAGUCGAGGUCUUCUCAUUUAGGUGAGUCUGGCUUCCACCUCCCACUUGUUGAUAAAGGAUGGUUGUAGGGGGUUUCUCCUGAUAUGUCUUUGCCUCGGCGGAGGCAUGGUUAUAAGCCUGCGCCAUCACCUCAGAGUAAGUCUUCCAAGUAUUGGCAUUGAUCAUGUAUUUAAAGAAACAAUCACGUAGGCCUGCCGUGAAGGCUUUGAGGGCAGUCUUGUCGUCUGCCUCGGCACACCGGGAGUAUUCAUGGCUGAAGCGGCCAGCAUACAUACGUAAUGACUCGUCUGGCUUCUGGCGGAUAGUGUACAGGUCAUCUGCAGAGUGCAAGCGAUCGGUUUGGAAAAUGUGUUGGGAAACAAAUAGUUUCCUCAAUUCCUCAAAUGAGUCUACCGUCUCAGGUGUAAGACGACAAUACCAAUUUAGAGCUCCGCCAGAGAGGGUGGAGGGGAAGAGAAGACAUCGCUCUUCGUCGGUGUGCAUCCGGUAUGCCAUGGUGGACUCAAAGAGGUUAAGGUGCUCAAUCGGGUCCUCUUUUCCAGUAUAAAGUUGCAAGCCAAGCUUUUUGCUUUGUCUUUGCUUGAAGGGGGGUGUUGAGGAUCCUCCUUGUAAGAGGGCCAGGCCUGGGUUGGUUCCAGUCAGGUAUUUCAGCCUGACGUUCAGCCUUCAACUUGUUUACUUCCUCAAGAAGUUGUAGGACAAGGGGGUCCUGAGCGGAGUUAUGUGCCACUGGAGCUUUCUUUCGUAAAUCUCCAUCUUCUCUUGGAAUUAGGAAGGUUUGAUCAAGGGCAUGUGAUUUUUCCCUGGACUCGCUGUACUGGCUUCCAGGGUAUGUCUGUCGGAACACCUCUGAGUCCCCUGUACCCUCAUGUCUCUCUAGGACUUGUUGCCCCUUCCCCAAAUUGGUGGCCGGCUUGGGCCGUGGCAGGGGACCGAGUCUCUCAGAAAUCCUUGGGUCAUUAAUCUUUGAGCUUAUAUGGAUGGAAUUCUCUCGACGUUGCUUCAGGAAAUCCCGACAAUAGCGAAAGACAGCUUUCGAUCCUUCUGCCCCUUCAGCAAAGAGGUGUCUCCCUCCACUUCUCAUGGUUCGGGUUGAAGCAACUGGGUUAAGAGAAGCCUCAUGUUGAUUAUCAAGUCGAGGGGUAAUCUGUUCCCUAUCAGGGAUAUCUAUGUCGAAUGCAUGUGACCCUCCAUGUUGGAGGGCACCCAGUUGAUGGUUGACUUCCACGGGGGCAACAAGCUCGCGUGUCUGAGCUUGCCUAGCUUCGUGGAGUGUCUCGAAGAGCUUCUCAUAUUGCUCCUGGAGGACCUCAUUCCUCAUUGCUAUCUUGUUGUUCUGAGCUUCCAACUCAUCGACUUUAGCUUGAAGAAGAACUCGUUUUCCUUCCUUCUUUCGUUGUUUCGCACUAUGUGCAAGGGGGGUGUCAUUCUGUGUGCUGUGGCUUCCUUCGCUUCCCAUGUUGGAGAGGGAUGCCUGGUCAAAAGAAAGUGUACGAAUGAUAGAAACCAGCUUGACACAGCUGAAGAGAGUAGGAAUAAGUGUCGUUUCCCACAGACGGCGCCAAAUGUUGAUUAUCAAAAUCAGCGAAGACUUUGGUACAACAGAAAGUGUCAGGUUUUGUGACCUUCGCUUGGUUGCUUCGGUCACUAGUGAGGAUAAAUACGUAAAUAAAUAGAGACAGAGAAGCAAACACAGGAUGUACGUGGUUCACCCAGAUUGGCUACGUCCACGGAGUAGAGGAGUUCUUAUUAGUAGUGAAGGGCUUACACAAGUACAAAGGAUCAAGCUCUCAAUUUAGUGAGUUCUUGUGAAUGAUUUAACACAAAAUGGCAUUAGGCAAUAUUGUGGGGGAAUGACCCCUAUUUAUAGAAAAACUUGUAGCUUUGUCACAUUGACAUGUGUCAUGUUAUGAUUGGUUCUUGAUGUUGACACGUGAUGCGCUCUGAUUGGCUUCUAAUCCUGACACGUGUCGAGUAGUGAUUGGCCUCCUGGUCGGAGGGGAACUCUUCUGGGUCCUUGACAGUAUAGCGUUGGCCGGUGCUCGGUAGUUUCGGGAUUGGUCAAGUAUGGUACAAACAAGUUGUACUUAGUACAUUUGAUGGGCAAUCAUAUUUUAGUUGGUUCCGUUGAGUGGUCCGGAAUCCUUUUUGGUGUCUUGGUUCCGUUGAGAGGUCCGGAACCCGAUGCUGAUGGAUUUCGUUGAGGGGUCCGAAAUUGCAUCAUUUGAUUCAUUUAAGACAGCUUCAGCAAUGUAGACUUAUGUCGAAUUGUGUCGCUCUAACCCGGCAUUCCGAUGAAUUGUAUGUGUUAUUGAUGAUAUGGUGAUUGGCAUUAUUGAUUGAUGUGAUAAUUGGAUGGUAAUGGAAUGCAUAUGUGAGGAUGAAUGACGUUAUGAGUAGAGAUUAUUAUUGUGCUUUGUUAAAUGUUCCUUAAGGUGCUACAUAAUUGAAUUGUGGUAUUAUGUUGAGACCUAGUGGUCUAUGUGACGAAUGUUCGAUAGUAGUGAAAUGUGAACUACGAAUGACUUGAUCCCUGUUGAGGGUACGUAGGUAGUCUAACGAGGAGGUUAGAUGCAGUCAUAAAAUACACAAAAAUUACAACGAAAUUCGAAUAUUGAAUUAUGCUUUGUAAAUAUUUCGGGCGGGAUAUGUGAGAUAUACGGGUUUUUAAUGACGUCACGUGCUGAUCUUGGACGUAUGUCGGGAUCAGGGCGUGACAAAAUGAGUUUUAUGAAAUGAAAUGGCAUGCCAAUUAUAUUUAUAUUAAGAAUGUGCAUAUGUGAUUAUAUAUGUUGUGAUUCGAUGCUAUGGGCGCUCAGGUAAGUUUCAAGUAAGUUUAUGUGUUGAGUUUAAGGUGUGGAAAAAUGAUGAUUGUUGAGAUGUGUUGAGAGCUCAUUAACCUGCACCCGGGUGUUAGUGCUCCUGCCCAUGGUUAGGGGCACAGUCUUUCACGUGAUGUUUACCUCCCGUAGCACACGCUCAUCUUGGAUCCAAGUUAGGUGCACAAUCCUGUUGUAUAGACCACUUUCAGUGGGUUCGACUCGUUGGUGACCUGCAAUCAUUCGCACAGUCUUCACGUGAUUGUAGCAUUAGAGCAUAUUUGUUUUACACCCAGUCAUGUCGUAUAGACCACUAUAGGUGGGUUCGACUCGUGUGCAGACAUGAUUUAUGAGAUAGAAUUCAGUUGAUUUGAUAUUCUCACAUGUUAUCACUCCUUGGGGUACUUACCUUGUUAUUUGAGAUGAUUGGCAUGGUAUAUUCACGUUUUGACUUUGGAUUUUGAUAUUGCUGGAUAUGUUGAGAUUACGAGUAUAUGUAUAUGCUAUUUGCUGGGAAAUUAUACAGGUUUUACAGAGAGGGGUUAUACUUUUGAGAAAUGAAAUGAUUUUGAAAAGUUUUGUUUUUUGCCCACUCACGCGUUUUGUUUUGCGCCCCUCUAGGUUUUAGGUAGCGUUGUUGGUGGCUUACGAGUUUUCAGCGGAGGUUCUGACAGACCAUCACUUAUGUAGAAUCACCUUUGGGUGUUGUUAUUUAGUACUUUUAUGCUUGACUGCACUUAGGCUAGUUAAGCUCUGAUUGUGUAUUCACACUUAAUUUCCACUCUUGCAUCUUAGUCUUGUCUAGUACUAUCAGGAUUUGGUUUCUAUUCAAUUGUAUUUCUCUAUAUUAAUCUUGCUUCCGCACUGUGCAUAUGGCUACGUCACCCUCACGUGACGGUUAGCAUGUCUCGAUCUUGGUCGGGGUGUGUCAUCAAGUCACCUUUUAACUUCUAUUAUGUUGAUUUUUGUCUGUAGGUACACAAAAAUAUGCAGAUUUGGCUUUCAAAUUGAGAGGCCUAAGGACAAUCUCUGUUCAUAGAAAAAAAAGUUGGACAUAGAAGGCAUGGGUAUGGGAACAUGAUUGGUUGUUAUAUUGCUUUGGGACGUUUUGAUAUUUUAGAGAUUAAUGAGUUUGUGGAGAUUUUGUUUUUCACAUCUUGCUUUGUAUUUGAACUUAAGCACUAUAACUGAACUUACUUUAAAAUUAUAGGACUUCAAAACGCGACCGCGGUUAGGAUUAGAAAGGGCCAAGUAUAUAUGUUGAGAAACUAGGCAUUGCAAGCAUAUAAAUUCCAAUUUUAUUAUUGCUAAACCAUAUAUCAAAUGUAGUUAGGAAUUAAAUUAAGUACAAACUACAUGGGGAUGGAGAAAGUUAUGUAUAGGUGAGAGCCUAAAAAUACUUGAGAAUCAAAUACUGCACAAAUUUGUGAUAAGUUAGAUGAGUAAAGAUCGCCUUUUGUCAAGCAGUUUUUGACUUUUCUGCAUUCUUUUAUAUAGUUUUUUCUUUUUUUCUUCCUAUUUUGUCAGAUUAGAUAGAUAGGGGCGCUAAUAAAAAAAAAGAAAGAAAGUAUUUUUGCAUUUUGCUGCACGUGAUGAUGUUGAUGAUAUACAAUAUUCAAUGACUAAACCCUAUUCCCUAUACUAUAGCAAAAAAUGAAGCAUAAUUAUACAAUAGCUACACACAAAACAUUGAAAGUAUACAUGCGUGCAGUAAGAAUGAAUGGUAAAAAUGCCAUGUUCCUUUUAACAUUGCGAAUUACCGAGCUUUAUGGAGGGAGUAUAAAUACGAAUGCUCUUGGUGGUCUUCAUCUAAUUUCUUAUUAGUAUCAUCUCGAUGUUUUGGAACUUUUGACAGCCCUCUCACCGAACAUAUAAUUUUUAGGGGCGCGCAGCGCUCGUAAUUAAAAAAACGCGCAUGCGGAGAGGCUGGUAUAUACUAAAGUCCUACGCCCAAAAAUGCUGUUCAUAAGAGCAGUGUAAAGACGCAAAUACCCCUCCUCAACUGAUCUUUUCCUUCCUAUAUUUCAUGAGGCUACAGUAAAAAGACGAAAAACCAUGUUGCACACGUGGCGUGCUAGCGAGAUUUCUCUCUUCCACCGCUUCCUUCCUCUGCAGUCUACACCUCUUGCGUUUUUGCCUUUCCUCUCCAGCUGUCGGCCAUCACAGAGUCUUAUGGCAUCUUCCCGUUCUUUUCGCUGUUUUUCCUUCGGUUGCUUUUCACUUCUUUUCCUCUAAUUUGACUUCGUUUGUUUUGUGUUAUGUGGUUUUUAUUGAUUUUCAAUGUGUAUUGAUUGAUACUAACAAUUACAAGAUGAAACUUAUAUAUAGGGAAAGAAAGAUGACAUAAGCCUAACUUGCCUAACUUGCCUAACUUACACAAAGAAAGUUGACUAGCCUAACUUCACUAGUCAUCCAAUACAAUUGUUCCAACAUGUUUAUUUCAUGCAUUUUAACACUCCCCCUCAAGUUGGAGUGUGGAUGUCAAUGAUACCCAACUUGCUAAGUAAGACCUCAAAUUGCGCCGAGCUUAGUGGUUUGGUGAACAAAUCUGCAGGUUGAUUCGAGGUUCGUAUGUAAGCUGUUUGCACCAUUCCCAUCUGAAUCUUCUCACGUACUAAGUGACAGUCGAUCUCUAUAUGCUUCGUUCGUUCAUGAAACACUGGGUUCGAAGCAAUGUGCAUGGCAUCUUGAUUAUCACAAAACAAUGUGACUGGUUGUGCAUGAUUCACUCGUAAGUCCUUCAAAAGGUUUCUUAGCCAUAUAACUUCACAACAGGUGAUAGCCAUAGAACGAUAUUCUGCCUCUGCACUAGAACGAGAUACUGUGCUUUGCUUCUUUGUUUUCCAAGAUAUCGGUGCUUGCCCAAGGAAGAUACAAUAACCGGUUAUUGACCUUCUAGUGUCUUUACACCGAGCCCAAUCAGCAUCACAAAAAGCUUGUAAUUGUAGUGAACCUGUAGAAGGCAAAAGAAUUCCCUGGCCAGGAGAUUGUUUGAUGUAUCUGAGAACCUUAUACACUGCAUCAAGGUGUGGUUGUCGCGGCUUGUCCAUGAAUUGGCUUAACAUAUUAACCACGUAAGUCAGGUCAGGCCUCAUGAUGGUUAAGUAAAUUAGCCUCCCUACGAGUCUCCUAUAUGAAGAAGGAUCAUGUAGGAGCGUCCCUUCAGUUUAUGUAAGGGACAAGUUUGGUUCCAUGGGCAAUCGUGAGGGCUUCGCACCAAGGAACCCAACAUCUUCUAGUAUCUCCAACGCAUAUUUGCGUUGGCACAAGGCAAUCCCUUGUUUAGAUCUUGCAACUUCUAUCCCCAAAAAAUAUUUGAUUUUUCCCAAAUCCUUUAGCUUAAAAUGUUGGGAAAUGAAGAGUUUAGUCUCUUCAAUUUCUCUCAAAUUGUUACCUGCAAGUAUUACGUCAUCAACAUACACAAGUAAUGCCAUGAAACUGCCUUGAUUGAUGAAAACCAGCAGUCUUGAGAGCACUAGACAGCUUAAUAAACCACUGUCUUGAGGCCUGUUUUAAACCAUAAAUGGAUUUGUGUAAUUUGCAUAGUUGUGUCUCCCCCUUUCGUCCGAACCCAGGAGGUAUAUAAACCUCAUCGUAUAAGUCACCAUGCAAAAAUGCGUUGUUUACAUCAAGUUGGUGAAGAUGCCAACCACAGAUGAAGGCAAUACUGAGGAGGACAUGGACGGUGGUGAGCUUGGCAACUGGAGCAAAUGUUUCCCGAUAAUCAAGCCCUUCAAUUUGACUAUAGCCUUUAGCAACGAGACGGGCUUUGUAGCGUUCAACACUGCCGUCAAGUUUAAGCUUCACCUUAUAGAUCCAUUUGCAGCCUAUGGGAUGUUUGUGAGGUGGUAAGGGCACAAGAGUCCAAGUGCGAUUGUCAUGGAGGGCAUCAAUCUCUUUUUGCAUGGCGUCACGCCAUUUUGGAUCCUGAACAGCCUGCGAAAAACUGGUGGGUUCUUUGAUAAUGGUGAGGGUGGUGAGAAAGGUUUUGUGAGGGGGGAUACAUGGUCAUAGGAUAAAUAACGAGAUAGGGAGUGAGAUGUACCUGAGGACUGAACCAUGCUUGUGGAAGAUGUGGGUGCAACACGGGAUGGGAGGGCCACCUCAACAUGAAAGUCUUGCAAAAAUAUGGAAGUUUUGGUUGGUCGAGUGCUAGGACGGAGUGCAGGGGUUGGAUCUGGUGAUGGAGUGGUUGGAGGUGGGGAAGAGUGUAGGGUAGGUGAAGGUGUUGAUAAGGUAUCUGGUGGUGGAGUUGUAGAGGGUAAAGGAGAUGAGGGUGGUGUGAUGUCGGCAAGUGUGGGAGAUGUGGUGUUUAUGUCUGCUGGUGCAAGGCUUGAAUGCGACUCAAUGGGAGAGGUCGAGUCAAACGGGAUAGGUGUAGUGUUUGAUGGAGACGGGGCAACGGAAGUGUUACAAUGUUGGAAUGGAAAAUGAUCUUCAAAAAAUACGACAUCCCUAGAAACAAAAGUCUUAUUGUGUUUUAUAUCAAACAAUUUAUAACCCUUUUGACCAUAAGGAUACCCAAGAAAAAUGCAUUGGAUUGCACGAGGGUCAAAUUUAGAGGGCCUUUGGGCAUGUGUAGAAGCAAAACACAAGCUACCGAAAACCUUCAAAUGAGAAUAGUUAGGUGCUUUGUGAAACAGUUUUUCGUAUGGUGUUUUACCUUGGAGAAGUGGAGUGGGUGUUCUAUUGAUGAGGUAGGCUGAGGUUAGGAUUGCAUCUCCCCAAAAACAUUUUGGCAGACAAGCUUGAAAGAGCAAAGCCCGAGCAACAUUGAGCAAGUGCCGGUGUUUACGUUCGGCAACACCAUUUUGUUGUGGUGUGUUGACUCAACUAGAUUGAUGUAUGAUGCCUUUGAGAGCAUAAAAUUGCUCAAGUUUAAACUCAGGGCCAUUGUCACUUCGUAUGAUUUGAACUCUGGUAUUGAAUUGAGUCUCAAUCAUUUGAAUGAAUUUGACUAAAAUGUCUUUUGUGUCAGAUUUAUGUUUCAUCAAAUGAACCCAAGUGCUUCUAGUGUAGUCAUCUACGAUGGUAAGGAAAUACUUGGCACCUGAAAUAGAAGCAACUUGAUAACCACCCUAAAUAUCAAUAUGCAAUAAUUCAAAACAUGAUUUGGUAGAAAUAGAGCUCAAAGGAAAGGGUGAUCGUGUUUGUUUGGCCAAUGGGCAAAUUGAACAUUUUUCCAAAUCACAAGCUUUAUUGUUAAAGAAAGGUAAUAACGAAGUGGCUUUAUGAGAUGGGUGUCCUAGGCGUUGGUGCCAAAGCUUUGGUGCGAUGGUUUGAAUAUUGUUGCAUGUUCUUUUCCUUGAUGAGUCGAGGUAGUAGAGUCCAUCCCUUUCAGUUCCCAUCCCAAUCAUCUUCCCCGAGCGAAGGUUCUGAAUGACACAAAAUUGGGUGAAGAAAAUUGUGACAUAUAAGGAAUCAUAGGCUAGUUUACUGAUGGAUAUUAAAUUUAAUUUAAAGAAUGGCACACAUAGGACAUUGUCAAGGAUAAGAUUAUGAGAGAAAACAACUUGUCCAAUGUGAGUGACUUUGGCAACGGAACCAUUUGGCAGUUCAACUGUAUGAUUUUCAACAGCUCGUGAGUGUGUAAAGAGACUAGGGUUGAAAGUUCUUCAUGACUAGAAGGAUUACCGACUUGAUUGGCAAAUGAUGAUUUGUUCUUGUUCAACAUUUGAAGGAUUUGCUUGCAAUCCUCCUGAGAGAACGGGAAAUUGGGCAACAUCUCUUGCUUGUUACUUUGUGAAACUUGAUUCCCUUUUGAAGAAAAAGGACGACUGCUUUCCGUUUCUGUGGCUGCUUUUCGUUUUCGACAGAAAUCGAAGGUGUGACCUUUCCAUCCACAAAAAGUGCACUUGAGAUGUGCACGACAGUUUUUGGUGAUGUGAUUUGUUCUAUUGCACUUUCCACAUCGCAUCUCUUUGUCUUCCGGUGUAGGUUCUUGCGACAAAUUCUUCACUCCAAAGACAACAGCCUCUGGUUGUGUACUCUUCCCAUUGGAAACCUCUGCCUGGCGUUCAUGUCGAAGGACCAACGCAUAUGCCUUGUUCACCGUAGGCUGUGGUUCAAGAAGAAGGGUAUUGCUUCGAACCGUAGCAUACGAUUCGUUCAAUCCCAUAAGGAACUUCAUGGUUUUCUGAGUUUCAACAUAUGAGUUCAUCUCAUUCUUUGUUCCACAACUGCAUGCUGGAAUGGAACACAAAGUAUCACGUUCAUCCCAUAAACUUUUAAGUUUAGUGCAGUAAGAACUUACACUCAUAUUGCUUUAGACGCAAUCAUGGAUCUCGUUCUUAACAUGGAACAGCUGAACUAUAUUCACAUGUGAGAACCUCUCCUGCAGAUCGGUCCACAUUUGUCGAGCAUCCUUGUAGUUGAUGACACUCCUUGAAAUCUCCUUUGACAUGGAGCCUAGUAGCCAUGUCUUGACCAAGUUGUUGCAGCGAUUCCAUUGUUGCAACUCCUCAGAAUUGUCCUCACUUGGUUUGUUGAUUGUCCCAUCAACAAAACCAAGUUUGUUCUUGACCGUUAAGGCCAUACUCAUGGAUUGAACCCAUGUGCUGUAGUUGUCUUCCACCAAUGGUUGUGGUACGAGGAUUGCACCAGGUUGGUCCGAGUGGUGGAGAUAGAGUGGGUGGUUGGGAUUUUCCCAUUUUGAAUGAGAAGCCAUGCCUGGAAUGGUUGACCUCAUGACUGCCUUAGAGCUUGUGUUUUGUGGUUUUCCCAGAUCACAGCUCUGAUACCAUAUUGAUUUUCAAUGUGUAUUGAUUGAUACUAACAAUUACAAGAUGAAACUUAUAUAUAGGGAAAGAAAGAGGACAUAAGCCUAACUUGCCUAACUUGCCUAACUUACACAAAGAAAGUUGACUAGCCUAACUUCACUAGUCAUCCAAUACAAUUGUUCCAAUACAAUUGUUCCAACAUGUUUAUUUCAUGCAUUUUAACAGUUUUGGUUUCGUUUGCUCUCUUUCCCUUCUUCUCUGUUGGUUUCUGUUGCUUCUCCAUCAGUUCACCCAAACCACCGCUUGCUUCUCCACCAGUUCACCCAAAUCCGACGAAGGGCGCCACAACAAACGUGCCAAUCUUCCUGCACCACCGGUCUCCGCAACGUUUUCCAAAACCCGCUUGACCGAAGGUAAGCGAAUUUGGUGUUCUGGAUUAUAUCGGAAUUGAAAUAGGUUUGGUUUCAUUAACUUUUUGGGUUAAUAAAUUUGUAUGCUCUGAUUCUUUUGAAUUUGAGUUUGGAUUGGAAUUUAAUUUUGAUUUACAAAUCUCUGAUAAAACCUCAACAAGAAACUUAAACCCUCAGCAAGAAACUUAAACCCAAUGCAUCAUCCUAUUAAUUCCAACAUCUCCUCAAUAAGUAUUCUAAGAUAUAAAUAUUACAAUUCUGGUGAUCAUAGAAAAAUGCAUAUUUGAGUGAUCAUGGAACACUGUUAGUAGCUACACAUAUCAUAAUAAUUUAGGAUAUGGACGUUAAAUUAUCUUAAACUGCAGAAUGUGGCUUUUACAUUGUUAUAUGGAAUUUCCCCUAGGAAGAAAUAGCAUUGAACUUAUAGGAUGGAUACAUAAAUAGCCUAUGUACGCAUUACAAAAUGAUUUAGUUGUUUGGGAUUAAACAAAGUUUGGUUUUUCAUGGUGAGUUCUCAACUGGGUUUUACUUAUUUUUUUGCCUCCGAUAUAAGUUUUAGAUGCUUUUCUUUGUUUUUCGCUAAUUUUUAAAUUUAUUUUUUUUACUAUUUAGUGUGAGAAAAUGGCUUCAAAAUUGGAUUUCCAAUGUCUGGGCAGAGGAAAACAGGAAGAGAACACCAAUGGUGGUUACGAAGGAGAAUCCCUUCUUUGCGGUGGAAAUUGACGGUCCAUGUGCAACAUUCAACCCAGUUUAUAAGAGCAGGGGUCAAUAUGAAGAACCAAUGACAUGGGGUUUUGUUUAAUUUUAUUAAGUUUUGUACUGAGGUAAAAUUCUCCCCAUUUAACAUAGUUUUAAAUGUUGAUUAGUAUAUGUGUAAAUAGGAUUGUGAGUAUGGUUGUAUAUGUAGUAGUAGAAUUGAAAACAUUGUUGUAAUUAUGUGUAAGUAGAGUUGUAAACCCGACGCAUCGCGCGGGCCUUUUUGCUUGUUACCCCUAAACGUUACAAAAAUCCCAAAAAUUAAAAGGAAACUAAAAAAAAUUAGAAUUUACCCAUAGUUUCGCGAAUCCCAGCCGGAUGAACUGGUGGCAGUUGUAAGAGCGGAUCUCCAGCUCCGAACCUCUUCUAUUUCAGCGUUAGAAUCAUGGUCGUGCUGAUCAAAAGCUUUCGCGAAACUUCCCUUUAGUUUACGACAUCAGACGGAUCAACUUCAUAGAAAAUGGGGAGUACAAUCUGUUUAUUGGUAUCCUCGCAUUCCAGGAUUUGCACGAGUUCUUUCAAGCACCAAGUGGAAGAAGCAUAGUUUUGAGAGAAAACUACAAUCGAAAUCCUUGACUCUCGAAUGGCUGACAGGAGCUUGGAAAGGCGGUCGCCUUUUCUGAGGUCUUCGGCAUCAAUGAAGGCGUUGAUUGGUUUCUGACGCAGGGCUUUGUAGAGAUGGCUGACGAAGCCCCUGCGAGUGUCUUCCCCUCUGAAAUUGAUGAACACAUCGUAUUUCCAACCAAGGCCAGAAGAAGAAGAAGAAGCAGCCAUUAAUCGAUCGAGCAGCUAAGUCCUAGAGUAAUGUAAGAACAGAAAUACUCGAUUGAUCAAUAAAUUGAAUCACAGAAAAAACUGGUCUGAUCGAUACGAAGUCAACGAGGACAGAAAAUUAUGCUUUAUGUGUUUUCACAUCUUCUUCCGGGAAAUUUAACGAAAAUAAUUUUCUUGCCGGCAAAAUUGACUUCAAAAUAUAAAAAUAUUCUUCCAGGUAUGGACAUAUGAAGUUUCAGUGUGAAACGAAUCUGCAUACUUUGGUUUGGUUUUGACCCAAGAAAAUGCUAAGAAAGGAUGGUUUAGCAGCUUUGCAUGAGGGGACUGGGUCAAAGUACUCUGUUGAAUCUGCCCUUGCCUACCCAACAACUUCUUUGUAAGUCGGAAAUAAAUCCCGAUCUUCCUAUUCACACGAAAAAUGAGUGGGGUGACAGGAAAUAUUUCUUGUUAAAUGUAAGCAUCUCACACAUGUGGUAUAUUCAAAGGUAUUGAGGCGACAAACGAGCGAUUAAUAGUUUGGCUUUUAAUUUGAUGUCACGGUAGUAACGGUACUUACUAUGAAAUCUUUGAUAUAUUUGCUUUUAGCUACAAAACAACUAAAACUCCACAAAUUGCUUAUGAAAAUAAAAAAUAUUGACAAGAUUUGAACUUGUAUUAUCUACAUCUUCACUACACAUUGUUGCUCCGCUCGUGUUCUGAAGUUGACAAUAGCUAGAAGGUCACAGCAAGAAGCAGAGGAGGCUAACUGUUACAGAAAAUUUGUUUAUUCAAAGCAUUAAUAAAAACACAUUGAAAUUAAUUCACGCAAAAAAUAAAUAAUACAGUGAAGGAUUUACAGUGGUGGCAGCCACACUUCAAAAAUAGGGCGUCUCACCCUGUGGAGAAAGCAUUUUUUGCUAUGAAUAAAAAUUCCACUGCGUAACAAAACAGGAGAUUAAUGAUUGAGUGAUAGCUGAGUUGUUUGCAAUGAGAGAGAUGUUUUUACUUUUAUUGAUAAGGAGUCUACAUAUGCGAUGUUCUCAUAGUAUAAAACUUCGCCGACAACAAUUAUAACUUGUUUGUGUUGAUAAAUUUUGAAUGACAUUAAUAUUGUCUAAUAUCUAAAAGAAUUUGGAUGGCUACAUUUUUUUUUUUUGGAAAACCUUUUAACCUUAUAAAUUGCGGGCUUCUUCCGACAAUUCCUAACUUCGUCACUGCUUCAGUCAACUCGAAGUCCUAGUGGUUCUUGUCCAUGAUAUCAAUAUCCCUACAAUAAACGGUGACUUCAAUAUGAGCUACACUCAGUCUAACAAAAAGUUUGUAUAGAGAAGAUAUGCAUGAAAAAAUGGCAAUGGUUGUGUUUGUGUUGCUGAACGAAUGAUACUGAAAUACCUAAACCCAAGUCAAGCUCCUUUAGUCCACGAAAACAAAAGUUUAGAAUACAAUAAUGUUUGCAUAUAGACUAGAGAAACGACAUACCGCAGGCCAGGAAGGUGCAGUGAAAGAGAGAGGAAGAGAGGAAAAGAGGAAAGAAACAAACAUGAAAUGACAAAGACUAUCAAAUAGAUUAUAACAAUGACUUCUUAGCGAUGGUUACAACUAUUUAACUAUCGAUAAUGCAUUAUUUUAGUUUGAAACGUGGAAGCAUUUGAGAAGUAGCAUGUCAACAACCAUUACACAAUAAUAUUGUCUAAUAUCUAAAAGAAUUUGGAAGUCUACAUUUUUUGGAACCUUUUACCCUUAUAAAUUUUGCGCCUCUCCUGACAAUUUCUAGUUUCGUCGUUGCUUCAGUCAACUCCAAGUUCUAGUGGUUCUUGUCUAUGAUAUCAAUAGCCCCACCGUAAAUGGUGACUUCAGUAUAAGCUACACUUAGUAUAAGUGUAUGGGGGACAUAUAUGUAUGAAAAAAUGGCAGUGGUUGUAUCUGUGUUGACUAACGGAUGGUACUGGAAUACCUAAACCCAAGUCAAGCUCCUUCAGUCCACAAAAAUCAAAAGUUUAUAAUAUAAUAAUGUUUGCAUAUAGACUUGAGAAAAGACAUACCGCCAGCCGGGAAGGUGCAAUGAACAAGAGAGGAAAAGAGGAAAUAAACGAACAAGAAAGGACAAAGACUAUCCAAUAGAUUAUAACAAUGACUUCUUAGUAGUGAAGUGAUUAAGCUAUUCCACUAUUAAUAAUGCAUUAUUCUUAGAUUGAAAUGGUUCAGAAAUUUAAAAGCCAGAAUUGACUUAUAUAAAAUCAAUUUUUAAUUGGGUAGAUGUAAUUUGUAAAACAAAAAUGUUUAUAAAAAAAAAUUUCUCUUGAAAAUGUAUUCUGGUGCCAGGAUUUAAACCUGGAUGAAAACUCUUAACCGUAAGACUUUUUGUAGUGAGCAACACUGGACUAGUUGAUAGACUAUGAUGAAAUAAACCAUUUAAAUGUACUCCUUACGUUAUGCAGUGCGCAUACUGGAUAAACAAUUAGUGCACAUAAUGUGGUUAUCUGAUUUGUGGGGAAUGGUGAUGCUCACCGCUGACUUUUGGUUUACUGACAGGCUCUCAAAGUUAAAUAUAUCAGAUUUUGUUUGACAUUCGUAACAUAUUUUAAUAUUUUCACCACAACAACAACAACAACAACAAAGUCUUUUCCCACUAAGUGGGGUCGGCUAUAUGAAUCCUAGAACGCCAUUGCGCUCGGUUUUGUGUCAUGUCCUCUGUUAGAUCCAAGUACUCUAAGUCUUUUCUUAGAGUCUCUUCUAAAGUUUUCCUAGGUCUUCCUCUACUCCUUCGGCCUUGAACCUCUGUCUCGUAGUCACAUCUUCGAACCGGAGCGUCAAUAGGCCUUCUUUGCACAUGUCCAAAUCACCGGAACCGAUUUUCUCUCAUCUUUCCUUCAAUUUCGGCUACUCCUACUUUACCUCGGAUAUCCUCAUUCCCAAUCUUAUCCUUUCUCGUGUGCCCACACAUCCCACGAAGCAUCCUCAUCUCCACUACACCCAUUUUGUGUACGUGUUGAUGUUUCACCGCCCAACAUUCUGUGCCAUACAACAUCGCUGGCCUUAUUGUCGUCCUAUAAAAUUUUCCCUUGAGCUUCAGUGGCUUACGACGGUCACACAACACGCCGGAUGCACUCUUACACUUCAUCCAUCCAGCUUGUAUUCUAUGGUUGAGAUCUCCAUCUAAUUCUCCGUUCUCUUGCAAGAUAGAUCCUAGGUAGCGAAAACGGUCGCUUUUUGUGAUCUUCGCUAGAUUACUCCGGUCAUUAGCGUGGAUAAGUAUAUAAAUGGAUAGAGAUAGGAAAGCAAACACAAGAUGUACGUGGUUCACCCAGAUUGGCUACAUCCACGGAAUAGAGGAGUUCUCAUUAAUUGUGAAGGGUUUACACAAGUACAUAGGUUCAAGCUCUCCUUUAGUGAGUACAAGUGAAUGAUUUAGUACAAAUGACAUUAUGAAAUAUUGUGGGAGAAUGAUCUCGUAAUCAUGAAACUUCUAAGUAUCGGAGUGUGGUAUCGUCUUGACUUGCCUUAUCUGUCUCAUAGGUAGAUGUGGCAUCUUCUCUGGAAGUACUCUUCCUCCAUCCAUGGGUGGUAUCUUUAACUGGUGGAGAUGCAUAAGGUAAUGUAUCAAUUUCACUUGAAGCUUACUUGUAGUUUCAGGCUUGGUCAAGCGCGAUACAAACCAUGUAGUAGGAGUCCCCCAAGUCGCCGAGCUAGGGGAUUUGCUGAAAGAGGUGACAGACAAGGUAAGCAAUCAGAGCUCCGGCUGAUUGUUCACAUUCUCCCUAUCUUGCAGGCAGCAUGAAGGAUAAAGAGAAGAAAAAAUGAGAAGAGAUGAUAUGGGAUACUUUUGCUUUUGAAGAAGUAACUUUCCACAGGCUUAUUCUUGAACUGAAGCUGGAGGGUUUUCUGGUUUCCUCCAGAGUAUAAGGCCGACUGAAGAAUUUGAGGGUCAAAACAAGUCCAUCAAAUCUAGAGUACGUUCGACCCUGCUGAUAUGGGAUACUUUUGCUUUUGACAGAGUAAUGGAUGUAUCGGCACGUGUGCUGUUACGCUUGUCUCUCCACAUGCUUCCUUGUAUCCUUCUCACUUGCCCUAUCUGUUCCUCAAGGCAAGAUGCGGUAUCUUCCCUGGAAGCAUAAGAUGUUGAAGAUGAGUACUCGAGAGCAAUGCCAGGUAAGUAAUCAGGUAAGGGGUUCCAGGCAGUCAGUUCCUAGCUGGAAGCUUGAUUCCAAGUGCUGACUGAUUGCUCUCUUUCUCCUUGUCUUGCAGGUAAAGAACAAGGCCAAAGGAAAAGACAGGGAAAAAGCAUGAUAUGGGAUAUACUCUUGCUUUUUAACCCUGAUGAUAUGAGAUAUUCUUGCUCUAGUAUAGCUUGUUUGUAGAGGUAUUAUCGGGGGGAAAGAAAGCUGAAUAUUUCGAAAGGCUUCGUUGGGAGUGCCCUCUCAGAUAUGAGAAAGGGUUGAGCAUUUUUGCAGGUCUGCCUGUCCGUUGGGGAUGGAGGUCGACAUAUAUAGGAGUCUCCCUAAUAACAAGUAGUAAUGUUAUUCCUUUACCCUGCUUGGUCAUAGCACGAUAGUUGGAGCUGCCAGCUUCACAUGUUUUAACUCUGUCAGAGCACUUUGAAAAAGUGGUCUGUGGUAUCUGGAAAGCUGAUGUUGCGUGUGAAGAUUACAGACAAGCUUUACCCAAGGAGAUUUGGUUCUUGAAGUUGGGAAAAUGGUGCCUUUUCGGUUUUCGAACAAGCAAUCCUAUCGGGGAUCUGGCUCUCGAGAUUUGGAGAACGAUGCCUCUUCGAUUUUUGAGAAAGCAAUCAUGCUGGGGGUCUAGCUCUCGAGAUUCGGAGAGCGGUGUCUCUUCGAUUUUUGAGAAAGUAAUCAUGUUGGGAGUCUGGCUCUCGAGAUUCGGAGGACGGUGCCUCUUCGAUUUUGGAGCAAGCAAUCUUGUUGAGAAUGUUUUCUCGAAUGUGAGUAAAGGUUGGGCAUGUUUGCUAGUCUACCUUGCCACGAAGCACAGAGGUUGACACACAGGGACUUUCCAAUUAUCCAGCAAUGGUACUGUUCCUUUACCCUCUUUUCGAUUUUUGAGAAAGUAGGCAUGUUGGGAGUCUGGCUCUCGAGAUUCGGAGGACGGUGCCUCUUCGAUUUUGGAGCAAGCAAUCUUGUAAUCUUGUUGGGAGUGUUUUCUCGAAUGUGAGUAAAGGUUGGGCAUGUUUGCUAGUCUACCUUGCCACGAAGCACAGAGGUUGACACACAGGGACUUUCCAAUUAUCCAGCAGUGGUACUGUUCCUUUACCCUCGUGGGUAAUAAUAUGGUAGCUAGACCUUCAAAAUUUAUGUGUCUAAACUUUGUUAGUGUUGUUUCUUUGCUAUUCUUUUACCCUUCUUGGUCAGAGCGAUGUAGUGGGAGCUGCAAGCUUCACGUGCUCAACUUUGGCAGAGAACUUUGGUAAAGUUAUCUGUGGUACCCAUGAGCUACUGUUGCGUGUGGGAAGUGGGUGAUUGAACAGUAAGAUUCAUGUGCCUUCUACUUCACCAGAAGUCUUCGACAUAAUGCCCAUAAUUUCCGCAAAGCUGAGUGUGCGUGUGACAGGUGCUGACAAGGCUGGAAAAGUAGGUGCCUCUUUGAUUUCUGAGAUCGACCCUCAUGGUCUCUGAGCAGCCCAGCUUUUGAGAAAGCAAGCGCCUCUUCGAUUUCUGAGAUCGGCCUUCGUGGUCUUUGAGCAACCCAGCUUUUGAGAAAGCAAACGCCUCUUCGGUUUCUGAGAUCAACCCUCGUGGUCUCUGAGAGUAAAGGUUGGGCAUGUUUGCUAGUCUACCUUGCCAUGAAGCACAUAGGUUGACACAUUCGGAGAGCGGUGUCUCUUCGAUUUUUGAGAAAGUAGUCAUGUUGGGAGUCUGGCUCUCGAGAUUCGGAGGACGGUGCCUCUUCGAUUUUGGAGCAAGCAAUCUUAUUGGGAGUGUUUUCUCAAAUGUGAGUAAAGGUUGGGCAUGUUUGCUAGUCUACCUUGCCACGAAGCACAGAGGUUGACACACAGGGACUUUCCAAUUAUCCAGCAGUGGUACUGUUCCUUUACCCUUAUGGGUAAUAAUAUGGUAGCUAGACCUUCAAAAUUUAUGUGUCUAAACUUUGUUAGUACUAUUUCUUUGCUAUUCUUUUACCCUUCUUGGUCAGAGCGAUGUAGUGGGAGCUGCAAGCUUCACGUGCUCAACUUUGGCAGAGAACUUUGGCAAAGUUAUCUGUGGUACCCAUGAGCUACUGUUGCGUGUGGGAAAUGGGUGAUUGAACAGUAAGAUUCAUGUGCUUUCUACUUCACCAGAAGUCUUCGACAGAAUGCCCAUAAUUUUCGCAAAGCUGAGUGUGCAUGUGACAGGUGCUGACAAGGUUGGAAAGGUAGGUGCCUCUUCGAUUUCUGAGAUCGGCCCUCGUGGUCUCUGAGCAGCCCAGCUUUUGAGAAAGCAAGCGCCUCUUCGAUUUCUGAGAUCAGCCUUCGUGGUCUUUGAGCAGCCCAGCUUUUGAAAAAGCAAACGCCUCUUCGAUUUCUGAGAUCAACCCUCGUGGUCUCUGAGCAGCCCAGCUUUUGAGAAAGCAAACGCCUCUUCGAUUUUUGAAGCUCCGUCGAGUGUAUAUUUUUAUAGGGGCUGGCAUUAAGUUCCAAAGCACACUUGAAUCUCCACCAGUAGAAGCUCCAUUCUUGUACUUCUAAGAUCUUGAUUUGUCCGACUUCUUCUCUCUUCAACACCUUUGAAAAUGUCUGGCCCCUCCGACCGUCGUUUUGACUUGAACCUUGUUGAAGAUGCAGCCCCGCCUUCUCAAGACAACAUAUGGCGCCCAUCCUUCGUCUCCCCUACUGGUCCUCUUACCGUUGGGGAUUCCGUGAUGAAGAAUGAUAUGACCGUUGCGGUGGUGGCCAGGAACCUUCUCACUCCCAAAGAUAACAGACUACUUUCCAAACGGUCUGAUGAGUUAGCUGUUAAGGAUUCUCUGGCUCUCAGUGUUCAGUAUGCAAGUUCUGUGUCUAAUAUGGCCCAACACCUAUUUGCUCGAACCCGUCAAGUUGAAUCAUUGGCGGCUGAAGUGAUGAGUCUCAAACAGGAGAUUAGAGGGCUCAAGCAUGAGAAUAAACAGUUGCACCGGCUCGCACAUGACUAUGCUACAAACAUGAAGAUGAAGCUUGACCAGAUGAAGGAAUCUGAUGGUCAGGUUUUACUUGAUCAUCAGAGAUUUGUGGGUUUGUUCCAAAGGCAUUUAUUGCCUUCGUCUUCUGGGGCUGUAUCGCGUAAUGAAGCUCUAAAUGAUCAACCUCUGAUGCCUCCUCCUUCUAGGGUUCUGUCCAGUACUGAGGCUCCGAAUGAUCCCCCUCCGGUGCCUUCUCUUUCUGGGGCUCUACCGACUGCUGAGACUUCUCCUAAGCAACCUUUGUGAAGGCUCCCUCUUGUUUGUUUAUUUUGACUCAUGUAUAUGUAUGUGUAGCUUAUCGGGGAUAUCAAUAAAUAAGCUUUCCUUCAUUUCAACAUAUUGUGUUAAAUACACCAAAGCCUUCUUCGCUAAGUUCUUUGAAUUUUCUUUUGUUGAAGCUUGUAUGUUGAAACUUUGUGAGUGGAUCAUGUAGGUUAAGGUAGUGUUCCCUUAUUUUCAUCAAUAUUGAUAUUUUAAACAAUGACAAUUCUUAGAAUACUGGAAUUCAUGUCAUUUUCAUAAACAAAUAAAUGGUUAAGAAAUGUAUAUAUUAGAAAAUUAAGAGCCAGAUUUAACUAAUAUUAAAUCGAUUUUAAAUCGGGUAGUAAAACAAAAUUAGGAAUCUGUGUCCUUUUCAUAAAUAAAUAAAUGGUUACAAAAUUUAUAUAUCAUAAAUUUAAAAGCCAGAAUUGACUUAUAUAAAAUCGAUUUUUAAUUGGGUAGAUGUAAUUUGUAAAACAAAAAUGUUUAAAAAACAAUUCUCUUAAAAAUGGUAUUCUGGUGCCAGGAUUCGAACCUGGAUGAAAACUCUUAACCGUAAGACUUUUUGUAGUGAGCAACAUCAGAUGAGUUGAUAGAUUAUGUAACGCCCCGCGCCCGAAAUAUUUAUUUUCAUAAAAUAAUUCCAAUGAUAAGCCUAAAUUAAAUUUUUUAUUUACAUUACAACCAAUAAUCACGAUUCCUUAUUUAAUUUUCUUAAUCCCUCACAAAAACUAUAACCCAUAAUUAACUUACCAAAACAUACGAUUAAAUUUUCAUAAUUUGUCACCAACUUCUACUCUUAAAACAACUUCCCAACUAAAGAUUAAAUCUCAAUUAUUAAGGCUACAUCUAACUCUUGUUAGACUGCCUACAUACCCUUUAGCGGGAUCAAGGCUUUCGUAGUUCAUAAAUCCGUUUAAAUCCAUUCUUAUAGCCGUUUCUGAAAAUAUUCUAGAAUUGGAAAUAUUCAACAUUAGCUUUCACAAUCGAAUCACAUCAAAUGAUUACCAAUUAUGGAUUUAAAUUGUCUAAAUUAGUAUUAAAAGGCAGCGUCGGCCCACUGGCCACGCGCCACCACGGGUGGCGAUCUCCAGUGAUCGGAAACCCCAAUUUCCGACAAACUCUACAAAUUACCAAAUUUUAUAGGGUUGUAGAGUUCAAUUAUAGGAACAACUUUCAUACUUGGGACGAAGUCCAAUUCGGCCAAGAAAAGCCCCAAUUUCACUCAAUUCCGUCUGAACCCUAGAAUUUGGGUGUCCUCAAUUAGUCAUCUCCCGUGCCCCGCCGCCCCAAACAAGGCUUGGUAGAUGUUCCUGGGUUCACAAGGAGUCUAACCAUGGUGGUAGUCAAUGGUGGUGGCUUCACAAACGGGAGAUCGCAGAAACGGACCCAUCGCACCCACCAAUGUAGGUUUCACUAAAUUAAAGCAUAUUUCCAUCGAAAUUGGGAUGGAAUUGGUGAAGGUAUCAAUUGGUAUCGAAGGGAGGGUUAUUUUUGGCACCGUUCCCAUCAUCAACGAUGGUCGGAAUAAAAAACAAUGGUCAGGUCGGGUCGGCGGGUUGAAGGAAGGUCUGGUUCCCUUCUCUCCUUUCCCUCCCUACCUCCCCCUCUGGUUGGUCCGUGUCUCUCGCCUUCUCUCCUUCCCUUUCCAUCACAGCCACACACGUGGCUUCUCAGAUCCUUGCUCCAGCAAAUCUGGAGCCUUUUAGAUAUUGGUCAAAUGACCAUUUUACUCCUAACUUCAAUUGUUAAUAACUUCUUCGUUAUAACUCCGUUUCAUGAACGGUUUUCGUCUACAUGUUCGUAGGGCCAUCCUUUAUCCAAAUAUAUCAAGAAAUCCGAUAAAAUAUAUGAGGAUAAAAUACAUCCUUGUAUAAUUACGUCAAACUAGUUAGGGCAUUUUCUUCUUUUCUACUUAACGAUAAAUUUUACUACGUAAAUUAUAAAAUUUCCGGAAACAAAACUUUAAAAGUUCACAAUUUUUUUUUCUUUCAUAACCAUAAAUUGAUUUAUUGUCGAUUUUUCUUCACAUAUUCAUAUAUUUAAAUUUUCAGGGUAUUACAGAUUAUGACAAAAUAAACCAUUUAAAUGUUCUCCUUACGUUAUGCAUUGCGCAUAUUGGAUAAACAAUUAGUGCACAUAAUGUGGUUAUCUGAUUUGUGGGGAAAGGUGAUGCUCACCGCUGACUUUUGGUUUAGAGACAGGCUCUCAAACUUAAAUAUAUCAGAUUUUGUUUGACAUUCGUAACAUAUUUUAAUAUUUUCACCGUUAUUGAUAUUUUAAACAAUGACAAUUCUUAGAAUACUGGAAUUCAUGUCCUUUUCAAUUUUCAUAAACAAAUAAAUGGUUAAGAAAUGUAUAUAUUAGAAAAUUAAGAGCUAGAAUUGACUAAUAUUAAAUCGAUUUUAAAUCGGGUAGUAAAACAAAAUUAGGAAUCCAUGUCCUUUUCAUAAAUAAAUAAAUGGUUAAGAAAUUUAUAUAUCAGAAAUUUAAAAACCAAAAUUGACUUAUAUAAAAUCGAUUUUUAAAUGGGUAGAUGUAAUUUGUAAAACAAUUUUUUUUUUAAAUAAUUCUCUUAUAAAUGGUAUUCCGGUGCCACGAUUCAAACCUGGAUGAAAACUCUUAACCGUAAAACUUUUUGUAUUGAGCAACACCGAACGAGUUGAUAGAUUAUGACGAAAUAAAAACAUAAUAAUUUCUUUCAAACUUAGUGAAUAACCUUCAGAAAAUAAAAACACCGAACGAGUUCAUAGAUUAUGACAAAUUAGUGGAUAAACACCUUCAGAAAAUAAAAACACCGAACGAGUUCAGCGGUGAGCAUCACCAUUCCCCACAAAUCAGAUAACCACAUUAUGCGCACAAAGAAUCAAUCAAAACAUAAUAAUUGAAUGAACGAGGAUUUCUUUCAUUUUUUCCAAAUUUUCUGAAGGUUUUUUCUAUAAGAACUUUUCUCUGACCAAUGCUUUCUAACAUUUCAUCAUUUUUUUUUAAAUUACACAAAUUCUUUGCAUACAUUGUUGUUAAAAAGAAAAUUUCUAUUAUUAAGGAGAGAGUUCGAAACUAUUGAAUUAUGGAAGAUGGACUUUUGAACUCGAGACACGGGUAGAAACCUAACACCUAUCCACUAGGACAUUAGAUCACCAGAGGUGGUCCUGGUUUUUUGGUGCCGACUGCCCAUGAACACUCAAAAUGUGCUUUUUUCCAGUACAACAUAAAUUAAACUGAAAGAUUUAAAAAGGGCUGGAGCCAGUCGAAGCUGUUGGGACAUUCUUCCAAAGAGGGAGAUGAAAUCGUUGAGGCUCUUACAGAUCCCACGUCACUGUCUUCAUUCAGCAGUUUUCCUCCAUCUACAUCAACAACUGCACGUUGCUCAAGAAGGUACUUCUAAAAAUUGAAAGUCAAACGAUAAAUUAUUAAGAAACAUUGAAUAUAAGCAUGAAACAAAGAAAAUGUUACGGAAUGGUGAUCCUCAUCCUCAAAGAUGAUUAAAAGCAAUUUGAUUCAAAAAUGACAUAUCAACUCUGGAGAAAUGGAAGACAAACAUGUGGUACCAUAUUCGCAACAGAGGUUAUGAAAGCUGAAAUCGAUUGUUCCUGUGUGCAUUGAUAAGUAAGACUACCGUAGAGAUUCACAACUAAGUAAAGACAGGUAUUCCACAGAACAACCCUGACCUCUUUGGAAACACAGAUCUAACAAAAACUAAAACAUUUUGGAUUAAUAUUGACUAAUCAAGAAUAAUGCAAGGGAGCAAAAGAGAUACUCUUCCUUCUAAUAACAAGAAGGCAUAAAAAGUAUACAGAGUUCCAACAAUUAGAGAACUUAAAUCAAACUAAAAAAAUCACCAAAGUAGACAGAAUUUCACUUCGCCAAAAAUUUGAAAAUAUAUCCUUUUUAUCCACUGAGAAUCAUAAACUACUACUACUACAUCAUGCCAAUAAGCAAUGCGUAAGAGGUGCUACAAUUUACCAAUAUAUUUACCCUGAGAACAAGUUUUGAAAUCAUCUCUAGUGUUAACAGCACCUUGCGUCCUUGGGUAAGCUGAGUCCUAGUAUCAAGUAAAGAGACCAAUCAGUACAUAUCCAAAAGAUCUUAAAUGCUUGUAAUACCAAAUAAGAAAGAAACAUGAGUAUAUCUUGAGUUAACCAUGCAAAAAUGUAAUGUUAAGGCAUCUUGUCAUACAGACCUCUUCAAGGUACCAGAAAUUUUUGCACUAAAGAUGUCACAAGCGGCUGAUAUGAAGCUGCAUUUUCUGUGAGUUGAGAUUUUGUCAAUAUAAUCGAUCACCUGAAGAGAGAGAGAGAGAGAGAGAGAGAGAGAGAGAGAAAGACAGUGAUAUCCAGAGAUGUGAGCCUAAAGGCUGAGUGUGUAAAAAAUAAGAUUAAAUGGAUAGCAAGAAUAUACAACUUUAAUGCCGAAAAGAACAUUAUAUGAUGCUCAUUCAUCAUUGCCAUUGAACGUGUACCUUCUUCUUUUCCUCUUUCUCAAAAGGAAGUAGACCCUUGAAGACUUGCCUAUAUGAUCCAUCAUCACAACCAGGCAAAGUCAUUUUAAUCAUAGCAACAAUGGCUCUAACUACCUGCCAUAAGAAACAUGCUACAUCAACAAGAUCACAGAGUGUACCAGAAACCGUAAUGUAGCAAAAUCUUAGAUAGAAUAGCUGGCCAAAAGGGAAUGGAAAAGCAAGCACAAAAAACAAUGAAAAGGACCAGUGAUGCCAAAAUUCAGGUGUUUAUAACUUUAAGUUCUACGUAGCAAAAACCACCUUAUGCACAACAAUAUUGGAAAAAUUAGAUACAUACAACUGAGAAGAUAGGUUUUCAUAAUCUGGACAAGUGCUAACUACCUUCUUCCUAUAAACUGCCACUCCAUGAACAUUAAAUGGUAUUUUCGUUUCACGCAAGGCUGUCUGGAAGACUUUUCCUGAUACCUGUAGUAUAAAAUACAAAAGAAAAUGUGACCAAAAUGUCUUAUAUGAUUCACCUCAUUCACAUUAGCACUAGGGCAAGCAAGCUUGACCUGCCUCCGGUAAAGGAUUGCUAUAUUUCCAUAGGAGCACCCUGCUUCUGACAGUUAGAUGCAGUCUCCAGGAUCUUGUCGACAACAAAGGCGCAUUAUGCAUCCUCAUUGUGACUUUCCUUGAUAAUUACCUACAUUUUGCCAGUAAAACCAGUGUCACUAACUAAAAAGACUGAAAAAUGACAUCAAAUUGUACUUGUUGGAGCAAGGAAAGAUUAGGUACAUUAGACCCAGAAGAAUUGUCGGUGUCAACAUUCUUUAGUUGGCAUCACUUCUUAUUGUUUUUUAUAACAGAAGAUGCAGCUUCCACAAUAUAGCGUGUGGACCGAUAGUUUUUAUUAAGCCUAAUCUGAACCAUAAAGUUAUGUCAAAUCCCACAGAACCCCAUAAAAUAAAACUUACUUUCCUGUAAUUAUACAAUAUAUUUGUUCUAUACUAUAUAUAAUGAAAAAAGACACUGAAUGACAUAAGAUAAACAUAGCAGUUAAGUGCGAAGGAACCUCUUUGUAAUUUGAAAAAUCUUUACAAAAAGAAUCAAAUCCAGAACUGUCCGCCCCGUUGAAACUGAAAAUGGACUGCAGCAGGAUAUAUGUUAUUUGAUUUAGAACAGAUAAGGGCUGGAUUAGAAUGAGCUGAGAGAGAGAGAGAGGGAGAGAGGGAGCAAUAAGAUUGGAUUUCCAUAAUAAAUCAACAACAUGCCUGAUCAUCAUCACCAACAAUGGUUAUGUGGUUAUGAGAGGCGAGAAUCCGCAAAAGACUAUACUGCAUAGCACUUGUGUCUUGAAACUCGUCUAUUACAAUAGCUUUCCAUGACUCCUGGCACUCCUCCGACACUAAUUAAGAGAACACCAUGUAUCAACAUUUAGCAUUACUUGUAAAACUAGAUAAAUCAAUUUAAUAUACUUAGAUGAUAGAGACCUUCAGGAAAAUCACUUAGCAGCUAAUUAAGUCAUGGUAGUCCAAAGCGUUGCACGAUUCCUAAGAAUUUCACCCUGAUUCAGAUUGAGAUCUAAAACUCAUAAGCAAUAGUUUCAGAGAACUGAAAUGAUAACUGAAAUUCUAGAACUGAAAUGAUAACUGAACAACAACAAAAACAACAACAAAGCCUUUUCCCACUAAGUGGGGUCGGCUAUAUGAAUCCUAGAACGCCAUUGCGCUCGGUUUUGUGUCAUGUCCUCCGUUAGAUCCAAGUACUCUAAGUCUUUUCUUAGAGUCUCUUCCAAAGUUUUCCUAGGUCUUCCUCUACCCCUUCGGCCUUGAACCUCUGUCCCGUAGUCACAUCUUCGAACCGGAGCGUCAGUAGGCCUUCUUUGCACAUGUCCAAAUCACCGGAACCGAUUUUCUCUCAUCUUUCCUUCAAUUUCGGCUACUACUACUUUACCUCGGAUAUCCUCAUUCCCAAUCUUAUCCUUUCUCGUGUGCCCACACAUCCCACGAAGCAUCCUCAUCUCCGCUACACCCAUUUUGUGUACGUGUUGAUGCUUCACCGCCCAACAUUCUGUGCCAUACAACAUCGCUGGCCUUAUUGCCGUCCUAUAAAAUUUUCCCUUGAGCUUCAGUGGCCUACGACGGUCACACAACACGCCGGAUGCACUCUUACACUUCAUCCAUCCAGCUUGUACUCUAUGGUUGAGAUCUCCAUUUAAUUCUCCGUUCUCUUGCAAGAUAGAUCCUAGGUAGCGGAAACGGUCGCUUUUUGUGAUCUUCGCUAGAUUGCUCCGGUCAUUAGUGUGGAAUGGAUAGUGAUAGGAAAGCAAACACAAGAUGUACGUGGUUCACCCAGAUUGGCUACGUCCACGGAAUAGAGUUCUCAUUAAUUGUGGAGGGUUUACACAAGUACAUAGGUUCAAGCUCUCCUUUAGUGAGUACAAGUGAAUAAUUUAGUACAAAUGACAUUAGGAAAUAUUGUGGGAGAAUGAUCUCGUAAUCACGAAACUUCUAAGUAUCGGAGUGUGGUAUCGUCUUGACUCGCCUUAUCUGUCUCAUAGGUAGAUGUGGCAUCUUCUCUGGAAGUACUCUUCCUCCAUCCAGAGGUGGUAUCUUUAACUGGUGGAGAUGCAGAAGGUAAUGUAUCAAUUUCACUUGAAGCUUACUUGUAGUUUCAGGCUUGGUCAAGCGCGAUACAAACCAUGUAGUAGGAGUCCCCCAAGUCGCCGAGCUAGGGGAUCUGCUGAAAGAGGUGACAGACAAGGUAAGCAAUCAGAGCUCCGGCUGAUUGUUCACAUUCUCCCUAUCUUGCAGGCAGCAUGAAGGAUAAAGAGAAGAAAAAUGAGAAAAGAUGAUAUGGGAUACUUUUGCUUUUGAAGAAGUAACUUUCCACAGGCUUAUUCUUGAACUGAGCUGGAGGGUUUUCUGGUUUCCUCCAGAGUAUAAGGCCGACUGAAGAAUUUGAGGGUCAAAACAAGUCCAUCAAAUCUAGAGUACGUUCGACCCUGCUGAUAUAGGAUACUUUUGCUUUUGACAGAGUAAUGGAUGUAUCGGCACGUGUGCUGUUACGCUUGUCUCCACAUGCUUCCUUGUAUCCUUCUCACUUGCCCUAUCUGUUCCUCAGGCAGAUGCGAUAUCUUCCCUGGAAGCAUAAGAUGUUGAAGAUGAGUACUCGAGAGCAAUGCCAGGUAAGUAAUCAGGUAAGGGGUUCCAGGCAAUCAGUUCCUAGCUGGAAGCUUGAUUCCAAGUGCUGAUUGAUUGCUCUCUUUCUCCUUGUCUUGCAGGUAAGAACAAGGUCAAAGGAAAAGACAGGGAAAAAGCAUGAUAUGGGAUACUCUUGCUUUUUAACCCUGAUGAUAUGAGAUAUUCUUGCUCUAGUAUAGCUUGUUUGCAGAGGUAUUAUCGGGGGGAAAGAAAGCUGAAUAUUUCGAAAGGCUUCGUUGGGAAUGCCCUCUCAGAUAUGAGGAAGGGUUGAGCAUUUUUGCAGGUCUGCCUGUCCGUUGGGGAUGGAGGUCGACAUAUAUAGGAGUCUCCCUAACAACAAGUAGUAAUGCUAUUCCUUUAACCUGCUUGGUCAUAGCACGGUAGUUGGAGCUGCCAGCUUCACAUGUUUUAACUUUGUCAGAGCACUUUGAAAAAGUUGUCUGUGGUAUCUGGAAAGCUGAUGUUGCAUGUGAAGAUUACAGACAAGCUUUAUCCAAGGAGAUCCGGCUCUUGAAGUUGGGAAAAUUGUGCCUCUUCGGUUUUCGAACAAGCAAUCCUAUCGGGGAUCUGGCUCUCGAGAUUCGGAGAACGAUGUCACUUCGAUUUUUGAGAAAGCAAUCAUGCUGGGGGUCUGGCUCUCGAGAUUCGAAGAGCGGUCUCUUCGAUUUUUGAGAAAGUAAUCAUGUUGGGAGUCUGGCUCUCGAGAUUCGGAGGACGGUGCCUCUUCGAUUUUGGAGCAAGCAAUCUUGUUGGGAGUGUUUUCUCGAAUGUGAGUAAAGGUUGGGCAUGUUUGUUAGUCUACCUUGCCACGAAGCAUAGAGGUUGACACACAGGGACUUUCCAAUUAUCCAGCAAUGGUACUGUUCCUUUACCCUCUCUUCGAUUUUUGAGAAAGUAGUCAUGUUGGGAGUCUGGCUCUCGAGAUUCGGAAGACGGUGCCUGUUCGAUUUUGGAGCAAGCAAUCUUGUAAUCUUGUUGGGAGUGUUUUCUCGAAUGUGAGUAAAGGUUGGGCAUGUUUGCUAGUCUACCUUGCCACGAAGCACAGAGGUUGACACACAGGGACUUUCCAAUUAUCCAGCAGUGGUACUAUUCCUUUACCCUUGUGGGUAAUAAUAUGGUAGCUAGACCUUCAAAAUUUAUGCGUCUAAACUUUUAGUUGUGUUUUCUUUGCUAUUCUUUUACCCUUCUUGGUCAAAGCGAUGUAGUGGGAGCUGCAAGCUUCACGUGCUCAACUUUGGCAGAGAACUUUGGCAAAGUUAUCUGUGGUACCCAUGAGCUACUGUUGCGUGUGGGAAGUGGGUGAUUGAACAGUAAGAUUCAUGUGCUUUCUACUUCACCAGAAUGCCCAUAAUUUCCGCAAAGCUGAGUGUGCGUGUGACAGGUGCUGACAAGGCUGGAAAAGUAGGUGCCUCUUCGAUUUCUGAGAUCGGCCCUCAUGGUCUCUGAGCAGCCCAGCUUUUGAGAAAGCAAGUGCCUCUUCGAUUUCUGAGAUCGGCCUUCGUGGUCUUUGAGCAUCCCAACUUUUGAGAAAGAAAACGCCUCUUCGAUUUCUGAGAUCAACCCUCGUGGUCUCUGAGAGUAAAGGUUGGACAAGUUUGCUAGUCUACCUUGCCAUGAAGCACAGAGGUUGACACACAGGGAAUUUCCAAUUAUCCAGCAAUGGUACUGUUCCUUUACCCUUAUGGGUAAUAAUAUGGUAGCUAGACCUUCAAAAUUUAUGUGUCUAAACUUUGUUAGUGCUGUUUCUUUGCUAUUCUUUUACCCUUCUUGGUCAGAACGAUGUAGUGGGAGCUGCAAGCUUCACGUGCUCAACUUUGGCAGAGAACUUUGGCAAAGUUAUCUGUGGUACCCAUGCGCUACUGUUGCGUGUGGGAAGUGGGUGAUUGAACAGUAAGAUUCAUGUGCUUUCUACUUCACCAGAAGUCUUCGACAAAAUGCCCAUAAUUUCCACAAAGCUGAGUGUGCGUGUAAUAGGUGCUGACAAGGCUGGAAAAGUAGGUGCCUCUUCGAUUUCUGAGAUCGGCCCUCGUGGUCUCUGAGCAGCCCAUCUUUUGAGAAAGCAAGCGUCUCUUUGAUUUCUGAGAUCGGCCUUCGUGGUCUUUGAACAGCCCAGCUUUUGAGAAAGCAAACUUCUCUUCGAUUUCUGAGAUCAACCCUCGUGGUCUCUGAGCAGCUCAGCUUUUGAGAAAGCAAACGCCUCUUCGAUUUUUGAGCAGACGCCUCUUCGAUUUCUGAAGCUCCGUCGAGUGCAGAUUUUUAUAGGGGCUGACAUUAAGUUCCAAAGCACACUUGAAUCUCCACCAGUAGAAGCUCCAUUCUUGCACUUCUAAGAUCUUGAUUUGUCCGACCUCUUCUCUCUUCAACACCUUUGAAAAUGUCUAGCCCCUCCGACCGUCGUUUUGACUUGAACCUUGUUGAAGAGGCAGCCCCGCCUUCUCCAGACAACAUAUGGCGCCCAUCCUUCGUCUCCCCUACUGGUCCUCUUACCGUUGGGGAUUCCGUGAUAAAGAAUAAUAUGACCGCUGCGGUGGUGGCCAGGAACCUUCUCACUCCCAAAGAUAACAGACUACUUUCCAAACGAUCUGAUGAGUUAGCUGUUAAGGAUUCUCUGGCUCUCAGUGUUCAGUGUGCAGGUUCUGUGUCUAAUAUGGCCCAACGCCUAUUUGCUCGAACCCGUUAAGUUGAAUCAUUGGCGGCUGAAGUGAUGAGUCUCAAACAGGAGAUUAGAGGGCUCAAGCAUGAGAAUAAACAGUUGCACCGGCUCGCACAUGACUAUGCUACAAACAUGAAGAGGAAGCUUGACCAGAUGAAGGAAUCUGAUGGUCAGGUUUUACUUGAUCAUCAAAGAUUUGUGGGUUUGUUCCAAAGGCAUUUAUUGCCUUCGUCUUCUGGGGCGGUACCGCGUAAUGAAGCUCCAAAUGAUCAACCUCUGAUGCCUCCUCCUUCUAGGGUUCUAUCCAGUACUGAGGCUCCGAAUGAUCCCCCUCCGGUGCCUUCUCUUUCUGGGGCUCUACCGACUGCGAGACUUGUCCUAAGCAACCUUUGUGAAGGCUCCCUCUAGUUUGUUUAUUUUGACUCAUGUAUAUGUACAUAUUUGUAGCCUAUCAGGGAUAUCAAUAAAUAAGUUUUCCUUCAUUUCAACAUAUUGUGUUAAAUACACCAAAGCCUUCUUCGCUAAGUUCUUUGAAUUUUCUUUUGUUGAAGCUUGUAUGUUGAAGCUUUGUGAGUGGAGCAUGUAGGUUGAGGUAGUGUUCCUUUAAUUUCCCGAGUGAGGAAAACUUCUCGGUUGGAGACUUGAAAAAUCCAAGUCACUGAGUGGGAUCGGCUAUAUGAAUCUUAGAACGCCAUUGUGCUCGGUCCCGUGUCAUGUCCUUCGUUAGAUCCAAGUACUCUUAAGUCUUUUCUUAGAGUCUCUUCCAAAGUUUUCCUAGGUCUUCCUCUACCACUUCGGCCCUGAACCUCUGUCCCAUAGUCGCAUCUUCUAAUCGGAGCGUCAGUAGGCCUUCUUUGCACAUGUCCAAACCACCAUAACCGAUUUUCUCUCAUCUUUCCUUCAAUUUCGGCUACUCCUACUUUACCCCGGAUAUCCUCAUUCCUAAUCUUAUCCUUUCUCGUGUGCUCACACAUCCAACGAAGCAUCCUCAUCUCCGCUACACCCAUUUUGUGUACGUGUUGAUGUUUCACCGCCCAACAUUCUGUGCCAUACAGCAUCGCCGGCCUUAUUGCAGUCCUAUAAAAUUUUCCCUUGAGCUUCAGUGGCAUACGGCGGUCACAUAACACGCCGAAUGCACUCUUCCACUUCAUCCAUCCAGCUUGUAUUCUAUGGUUGAUAUCUCCAUCUAAUUCUCCGUUCUUUUGCAAGAUAGAUCCUAGGUAACGAAAACGAUCGCUCUUUGGUAUUUCUUGAUCUCCGAUCCUCACCCCUAACUCGUUUUGGCCUCCAUUUGCACUGAACUUGCACUCCAUAUAUUCUGUCUUUGAUCGGCUUAGGCGAAGACCUUUAGAUUCCAACGCUUCUCUCCAAAGGUUAAGCUUUGCAUUUACCCCUUCCUGAGUUUCAUCUAUCAACACUAUAUCGUCUGCGAAAAGCAUACACCAAAGAAUAUCAUCUUGAAUAUGUCCUGUUAACUCAUCCAUUACCAACGCAAAAAGGUAAGGACUUAAGGAUGAGCCUUGAUGUAAUCCUACAGUUAUGGGAAAGCUUUCGGUUUGUCUUUCAUGAGUUCUUACAGCAGUCUUUGCUCCUUCAUACAUAUCUUUUAUAGCUUGGAUAUAUGCUACUCGUACUCCUUUCUUCUCUAAAAUCCUCCAAAGAAUGUCUCUUGGGACCCUAUCAUACGCUUUUUCCAAAUCUAUAAAGACCAUGUGUAAAUCCUUUUUCCCAUCUCUAUAUCUUUCCAUCAAUCUUCGUAAGAGAUAGAUUGCCUCCAUGGUUGAGCGCCCUGGCAUGAACCCGAAUUGGUUGUCCGAAACCCGUGUCUCUUGCCUCAAUCUAUGCUCAAUGACUCUCUCUCAGAGCUUCAUUGUAUGACUCAUUAACUUAAUACCCCUAUAGUUCAUGUAAUUUUGUACGUCGCCCUUAUUCUUGUAGAUAGGCACCAAAAUGCUCGUUCGCCACUCAUUUGGCAUCUUCUUCGUUUUCAAAAUCCUAUUGAAAAGGUCAGUGAGCCAUGUUAUACCUGUCUCUUCCAAAACUUUCCACACUUCGAUUGGUAUAUCGUUUGGGCCUAUUGCUUUUCUAUGUUUCAUCUUCUUCAAAGCUACAACUACUUGGAAAAAGCGUAUCAUACGCUCCCAAACAACUUUGAGUGGAAUCGUUCGAAAAGAAGUUUCUAUGGCCCCCUUGCUCAUUUAACACUGCAUCCGGAUGCUGAUGGAGAUACAGCGACCCUUGCUCACUUAUCACUGUGCUCGGGCCACACAGCGCGCCACUUACGGGUGACGCCCUAGAUUUAGCGCGAUUUCGUUCUGGAUUCAUUUUCAUAAGGAUUCGACGUGAUCAUGGAGUGCCGGCUGUCGACUACCUGACGCCCUCCCCCUCCUCCUUUAUCCGGGCUUGGGACCGGCAAUGUAAGAACAUAGGCGGAGUUAACUGAAAUGAUAACUGAAACAUAAAUAAAUUUAGAAUUCAAGACUAACCUGUGUAGCUAAUAUAUUCUAGCUUGAUUGUAGCUAAUAUUUUUUAAAUCGAAUGAAUGUUGUUCUUAAUCCACUAUAAUCUGAACAUUAAAUUUGGUAUUCAUGACUAACCUGUGUCACGAACUUUAGCCAUUUCUUUGAUGGAUCCUUAAAAUGAUGUGGAGAUGUUACGCCAUUACUCUUCCCCAUCUAUAGCAACAUUAAGAUUCGUUUUACUCUUUUCAUCUUCUGAUAACCGCACAGCUUCAAUGACUGCUCUUCUCUGUUGCCCAUGUCCAUAUAUAAAAAAUUCUGGUGUGCGCUCAAGUCUAAAACACAAGCCAACAUAACAGACUCAGCUAUACCACCAUAGGUAUGGUGUUCAAAAUCAAGGGAGGUGAAUCAAUAGCUUACUUCUCAGCAUGUGAUCGGCAAAGUUGCAAUGAAAAUGAAUGAAAUGUACUGAUUGUUAGUAGUUUUGCCGUUCCUUUCCCAGUCACAGAUCCAAUUCGAUCUCUCAUCUCGGAAGCUGCUGCUGUAGUGAAAGUCAUUGCUAGAAUGUUAGACGCGCUCAUGCCCUAAGAACACAAAAAAAAAAGGAAUAAGAUUUCGAUCAUAAACAAGAAAUGUAGAGAAACAGACAAUUAAGAAAGAAAAAGUUAGAGGGAAAGUGGCAACACCUCAUUGAGCAGCAUUAGAACCCGCCCAACCAUCGUUGAAGUCUUUCCACUUCCAGGGCCGGCAACAAUCAUCAAAGGUACUGAAAUAUCGCUGCAAGCUGCCUCCCGCUGCCUUUCGUUGAGAGAAAGCAAAUACUUCGAAUACUCAUCCGGCAUGUUAGGCAAUCCAUGGUUAACAGAAUCUGUUUGGUUUUCACUACUCAGAGGUGGCGCUGAUGCGGCAUUAACAUCGCUACCACAACUCCCAAUAUCAUCACGCUGAAUGUCCCCACUCGGUUUCUGCUCAAUUAAAGCGUCAAUUUCCUGCAAAAUACUCUCAUCGAAAUCAUCAUCCUCGAGAAUUCCAGACGCAGAGAAAGAAUCGAAUGAAGUCGGAAACUGCGGUUGUUUGAUUGGAAUUGUGAAAGAAUCCGAUUUUGACACGCUUGAUUCAGUCCGGCUAGCGCUUAAGCUCCCGGAACACGACGCACUGCCAUAUUCAGUCCGGCUUGUAGAAAUCGGAGGCGGUGUGUUCAUCGGUAGCUCGGCAAGAGGAGUUCUGUGAACUCUAUUGAGCUGAGCUGGCGUUUGGAUUCCAUUUCCGCCACAAAUUCUGGAAUUUGAAAAACACAAUUGAAUUGAUUUAAAUUGAAUCAAGAAAACAGCCGAGUACCAAAAAAGUAGUAAGAAGAUGAAAUCUUUGAUUCCUGAACGACUUACUUGGUAUGAGGGAGGUGAUGAUCAGUCAAAACGGCGUCGUUGCGGGGGCGUUUGCGAUCAAUGAGGGCCUUGGCGGCUCUGAAAUUCCCAGAGAUGCGGUUUCUUUUGAUAGGAUCACAGAUCUCAGGACCCUAUUCAACCUACAAGCAGCAAUAGAAAUGACAAAUGGAGAAGACGAAGUAGAAGGGAGCAGGGCUCCAAUAUAUUUUUUUGGUUUUGUAUUUCUGUUUGUAAAAUCUGAUCUGCUACAUUUGAGGGAGCUGGACUCCUUUUAUACAAACUCUACUUCUUAAAAUGCCAGCUGGCAUAUUUAACAAUUCUUAACAAAUCAAUUAAAGCAUAAAACCUCAGUAAUAAUUUGGGUCAUAACAAUACUUCCCCCUUGAAGAACAACCUUGUCCUCAAGGUUGAAAGUUGAAAAACUUAUUUGAACGAGUAGAAACUAGGAGUCUUGCAACAGAAGGGAAGCUGCAGGGACUGCAAAUACAAUCUGCAUGUAGCUCUCAACUUUUGGAGAUGAGCCUGACAGCACCCCUGUACUUGUUAUGGCAGCUCCCCACAACUUGGUAAGUGAGCACUUGUUACCCGUAGCCUCUUCAUAAAUUUCAACCCACGAUAUCAUUUCAACUUCCAUGCUAGUUGCCAAAAAGCAUGCAGCAUCAAAUGGAGAAAAUGGGCCAACUCCCAGGGAACCUGCCAGAGGAUCAUUCUCAACGAAUGCAGCUACUAAAGCAAUUGGACCCUUGCCAAGAAUUAUAACCUUAGAGAUGGUUAUGAGCCUGAUAUCCUCAAAAGCAAGACGAGCGGUCUGAUUGAUAAGAGACUGCCUAAGAUUAACUAUCCUCUUCUUAGGUCCAACACACCAUUCCUUGCUCCGAAUGUAGCCAUCCUUCAUCACACCAAACCGAGGGAAGCCACCCAUGGGAGUGAUGUCUUUCUCAGUCAUCUUCCCCUCAUGGAGGCACAUUUCAUAGUUUUUUUCAGUGAAACUAGGACCACCUAAUGUCGGAUUGUCAAAAAACUCCUGAAAUAAGCUGAUGGAUGGGAGCAGUCUAUAUUGGAUAUUGAAACUUGCAAUUCUUUCUGAAUCAUUGAAAUCACUGUACUUUAAACUGUCAUUAGCAACACCGAUAUUAUGCAUGGAAGAUUUAAAGGACCUGAGCAAACCCAAAGCUUCAACCAUGUCCUUCAUCACCUCUGUUAAGGUGUACAAUUGGCAUUUGAAUUCAUAUGAUGGCUCAAUAGUAUCAAGUUCCAAAAAUUUAAACAACUCAUUUUGCCAACUUACACUCACGGUAAGACAAACAUGCAAAAACCAUGCAAAGACAAAUAUGUUGGACAUCCUUUCUGAAGAACAGGCAAAGAAAUAACACCAACAGCAACCAAAUGAAAUAACACCAGCAGCAACCAAUACAUUGAUGUGUACCAUAUUGUCUAACAAAAUUACUUUAAGCUGAUGACUGACUUUGCAGAUACGUCCAUAAUCGUACAACCAUGCAUAAACACUAGCACCAUCAAAUCUUAGAUUUGGCCUGAAUACUAUUACCUCUUCACUACCAAAAGUGAGCAUCUGAAUACGUCUGCCGGUUUUCUUAUGAUGCAACUCCAGCUCUACCAACAUCCAUCUUUUACCAAUCACAUAAGAGAAAACAUAAUGACUUACACAAUGUUGCUCAGGUACAGUCAUAUAUGGUGUUGUCCGAGAUUUCCAUUGCUCCUUGAAAUGCAUUCCAUAAACCAAGAAAAAUAAGAUUGAAGUAGUAGUUGUUCCAUCCUCCUUGAAAGAGAUGAGAAUGCAGGGCCUCUCCAUCAACCAUAUUGUAUAAUUCCUCUGAUUGAAGACAACCCUUUGAGAAGAUAUAUUGUCACAAGGAUUAGUGAGAGUGUGACACCAACCCGGUUGCUGGAAAAUCUGGUCAUUCGCUACGCAAUUAGGAAAGAAAACAGUAUCGAGGUGUACAUCAACACUAUUACAUAAUUCCGGAUUCAAUUUCGAUAACAAGCUGGUGAGAAUAGAAUAGUCAAGCUGGGAAAUGGCCAUGACUGUUAAUGCACAUCUGUGUAACAGUGAUAAGCAGAGGAACUGCUUGAUAGCAUUGAUAUAACCCAAAGUCCCAUUCUCCUCAGUCAAACUAGCUGCAAGAUCUUUAGGCAAAGAACGACAAACAAGUACAACAAUAUCCAAAGCUUCCAGGUUGCUACUCAAUGACAUAUUCUCCAUAUUAUGCCUCUUAGACAUUUCAUCAAAUAGAUGCAAUGCAUAGAAAUUCUUCUUCACAAAUUUACCCACAAGGUACCAAUUAACCCAGCCAUACUUAGCAUUCAAAAAAACAUGAUAUACAAUCGCAUUAUGACCAGUAUAGCAUGCAAUUACACCAUACAAAAGCAAUACCUCAUGUCCACGUACCAUUCCUAACUCCCAUAGCCCACUAGGUAGCUGAUACCAAACAUGAAGUUUCUUCUUGAUGAAAUAUCCAAUGUUGUCAUCGUAAACCGACUGUGUAAUCUUCUCUCCCAGUCUCAUUCGACAAUCUUCCAGUGGCCUAAUUUUGGAGCCUCCACCCUUAUCCCGAAUGCCAUUGCAGUAGCACAUGUCACGAUUGAGAACAACAUAGCCACUUGAGUCUGGAAUUUCAUCAAACAGGUUCCAUGCACAAAAAUCCUCAGGUCCAUUUUUCGUAGUAUCAGAGAACGAGUGCUUAUGGAGUAGCCGCGGAGCAGAGGUCAUCGUCUUCGAUCCCGGAAGCAAAAUUGUAGCUGCAUCAGAGUUGUUCGAGUGUGGCUUCACGGGCGGAGUUGCCAGUGCUUGCAACAACGGUGAAGAUGAGAGUAACGGCGGAACGGAAUGGACUUCAAUUGGCGAUGGAAUUCUCGGUGGAUUGUCGUCUCCUUGAAGUCCGGGAUGAUCGAGAUUGAUUGAUUGAAUCGUUGGGGUAGGAUCGGAAACUUCCCCGACACCAAGAGUCAAGUGAUGGCGGAACAGAGCAAGGUCACGGCGGACUGCGGCGGCUAUUGAAUCUAUAGCCUUGUGGAAAGCCUCCUCCGUACGCCUGAAUGUUUUCCUUGGACAUUGCUUCGAAGAUUCCGACGGAAGAUUUGGCCUGACAGCCUGACCAGGCAACCCUAGAAAGAAGAAGGAGCGAAGAAGACCAAAUGUGUCCGUUUUUCCUUUGGUUUUUUUCCCUCCUAAUCGAGUUGUUCGAAAUAAUUGGGCCUGGGCCUAGUGGGCCCAAUUGUCAGGCCCAUUAUCUCCUGUCUUCUAGUUCUACUUCCAAUUUCCCAAGUUAACAACGUACUGGUUCGCUUUUAGCGCGAGAGAGAAAUGGAGGCCCUGAUUGCCUCGUACGGAGACUCGUCGUCGGACUCAGACUCCGAGUCGCCGGCUCCACCUCCACCGCCACCUCCGGAGCUCAAAAACUCUCAAGAAUCGACCACUGCGCUGCCUCCACCUCCUCUGUCACUUCUCGACAGCCCAAUUCCUUCGGUAACCUCUGAUUCCCAUAAAUAUUCUAUCUUUUAACUUUCUGUUGUGAUGGCUUUUUCCGAGUUGCCCACCAAGUGUUUGAUGUUUUGCCUCUAAAGGAUUUCUGGACUUCUCCCCAAGCGCCCAGCCGAGCAGAGUUCGGAACUUUCCUCACGUCGAAGGGAACUACGCAGUACAUGUAUACAUCCCAGGUAAUCAAAAUUCUCGAAAUUUUCAGCUCCAUUAGCAAAUGCGAUCCCUUUGCACUUAGAUUUUGCUUGUUUAAUUGUGUGGUUCCAGUUUAUAUACCACCAGCACCAAGGAAAGAGAUGGCCUUGUUUUUGAACAAGCUUGCUUCUCUGGUGCCUGGUCUCCACGCCGUUGACGUUGACGUCCCGCUUGACAUUCUGCGUAAGGACGAGCAUAAGCUUGAACAAGUUGCUUUAGGCAGAGAGUUCCAUAUAAGUCUCGGAAGAACUGUUCCGAUUCGGGUGCACCAGAUUAAUUCCUUGGUGACAAUGCUGCGGCAGAAGCUUCAGAUUCAGAGGCGGUAUGGUUGCAUUUACCUUCUCUUGUGUGCAUUGCGUGAAUUUAGUUCUGUUAUUUAACAUAAUUGUUUAAGCCUGCAGAUAUUUUGUCCAUUUUUGGUUUUUAACACAUUUGGUUAUUGUGGAACAGGUAUUGGAUUGAUUUUUGCAAGUAGGAGGUUUUUGUUAACGAUGAUCAGACCCGGACCUUUGUGUCGAUCGAAGUCAUUGCUGCUGGGUUAGCUGAGGUAUGAUUGCUAGCUUUCUCUCUUGGUGCAAUUCAAAAUGUUUUGAGUUGUUUAUGGACUUAAGAUUUAGCAAGUACUUGCCGAAGGUCAUGGGAUUUUGAAAUAUCGAUAUCUUGCUUAUAGAUUGUUUGGUCUUCGAUGCACUUGUUACCUGAAAAGUAAAAAUGUAAAAGAUCAUGAAAAGUCCAAACGAAACAUAAUGGAUGUAUGAUAUGCUCAUGCUUCUAACAUGUGUUGUCCUGGCAUAAAUUAUGUUCCAAAUACCGUCAUUUGCGUGUAAGCCUAUGAACUUAGAGCACGUUUGGUAUGCCGGGUAAGAUUGGAUUUGGUAUUUCAGACUGCUUAGGUUAGGAUUGGAUUGGGUAGGUUAGGUUUUUUGUCUAAUGUUUGGUGUAGACUGUCGCAACAACGCUCGUGAGCCUCCACAUCCAUUGCAAUCUUGCACCACUCUGAUGUCCUGGAGGAGCGAAACAUGGUUACUUGAAGCAUACCUGUUUUCGUAUUAAUACAUGGUUGAAUCAGCUUUCAUUGUCAAUCAGUCUGUAAUAUUUCAACUUCCAUUGAUUUCAGAUAACAAAGCAGAUUCAAGCUGUCAAUGAGGUGUAUAUGCUUCACAAUCUUCCUGAAUUUUACAAGGUUAGCAUUUCGUGUUUUUCAAACUUGAAUCACUUCCUGAACAUAUGACAAUAUAUUGGAGCAAAUGGUUGUGCAUGAAUACUACUCAUUGCUCAGAGGGUGUUGCUGAUCACAGGAUCCGCGUCCUCAUAUUUCGGUAGCUUAGGCAUUGGGUGACAUCAGCAAUUCCCUGAAGAAAGUGGUUGAAGAAGAAAGACGAAGAUCUACCAUCGGAGGAUCGUUACAGAAAUGUAUUUUUACCAGUAAAUUCAAUGGUAUCGAAUGUAGGAUUGGUAAUAAAACACACAAAAUAUGUAAAUUUUCUGAAGAAUAAUGUAGCCAUUUAACUAUAUUGUGAAAUUCCGAGAAUAUAUCGCUGAGCAUUGGAUGAGAAGACAUUUCUUCGUUGGUGUCGAACUUCAUGUUGAAGGUAUUGACACCAGUGUAAACGCCAUCAUCCAUGUUGAUGGUAAUUACUUCCCAGCUACUAAGGGUGUCGGAACAACCUUGCACGCAGCCUCCUGUGCAUUACUUAGUAUUGUCUCAGUUUCUCCAAACUUGAAUGCUCCUGUAAACCCACUUUUGACCUUUCCGUCAUCUGUGAUUACCGGAAUGCUGGCUAGGAUGUUGCCGUUGACCUCCCAAACUUAAAAUACCGGAAAGCCGGCUCCAAUGUAUGCGAGAGCUCCACCUCUAUUGUUGUAACAGCAUCUGAUGCGUACUAGUCCUUUAUUCCCGUUACUCUUUGCCAUCUCCACUUGGAACUUGGCGUAAUGGCUCCCGGCCUCCUCUCCGGUGAAAUUGAGCAACCCCGGAGCUGGCGUGCCAUCAAGAUUUCCGUCAUGUCUGUAGCGAAAGUAUUCGCUGUUGUGGUUUGGUUUCACCACUAUAAAUCUUGGCAGAGUUGGCAUUUUCAUUUCUGUUGUCUGUAUAUCUUGAUAUUACAAGUAUUUGUUGUGCAAUAUGCAUGCUAUGUUCAUGUUAUGCGUAUAUACAUAUAUAAGUGUUUUAACACUUUGCAAACGUUUUCUCCAAAAUUUUGAUUUUGGUGGUGUUCUAACUUUUGUGAAUGCUAAUAACAAUUCCCUCAUUAACUGUUAGGACGAGCAACAAAACAGUUUUGAUUCUGUGCACAAAGGCGAUCCCUCGUAAGAAAUUGAUUCUUCAACAGAAAGAUGUUUUAAAACAAAUUUGAAGGGAAGGAAAUAUUUGAAUCGCAUUCAGAUGUCUGGUCAAAUUCUUGAACAGUUGAUAUACACAGAAGUUCCUUGUUUAUGUCACUACUUAUGAGAGGAUGUACGCAUUGCAUUCGCAUCAAAAGAGAGAGAGAGAGAGAGAGAGAGAGAGAGAGAGAGAGAGAGAGAGAGAGAGAGAGAGAGAGAGAGAGAAGGUUGUCAGUGGUAAGGGAACGAAUAACGAUGGCGUUGCGCUUCUAAUCAAAGGGGUCGAUCCGAGGGUCGUGUUCACUUGCCAUCGCCAUUCCAGUGCAAAGGCAUGUAGGGCACAUUACCUGCCACAUUAAAAACGCGAUGUUAGAUAUACUCGCCAUUUGGAAGUCAACCCUCAAAAUUUGCUACUAAAUUAUCUUAAACUCCAUUUCCAGUCAAUUUUUUUUCUUCCGAAAUGUCUUUCACGUGCUUAGGGAUAGGCAAAUACCCAUUGGUUAUAGGUAAUCGCGGUUACUCGCCCAUUUAAAUUAAACAGUUACGGUUAUGGCUAACUGUUUAGAUAAAUAAACGGUUAUGGGUAUAACCGUUUACCCGUAAAAUUUAAAUGGAUGGUUAUGAGUAUUAACCAUGGUUAUAAACGAGUAACCGUUUACCCAUUUAUUUUAUAUAUGUAAAGCUAACACAAAUCAUGUUCUCCAUCCAAUAAUACUUAGCACCCAAUAAAUUAGCAAGGAAUUCAUCGAUCAUUCUCUCAAUAACACUACUACAUGAAUGAUGAUUCCCAUCAUCAAGGAAUUUGCCAAAUUAAUUUAAAUUCCUUGUGGGUAACCGUGAAAUUGACAGAAAUACUUUAACAAAAAUGUCUUCUAAACAAUUUUUGUAACCCAAUAAUACUUAGCAAAUAUUAUAUUUACCUUCAUUGGUAACAGUUAAAAAUAUCGUCCGUAAACUAUUAUUUCAAUUAUUGGAAUGGUAUAAAGACUUAAAAAAUUAAAAUAUAAAAAUGUAUGACGAAUGUACCUAUAACGGUGUUUAAUUGUCAAAAAAAAAAUUAUGACAAUUUUUUUUAAUUUUCAAGUUGUUAAAAAACAUGUAGACUGGUGAAAAAAAGGUAAUGGUAAAAAGAAAAGAUAAACGGAUUAAAAAUGAUAAAUGGUAUACGGGUAUUAAAUUGUUACGGUUAAAUGGCUAUGCGGUUAUGGGUAUGGUUAACCGUUUAUAAAUGGUUAUGAGUAUGAGUAUAACCAUUUAGGCAAUUACCCAACGGGUAAACGGUUAUGUAGGUAUGAGCAUAAACGGUUAUGGGUAAAUUAACCGCGGUUACCCGCCCGCAUAACCAUCCCUACACGUGCUCGACAAACACAACAGUCACCAAUCAUGUGAAUCAGCUAUUCCUCAAUGUAUAUGAUGAAACAAGUGCAUCCCAGAGGCAGGCACGAAGAGGAAUUUACUAUGCAAUAAACAUUCAAUGGGUACAAUUUUAUGUCUAACCUUUCCCGCUCCUGAGCAAUUUGAACAUCUUUCAGUUUUUGGCAGUGAAAGGGGCUGGUUUCCGCCAUCAACUGUUGAAAUUGGUUCGGUAAGAACAAGGGUUCCAGUGCUGGAGCAACGAGCACAAGCAAGAUAUCCUGCAUAAGUAUCAAAUACACCGGUUAGUUGACAUAUGAAGGAUUGGUUUGGUAUUGCUGUGCUUUGAAAAAAAAACUGCUGUGAGAAUAAGCGGCUGUGCUGUGAAAAUAAGCGGCUGUGAAAUAAAUCAGCAGAGUGUUUGGUAAACUUUUUUGUAAAAGUGUUUUUGGAAAAAAAAAAGUCUAAUAGUGGGUCUUUUCAUUAAAGAAACACUGUAGCUCCAUGUGCUUUGAAAAAAACCAGUUUUCCAAAGCUACAAAUAGCAGCUUCAGCUUUUUCCUUUGAUUUCAGCUUAUUCUCACAGCAGCUUCCAAAAUAAGCCUUUUUUUUUUCAGUUUACCAAACACCUAAAACCCUCACAGCUUUUUUUCAUGGGUGCUUUUUUUUUAAGCACCUCACUCCCAAACUUGGUUUGGUAUUGCUGUGCUUUGAAAAAAAGCUGCUGUGAGAAUAAGCGGCUGUGAAAUAAAUCAGCUAAGUGUUUGGUAAAUUUUUUUGUAAAAGUGUUUUUGGAAAAAAACAGUCUGAUAGUGGGUCUUUUCAUUAAAGAAGCACUGUAACUCCGUGUGCUUUGAAAAAAAACCAAUUUUCCAAAGCUACAAAUAGCAGCAUCAGCUUUUUCCUUUGAUUUCAGCUUAUUCUCACAGCAGCUUCUAAAAUAAGCCUUUUUUUUUUCAGUUUACCAAACACCUAAAACUCUCAUAGUUUUUUUUCAUGAGUGCUUUUUUUUUAAGCACCUCACUCCCAAACUAGGUCAACCAAUCCAAACAUCUCCAUCGUAUAUAUUUAAAGCUACGGUACAUAUGACUAAAAGUGAGAAACAUAGGACAUUAUCACACCAGUUCCAAGACAAUAUUUGCAUCGCUUAUGCUCCUGCUGUUUCACAUUGCUUAUUUCAACUACCAUCAAUGCUGAGAUCACUCCGACUGCUCCUCCAGAGAACGAUGCCACUAUGGGAUCAACUUGACUGCAGAUUGAAAGUAUAUGAGAUCAAUAAACGAAACUGAUAACAAUGUAGUAUUAACAUUAUUUAGCUCCAUGUCAAGAUAGACAACACAUCCUAGAUUUUUCUAAUGUGUAAAAUUUGAGGACCCUCGUAAAAUUUGACCACAUCGGUUCCCAAAGUAAAAUUUAGUACCUUUGGUUCCUACAUUACAGACCGAAAAUAGUAACUACCGAAUUUAAAGUUCAUAUCAAGAUAGAGGAUACAAAAUUUCGAAACGAUAAUUGCUAGAGAACAGGAGGGUUAAUAGCCCGAGAUAUGAGCCAUACCUCAACUGCAACGGCAGAUGCAUAUUUACUAUAAAAUCUUUAUACGAUGUGCCUCCUAUUCCCAGCUUCAACUCCAACUGAAAGAUGUAAACGUAAUUGUCGGCAGAGAGUUAGAAACAUAACCGAAUCCAUGUUUUAUAAGCAGAAAGUACACUUAUUUGACAUGCUUCCUCAUUUUUUUACUUGCAAAUUCAAAACCGUAUUGUCAGACCAGUAAAAUAAAAUAAUGUUUACUAAUAACUGUUAAAACUAAUCACAACAAGUUAAUGCAUAAAGAACUUACGGAGGGUGCUAUGAGGCCACCGAAAAGGAUAAACCCCGCAAUAAUUGAAUAACAUACAGCAUAAUACUGCUUAAGGUUGUCUGAACUCUGCAAGCAAUGCAUUCACCUUGUGAUUAAUACUUUUGCACAAACACUAGUUUUCGCAAUUUUUUAUGAACCGACAAAAGGCUACAACAAAAUAUGGCUAAAACAUGUCGGGGAUAUGAAAAUACAUGUCUUCACAGGGGCAGCAGCUUACCAGGGGAGGCAAAAAUGGAAUGAAUGAUGGAAAACUUGAUCUUCAUUUACCGCUCCAAGCUCUGCGCGUUUAAUCCGUUUAAUCCGCUGUUGUAUCCUCAGCCUGCGAACCUACGCAUAUCGAAGCUCAUUCUUAAAGAACACAUUUCUAAGGGCAAUUGGAGAGUAAUUUGAAACAUGCUAAACUGAGAAAGUGGCAGCAACUAGCAAUUGCUCUCACCUCCUCCGUAUGCAAGAAAAUUUUGUUGCGCCGACUCCGAAUAUUAUCUUGAAUUUCCUGCAGCUCCAUUGUCGCAAAGUCCUGCACUGUUUCAGGCCCCUCUAUGAUACAAAAUCUGCACAAUUAAGCAUGUAACAACUAAAACUUACAGGCUACAAAGCAAUUUCCGUAUCAUUUUUGGGUUAAUUAACAUCAACAGCAGAUAAAUCACAUGAGUUUUUCACAUGAAGUUACAAACCUUCAGAGACCAGUAAGCUCUCUGCAAUCUCAUAAAUUUCACUGUGCAAAGUAACAAUCCAAAGCUUGGAACUUUAAAUUUCCAUUUUCUGUUAUUUUCCUAGAGAGAGAGGGGGGAGUACCCGGCGGGGUUUGUAUCGGCGGCGGGUUUAGGAUCAGAAUCGACAGACGGAGCGAACGAGGAGGAGUCGGGCUCCGAAGCCAUGGCCAGGGAUCGCCAUCUGGAGCUGCUUGUUGAUAUGGGGCUUCUUGCGUAGCUGAAUUUGGAGCAGCGGAAGCUAUGCAGUUUGUACGGACCGCACCGAUUUACGGGGAAAGAAACGGCCAAAAGUCUGCCGGAGCAGAGCAUCUCUCUCUCUCUCUCUCUCAAACCAGAAGGCAGAGCUUUCUGUUUCUCUUGAGGUUUCUUUCACUGGUAAAUUCCAGACAAGCAGAGAAGGCGGCUCUCUGAGAAAUGGCGAUGGUGCAAGUGGAGACAAAACAAAUGUAAAUCUUGAAGCACCGAACAUGUGCAGAACACUUGUCAACUACCGAACUCUAGGAUUAGGAGAGAGAGAGAGAGAGCGAGUGACCGGCCAAAAAAAAAUGGAGGGAAGUGGCUGAUUCUUCUUUUUAGUGGACCUGGUGUCCUUCGAUUCGAGUACUAUGUCAUAUUUAAAAUUUAGGGUUAAUUUUGUUUAAGUUUCUUAGUUUUCAACAUUUAGUACAUAAAGUUUUUUUCAUCUCAGAGUGGUACAUAAAGUCAUAAUUUUGAGACAGUCUAAUACAUCCGUUAAGGUUGCUGUUAAAUCAACCGUUAAAUAGUGACGUGGCGUCUAGGUGGAUAUUGACUGGACGACACGUAUCAUUAUGGGUCCAUGUGGAUAUUAAAAAAUUAAAAAAAAAAAAUUAAUGGGCCGUUCAACCCCUCCUCCCUCGACCCCCUCCCUUCUCUCCUCUGCACCCACCCUCCCCACGUCUGCAACCCAUCCCCACGUCGUCAUCUUCUUCUUUGCCCAGAUCCCGCAAGAAUCUUCUUCGUCGCCGACAACUCAGCCACCAUCUCCAUCUCCGCCUUCCCCUCCUCCGAACCCGACUCCUACCCACUUCCAGUUCCAAUUCACCCUCUCCCAAUUUGCCCACUUCUUGUCCGAUUUUCGCGCCACUAUUGAACCCGAGCCCGACCCACAAAGAUGCUUAGAUUCUGAAAAAGAGAUGACACAAAUGCAAGAAAUGGAAAGCAGUGUGGUUUAGAGGUUAGAAACUGAGCAAUUUUUGGAUUGCUUUUUGGUUUGAUCAAUUUAAAGAAAUGAAAUUCUGAGUCGAAUUUCUUGUUCGUUAUAUUCGAUCUCCGCUUGAGAAUUUUAAACUUAAUAAUUGCAAAUCAAGAUACAAAAUUGACAUGAAUUUCGAAUUGGGGUUUUGGGAAAUUUGAGAAGUUCUUGGCGAUUCAUAAGAAACUUCAACUCCCAAUCGUUUCUUCUCGCUCACAACCCGAGAUUAAUAAUUUUAAAGUUUGAGCUUGAAUGUUCUUUGUAAUUAAAGAACAGAUGUGCAUCCCUCUGAAUGGCAAGAGGGUGAAUAGGAAGCGAAAAUCGGUGUGUGGCAAAUCGGAGAGGGUUAGGGAAAAAGUUUAGAGUCGGGUUCGGAUGAGGGGAGGGCGGGGUUAUAUUUUUUGUCGAGGCGAAGAAGAUUCUGCGGGAUCUGGGCGAAGGAAGAUUGACAUGGAGGGUGGGUGCACAGGAGAUAAGGGAGGGGGUCAAGGGAGGAGGGUGAACGGCCCAAUUUUUUUUUUUUUUUGGGUCAUUUGGACCAUCUCACUCAUCACCUAAGACGCCACGAUCUAAUAUUAAUUCCGGUUGACUUUGUAAAUUGGAUGUAUUAAUUAACAAACAUAGAUUAGGACAUUGAUGAUUUAAAAUUUGGGGUUUUGUUCUUCAGAAAUUUGGUCGAAAUAAGAAAUUCCCUAAAAGUUCAAUUCAGAAGAGUUACUUGCCUUACAAACAUUUUUUAAAUACUUACUAAGAAAAAGAUUUUUGUGGGUGGGUACAGUAUGGGGUUUAACUCAUUGUGUUUUAGUUUAAAUCUUUUUCUCUCUUCUUUAAUAAUAUUUAGUAUAUUAUCAAUUCGUAAUAAAAAAAUUUUGAUUAAAAACUCUCAUCUAUAUUCUAGCCAAUGGAAAAAAAUGAAUAGUGAUUUUGAUGUUGCUUUAACAAAAUAUUUUUUAAAAACAAUGGACGGCUUUCAACAAAAAAUUUGAGUAAGAGGGGUUUUGCCUUAAGUAAUUUUUGAAAUUGAAUUCAUGGUGGUUUUUUGAUUUUAUUAAAUUAGUCCCUCCCAGCAAAAAUGUGAUCAAUUUCUCUAUAAAAGAAAUAUAAGAUAUAAAUGAGAUAAUAAAGGGGUCAUUAAUAAAGAGUUGAUGAUUGUUUUUUUUUUUUUACAAUUCACACUAAGGGGGAAUAAUUGAUUUCUUUGUUGGUGUUCAAAAGCUUUUAAAUUUAUCUCUUUAAAAUAGUUUUAAUAAUCUUUUAAUGUGUUUAGUUGCCAAAAUUUUAUUUUUUUAGCAAUGAUAUUAUCUCAAUUUGAUUGGGCUUAAAUUUCUCUUAUUUUUCAUUAAUUUUCAUAUUCAAAACAUCUUAAAUGUCGUAAAUGCCGAUCAAAUAACUCUUUUCUUUUUAAUUAAUUAAUCUAAAAUUAAGUAAAAAUGAAAUUAUUACAGAGAUUUUCGAAAACCAAAUUUACAUUAUUGAUUUUUUUAACCUUUUUACAAACAAUAUAUCUAGUCUUUUUGUUUUACAAAGUAAUAUUGAAUUUUUUCACAAGAAGGCUAACAUAUCACAUUCAUUGAUUCAUGAUCAAUAUUUAAAAGUCAAAAAAAUAUUAGUAACCAUUCUCUAUUUUAACACAAUGUUCCAAGAAACAAUCUAGGGAUUAUCGGAUUUAAUGACCAAGAGGUUGGAAUUUUCCCCGUAAAUAAAUGAAUUGUUAACAACAAACAUAAAAAACAAAGCAAUAAAGAAUUCAGAUAGUGAAUACCUACUAAACCAUGUGAACACAAGCAAAAUACUUCAGAAUCACAUGUUGUCGAAAAAAUACGACUAUUUCUAAUCAGAAUUACAAUAUACCACGUUUUGCCCAUCACAUAAAAUCCAAAAACUAGUUAGGGAGCUCAAAAAGGGAGCGGGUUUGGAAACCACUGAUACACGAAGUAAAGAGGUGGUACUGUUUUGGUAAAACACAAAAGGUGCGAAACAAAGUAAACAAAACGGAAGGAAGAUGUUAUAGUCAUUCUCAGCAACAAAAUUCGAGCUUGUUGUCGAAAUCACAACAGGAGACAAUUUCGAUUAACAGCCUUUCCUGCCAAACUCAAUUUCCAAAAUCCUACAUCACAUCAUAAAUCCAUUGUUUCAUUCCCACGCACAAUCCCUACCCACUGCACAGGAGAACAAUUGUUUCUGCAAAGAAAAAACAGUUAACAAAAAACGGCAUGCAUAUCGCAAAAUCGGGAUAGGAAGCAGAAGCUUUCCUUGUUUUCCUUAAACACCAAGCUCUACAUUCCAAAAAGAACAUGAAAAAAUAAAAUUAAAUAAAGAGCCUUUCCUGCUUAUUUUGAAUUAAGGCGGGGAGGUCGAGACACGGCUGGUGUAUUUUUGUUUUUUUAAUUGUCAAACUGCCCAGGACACGCUGGGCAUUUUUUUUUUUGUUUAAACCUGGGCCCAAAACGACGCGUUUGCCAUUUAAAAAAAAAUUCCUUGGGUCAUUUACCAAUUCCUUUUUUCAAAAAAAAAUAACUGGCCCAGCGCCUUCGUCUUCUACAAAGGCACAAAAGCCCAAAAACCCCGACGAACCUUCCGUUUCACAGUUGGUGUGAGCGAACGGUGGUCGCACCAGGGGUCGCACCACCAGUCCAAGGGUCUUAAAGUUGCUUCAUGCUCUCCAAGGUCCGCGACGUGGUUGCGCACCCCAAUUGAACCGCACAGGAUCCGAAUGGCUUCUUCCCAUACAUGCCAUCGAAAUUCAGCAAAAGCAAUAACCAGCGAUUUCUUCUGGAGAAUUUAAGCCACCCCAUUGGACCAACAAUUCAAUCAAAAGAAACCAGUAACCAAGUUCAAUUGAGUUUAGAAGCAUUUACAAUGUUCCCACGGAUGUUCAUCACUUUACCCAAUAGUUCGUUUCAAGAAGGAAAUUCCAGCAGAACUGAAACUUCAAAACUUCAGAAGGCACCAAAUUUUUGAAGUAAAUUCAUUUCAAGUUGAAAUAAUCAACUUAGGUGAGGACCCAUAAAAUUAGGAGGAACAUGAAAGAAAGCUUUAUCUUUUUCCUCUAAACUCAGGCGUUACUAAACAAACGGACAUUCACAUCCCCACCAGAUGCAUUUCCUUUCACAUCUUCCCAAGUAAAUCAGUACCUUCUUUCGUCUGAAUCUUAAGUCUGAAUUCUGGAAGUGAAAAUACUGGAAAAAAGUGGGCCUUUAUAAAAGAAUACCUCACGUUUUAGUCAAUGUAUCAGCGCACUAAGAGGACCAGAGGCAGGAGUGAACGACAGCAAACAAUUCAUGUAAUAUUCAGUCGAGUUUUGGGUGAUUUCUGCAGCGAUUUCGGAGGCCAAGAGCCUGAUAAGAAAGCUGGGACGGAAGGGCAGUGGUCUGGAAGAAAAGGCUCGGGUCACACUGUCGCGAUUCGCGAAGGAGAAGUGGCCCAAUACAAUUUCGGCCUGUUUGCACUGGACUGUUUUGCACAGGGCCAAGGCCGACCCUGAACCAGAUAAAGCUUCUCCAAACAGUAUAUAUCAGGUGCUAGAAAUUCUAUAGAACCAUUCAAUCUUAGAGCAACAGCUUAGCAUUAGUUGGUACAAAAAGAUUUCCGAUUAUCGCUUUUAUUUAUUCCUCCUCUGAUGUGUCCUUUUAGACUGCAACAGACGAUUUAAAGAAAUGAAAGUUAGCAGAAUAAAUGGCGCACAAAGGGAUUUAAAAUCCUGACAUGUGUAUUUUUGGCAGAUUUAUGUGAGCAUGCAACUAAAACUGGCAUCACUAUCAAUGGUGCACGAAGAUUGGCGGAAAAACGUAAAGGGAAGCAAUCACAACACAAAAUGUACGACGUAAUCUGUCCACAUGUUGGAAGGAGCUAUGAAAGUAUGGCUUUUCACUAAUCAGGCGUCCAGAGAAUCAAUAUUUUACUCACGGAUCAGUUACGGAGAACAAUCCCCACCAAAGCAAUCUCAAUAGUCCUCCACAUCUCAAACCAAACAGAAAUCGCACUAACAAACACGACUUCUAUACUAUUAGUCCUUCCCAUCUCAAAUCUAGUAAGUAACCCAUCUUUCGUCUGAAUCUGGAAAACAAGCAGCAGUGGAUUUAAAAAUCUGGGUAUCUCAAAGUUACUCACUUUAAUCACAAAUUUAACAAUUAAACAUAUAAAUGGGCAUUUUUAGUGAAAUAUUAGUGUAGUACUCACUGUGUGCUAGGAGCAAGAGUACCCAGAAAGCUCAAUGAGCUGCGCACAGAGGACUGCAGCGGUGAACGAUAGCGACCAAUUCUGUAAAAUUCAGUCGAGUUUUGGGCAAUUUCUGCAGCAAUUUCGGAGGUCAAGAGGCUGAUAAGGAAAGCUGCGACCAAAGGGCACUGGUCUGGAAGAAAGGCUCUGGUCACCGCUGUCGCGAUUCGCAAAGGAAGAAGUGCCCCAAAACAAUUUUGGCCCUGGGCAGGUGCACUGUUUGCACUGGGACAGGGCCGGCCCUGAAUCGCGAUAACGUCCUUCUCCAAACAGUAUAUAUACAGAUGCUAGAAAUAUCUACCAGAACCAUUCAAUUCUAGCGUCUACAGCUUUAGCAUCAGCUGGUACAAGGGACAUUCUUCCAUAGAGGGAGAUGAAAUCGUUGAGGCUCUUAUUUAUUCCUCCUCUUGAUGUGCCCUUUUAGACUGCUAAUUCCAGACGAUACAAUCUCAUGCAUCUUCCCUGAAAAAGGGUUGCCACACAUCGAGAUCAAAUUUUUCCAAUAAAAUUAACUUAAAAAUCAAACUCGUUAGCAGAAUAAAUGGUGCACAAAGGGAUUUAAAAUCUAGACAUAUGUGUAUUUUUGGCAGAUUUUAAGUGAGCAUGCAACUAAAACUGGCAUCACUAUAAAUGGUGGACAAAGAUUGGCGGAAAAACAUAAAGGGAAGCAAUCACAAAGCAAAAUGUACUAAGUAAUCUGUCCACAUAUUGGGAAAAAUUUUUAACAGUUUGAUUUGUAACUUCUCCAUUGUAUUAGUUAAAGACAAGACGGUGUCAACCAUGCAAUUUGCUGAUGAUUUUACUGAUGAAUGCAGAGUUAGCUGAUGAUACGACAAGCAAUUGAAAAUCCCAUCAUUAUACCCCACAUAUACCAAAAAAGCAAGUCAUUUGCACAAAUUCAGAAGGUUCAUCCACUGCAAUUUGCAGAUAUAGAAAUGUUAAGAUAAAUGGAAAUACAAAGUACCUUUCACCCAAAUUGGAGGAACACCGGUGGCAUUAGCAAGUUAGCAUCGGGAAUUGACAUUACCAGUAUCUUCACAGUUUCUGCGGUGGAGUUAUGUACCUCUCCUUGGAAAAUGCCACCAAAGCCGCCGCAACGCGGUGUAGUGUCCGAUUGAUUGCUUCAAAACAAAGCUUCGUAUCCAUGUGUUUAAUCAGCACAGAGUACCCAAAACCCCUGAAAAUUAUUUCUUUAUUCAGACAAUAAAAUUUCCCAAAUUUCGAAUUUUAAUUCCAAAUCAAAAAUAGGGUUUGAAUUUUGAUUACCUAGAAAUUGGGGGGUUGGGGUGGAGAGGGACCCGGGCCAGGACGGAGCUAUGUGUAUAUGCUAAGGCGUGCCAAAUUACAUAGAGUGUCAGGAAUGUGUACAAGUCUUUUGCAAUUUAUCAGACUUAAAACCUGAAGCCCCGUAAGGCGUUCAAUCCAGGGGGAAAGCUCUUUGAUAGAUGUUCCACCCAAGAAAAGCAUUCUUAAUCCUUCCAUAUUUUCUUCAAUGCUUGGAAACACCUCAAAUUUUGUACAAUUGUAAAGAGAGAGACGGUAAAAGGAUUUGAGUUGACAAAUGCUGCUUGGAAGACUCUCAAGUUCCUUGCAAUUCAUCAUAAGCAAACACCUCAAUCCCGUGAGAUUAUUAAUUGACAGGGGUAGUUCUUUAAUUUUUGACCCAGAUAAAUCAAGCUCUUCUAACCCCUCAAUAACUUCUGAAAUCUCUGGAAACAUCACAAGACUCGAGCAACCAGAAAGAUCAAGGGUUUUGAGAGAUUUCAUACGAAUGCUGCUUGGAAGACUCUCAAGUUCCUUGCAAUUGUUUAGGUCCAAAUAACUCAACCUCGUGAGAUUAUUAAUUGACAGGGGUAGUUCUUUAAUUUUUGACCUGGAUAAAUCAAGCGCUUCUAACCCCUCAAUCACUUCUGAAAUCUCUGGAAACAUCUCAAGACUGGAGCAGCCAGAAAGAUCAAAGGUUUUGAGAGAUCUCAUACAAACUUUGCUGGGUAGAAUCUUAAGUUCCAUGCAUUUUGAUAGGUUCAAAUGACUCAACCCCGUGAGAUUAUUAAUUGACAGGGGCAGUUCUUUAAUUCUUGACCCGGAUAAAUCAAG
rnacentral:lncRNA from 1 species